rnacentral:lncRNA from 1 species
UCAUGGCUGAAUCAACGAAGCCUUCUUCUUCCAUCUCCAGCUCUGCACUUAGAACGGAUGAGUAGGACUGGGAGAUGCUAGUGAUGAUCUCGAAUACUUUCGGUCUUCGAUUUCUUUCGGUUACCUCUCAUCUUCAGUUUCCUUCCUGCCUUCUAUCUUCGACCAAGCUCGCCUGAUCAAACUGUUCUUAUUAUGUCGCUGCUGAUUGCAGUGGCACACUUUGUACAUAGAAGUAGCAAUAUUUGGUCGGUGAGUUGUUUGAAAGAGUAUUAAAAUGUGCAGGCCCUUGAUUUCUGUCGUGAAUGAACAUGUCUGUUUUCUAACUUCAGUAAACUUAUCUCUAGGAGCUCUUCUAAGAUACUCCAAAUUAUUAAGAGUAGUUCAAUUUUAACAAUCUAACGGCUAAUAGUGUCUCUUAGAGCAACUCUAGCAAAGUAUAUAUGCGAUCGCCACACUGCAUAUGAAGUGUGCUUCAUUUGCAUUUGCAGGUUACGCAGGCAGCACACAAGCUCGGAUCUUCACCUUCAUAAAUAUUUUUUUUCACGUCAAACACUUACAUUCCCUCAAGACGUAAACGUUUAGCACAUCAAGAAAACAUGCACGUAGUUUUCGACAAGUUGCAUGAACAAAAACAUUUAAACCAGAACACAUGUACAAGUCACAUGUUGUCGUCGUGUGCACCAUCCCAUCCUUCUCCCACGUGUGCAUUGUGCCAUCUUUCAAGGUUCUGAAACAUAUGAUCAUAUCUCAUGCCUUCUUCCGAAAAUCUCGCACCACUGAAUCCAUUUGGAUCGGAUCCAACAUGAUGAGCCAUUUAUGCUCGAUUAUGUGUUUUUCUCUCAGUCGAUUCUCCUUAAGUUGGAGCCUACAUGCCUCCAUCUUCUGCUGAUUUUUGAGCCUACAUACCACCAUCUCUUCCCGACGUCAUAUGCUCUCUGCAUAGCAUCUCAUCUCGCCCUCUUCCUUUGCUUCUUCUUCUCCUCCAUCUCUAGCUUUGCUUGAUUCCUCUUCUCGUAUACUUUCUUGUCCUCAUCAACUCAUCCAUCUUUUUUCAUCACCUCCGCCUCUUCUUUUCUCUUGAGCUUCUCCUUUCCAAACUUUCUCCUAUCAGGCCGACCUAUGCUAUAUGCCAGAGUGGGAUUUCUGGGCACCUUUCCUUUUCCUCUCCAACACCAUCAUCAUCUUCACCGCCAUCCAUCUCUGGAGAGGAAUUGCUGCACUUCCCAGCUUUUGGACUGCCAUCAUUCCAACAAAUUCUAGUAAUGUUGGAGGACAGACAAUUUUCCCGUUGACUUGCCCAUUUAUCGGCACCUCUCUUGGGCUAAGUUAACAUAAAACAAACAAAUGCUAAAAAUGGUGAGAAUUUUCGAAGUAAUGCAAAUGUGGCAAUAAAAACAAUAAGAUUUCUUACAUGUUGGUCAAUGAUGACACCGCUACCUAGGAGGAGCGUGCUUCACUUGCUCCAAACAACCGUUCAAACGGCGUUGUCUCUUGAAUCAUACCCCAUUGGUUUGUGAUGGGUUUGAGGGCAUGAUCCAUUCUGCGCCCAAGAUGAUAUUUGGAACACUCCUCGAUGUGCCCAAUACUUUGCGCUCAAUUGAUCUGCUUCUGUGCCCACAUUGAGAGAGAGAUGUUCCCAUGCCAAGACAAGCAGAAUAUCCACAUUGGUCUUAAAGUUGGUUCCCCUAACUGCCCUCUUUCCUCAAUGAGCCGGAGGCCUCAAAUUGAAUCAAACCACAAUGAUGUGCCCUUGAGAUCGACAUCAGUUGUCCCAGAAUCACGAAUCAAACUAUUGAGAAAUGAUCCAUCGCUCAAGGUUGAUCUCCCAAAUUCAGAAAAUUAACAUUGCACAUUUGCCAGCAAUUUCCCAUGGCCAACCUACAUUCAAUUGAAUAAAACUGGAAUACAAGACAAAUGAUUGCUUUUUAUACCUCAUUGUCAUUUAUGUUCCAACGUACGACUGGGAAGGCGCCAUAUAUAGUAUAGCCCGCCGCCUAGAAGAAGCAGGGAGGGGAGGGACACGGUUCUUCCUUGUCUUAUUCUUCAGUCCCUNNNNNNNNNNNNNNNNNNNNNNNNNNNNNNNNNNNNNNNNNNNNNNNNNNNNNNNNNNNNNNNNNNNNNNNNNNNNNNNNNNNNNNNNNNNNNNNNNNNNNNNNNNNNNNNNNNNNNNNNNNNNNNNNNNNNNNNNNNNNNNNNNNNNNNNNNNNNNNNNNNNNNNNNNNNNNNNNNNNNNNNNNNNNNNNNNNNNNNNNNNNNNNNNNNNNNNNNNNNNNNNNNNNNNNNNNNNNNNNNNNNNNNNNNNNNNNNNNNNNNNNNNNNNNNNNNNNNNNNNNNNNNNNNNNNNNNNNNNNNNNNNNNNNNNNNNNNNNNNNNNNNNNNNNNNNNNNNNNNNNNNNNNNNNNNNNNUCCAUGUGGCAUCAUAGUAUUUGCCACCUCUGCGUCGGACUCUUCGCUAGCGGGGUGGACAAGGUACUGUCCUAGGUCGUGCCGGUCGGCCGUCGGAGCCGCAGGAGGUGCGGGAGCUGUCAGAGUCCCAAGAGGCGGUAUCCGACUCCAAAAUGAUGAAACUGGAUGCAGUGGUCAAGGAACCAUCCAUGCCGUCAUAUGCGGGGACUGGGGAUGAGUGGAAGUGGUGAAAGGCGACACUAAAGCAAGGAGGGUAGGCGGCGGCGCGGAAGAGAAGAGGAGUGGAAUGGGAAAAAUGUGUGCUCCAAAUAUGCACCAUAGUCACCAAAUAUGAAGGCUAGCGGGCUUGGUUUGUAGCUUCCUCCAAAAAUUAUAGUGAUCAAGGGCAGGAUGACGACUCUUCUAGAGUCGCAUUUUCGGCCAAAGUAGCCAUAACGAUGGUCAUUCUGGCGAUCGUGCCAACAUUACUCUUAGGUGGUAAAAGAAAACUAGUUAAAGCGGUCCUUACUCCUCCCAUAAUUGUGUGUUGUCUAGGUAGAAGAUGAGACAUUUGUAUGGAUUCCUCGCAAAUAGCACCCUACGGGUUUAUUAUGAUCUUAGGCGAGUUCAACACUGUGAGCUCUACCUGCCGAGCUAGUACUCGAUUCUGAUCUCUUAGGGCAGUCCCAAUGUUGUAUAUCUUAAGUUAUAUCAUGAAUAUUACAUGUGUAUUUAGAUAUAGCUCUUCCAAUGAUUGUAUCUAAGUAUUUAAAAGAGUUAUCAUUCAUUGUGUUUUGUGAGAGAGAAAAAGUGUGAGUUUUAUUCGUUUGGUGCUAAGAGCUAUAUCUAGAUUAAGAUGUGGUAACACUCUUUCUCCUCAUUAAAUGUAGUGCCACGUCAGAUUUUUACCUAGAUAUCAAUACUAAGAUAUAGUCCAAGGUGGAGUAUCAGUAAGAUUUUGUCAUAGAUUGUGUGGAGCUAAUAUGAACUUUGCAGUUUUACAAAUAGCGAAGAAAAUUAUACUAGCAUUGUAAAAGGAUAAAUGUAAAUAAAGAAGUUAUAAGAUUACUAGUUGACUACUCUGUAUUUAUGUUUCCAAUUUUCCUUUGUACAACUAUUCCAUGCAUGGAGUUAGUUUGUUAUUGACAUUUGACAUGCACAUGCUAGGUUUAGUUAUUAACUAUUUCCUACUUUCAAAUAAAAAUUUCUUCGGUCGAAAUACAUGUAUAACAUAUUAUAUACAGAAUUAUCUAAGUACAUGAAAUACUUAUGUCAAUCAGUAUUUAUUUAUUUCAUAUUAAAUUCAAGAACAUUAUUUCUAUACCGUUUCUAAUAUGUACAUAUAUGAAUUCACAUAAGCAUGUUUUAAAUACAUAAAAAAAUAUCCAUACAUUCCUUAAAUUCCAAGACGUUUCUUUGAUACAAAAUGUCUAAUUAUAUAUCUCAUGUACAUAUUGACACGAAACAAAGGCAAUACCUCUUGUACAAACCUCUACAUGGUAAAAGCUAAAAGGAAAAUGCAAACCAAUUUGUAGUUGGAUGAUUAGGAGGAUAGUGGUAUCCCGGACCCACUAGGGUUCAAGUCCUAGACUGGACAUUGGUGCUUGCAUAUUUCUGGAUUUAUUUUAGGCCUUCCAGCGAUGUUCAUUCAGCUGGAGGAAACGUUCCCAUCGACUAGGAGAUGCCUGUAGUGACUUCGUCAAUCUCAAGAUGCUAUACCGAUCCAGUUUCUCGGAGGUGCUCAUGGGGGUAGAGUGUGCGUGCGUAUGUUUAUAACAGUGAGUGUGUACUCAUGUAUGUGAGUGACUUCGAUUGUAUUGAGUUUUAUUCUAAAAAAAAGGCCAAACGGAAACCAUUUGGAAGGAGUGAACAUUAAACCUAUCAAAUAUUCCCUCCGUUUACAAAUAUAAGAUGCUCUACUUUUUUUGUAAAUUGGAUGCACAUACACACAUUUUAGUGUGUUUUUUCACUCAUUUCAGUCCAUAUGUAGUUCAUAUUGAAAUACUCAGAAAAAUUAUAUUUGUAAUGAAGGGAGUAUUUCUUUUUAUUAUACUUACCAUAUUUAAGUAGGCAAAGUUACCCUUCCACAAAGAAAGAUUCUAGUCCCUCCGUUUCUAAAUAUAAGUUUUUUUUAUAGAUUCCAAUAUGAACUCUCUCNNNNNNNNNNNNNNNNNNNNNNNNNNNNNNNNNNNNNNNNNNNNNNNNNNNNNNNNNNNNNNNNNNNNNNNNNNNNNNNNNNNNNNNNNNNNNNNNNNNNNNNNNNNNNNNNNNNNNNNNNNNNNNNNNNNNNNNNNNNNNNNNNNNNNNNNNNNNNNNNNNNNNNNNNNNNNNNNNNNNNNNNNNNNNNNNNNNNNNNNNNNNNNNNNNNNNNNNNNNNNNNNNNNNNNNNNNNNNNNNNNNNNNNNNNNNNNNNNNNNNNNNNNNNNNNNNNNNNNNNNNNNNNNNNNNNNNNNNNNNNNNNNNNNNNNNNNNNNNNNNNNNNNNNNNNNNNNNNNNNNNNNNNNNNNNNNNNNNNNNNNNNNNNNNNNNNNNNNNNNNNNNNNNNNNNNNNNNNNNNNNNNNNNNNNNNNNNNNNNNNNNNNNNNNNNNNNNNNNNNNNNNNNNNNNNNNNNNNNNNNNNNNNNNNNNNNNNNNNNNNNNNNNNNNNNNNNNNNNCACUUAUUUUGAGACGGAGGGAGUAGUAUAAAUAUUUGCAUCCAUGUCCCUUUCAUUUGAAGUGGCUAAAAAUUGUGCAGGAGACAAGCGAGAUGUUGUAUAGUGACGUUCUUGGGAAUUAAAUGAGAAUCUUCCAUUAUUGUGGCCACUAGUGCUAAGUGGUAGUAACCAGCGGUUGAGGCCAUCGAAUCUUCAAUUGUGACCAAGAACCCAAAAGUGUGCAACAUCUCCCACUGGUGGCUAACCAUCAGUUGAGGCCUUUGAACCCUGCUGACAUGGCAAACGUGCGACAAAACCUGGACCAUGCAUGGAUCAACCGCAUACCUCUACCAUCAACCUGGACUAUAUCCAGUACACCUAUUGCUUCCCACGCAUCAAUGCAUUUUGGCUCAUUUUAAGGUUAUUAUAGAUUACUAAAAAAAACACAACACCAAUAUUGCAUGCAUCUAUCAUGUCAAAAAGUAUCGAAUUCAAAUUCAACAUAUAGUCAUGGAAACAAAAAAGACAUAUCCAAUGAUAAUUUGGUCAAUCACUGAAUUUACUUCCUGCGAAACAAAUUGUCCAGAUUUACAACUGAAUUAGGUACUAUUUACGGCUGGAUUUGAAUCUUCUUUUUAUUUGUGUUGCAUUUGAUAUUUUGUAAAAUGAUUGAUAUAUAUUGUGGGGACAUUUACAUUUAUGCCCCUAAUUUGCGCCCACUCUCAGAUUUACCCCUAAUUUUUUGAUGUGCUCAAAUUUGCCACUGAAAAGCAUUUUAGGUCAUGAGAAUGCCCUUUCAGCUGGACAAAGUUGUUUGACCAAAACUUUAGAAAUUCAUAACAAAUUUAUAUGAACUCAGAAGAAUGCAAAUAAGAUAUCAAAAUGUUCAUAAAAAUAUCACAUAUACACGCAUGUCAUUUAUGUUCAUCAUGUUAGCACUAAUCUUGUCAUGAUGUACCAGCAUGCAUGUUUAGUUUUGAGUUUGCAUGUAGUUUAGAUGAUCUAGGGCAGUGUAUGUAGGCCAAUGAUACUUCAGCUACGCGCGUGAAGAAAGCGAGAUGUCGGGCUGCCGUGCGAUGCGGUGAGCACGGCAAGAUGCCGAUGAUGUCGUGCGAUACGGCGAGGCUGUGAGAAGCAGUGAGACGCGACGAAGCUGGAGGAUGAUGGGCUGCUCGUUCAGGUUGAGCCGAGUGAUUUGGCCAAGCCGUAGUUAGUUAGAGUGUGCUGGUUGGUUGUAGCUAGCUAGCUUCGUGCAUGAAGUAGUAGGCCACGUUGAGACGUGGAGCUAGUUUUAGAUAUAGCCGAGUCGUGUGGCCGUUGGAGUGAUUUCAGGAGUAGGAUAAGGCUGUUAGUGCAUGCAUAGAUUAGUGGGAUUAGUUGCCGAGAGAGGUGGCUGGCCAGUGCGUGUAUGGUCCUUGUAUAUAUAUGUUUCAGUGGAGUAAUGAAGAAAGGAGGCCGUAAGGGCUGAGGGAAAAAAGAUGUAGCAUAUGUGUGUCUCACCGGGAGAACAAAGCAAAGCUGGUUCCUCCACGGUGAGGUGUGUGUGUGUGUAGAGUUUCAUGUGUAUGUGUGUGUUCUUGUGUUCUUGAGAGAAAAGAUAGAGAGAAACCACAAGAGAGUUUUGUGAGGGAGCUCGAGGUAGAAGAAGAAGCGGCGCUGCAAGGAGAGAUGGCGCCAACACAUCACCUACACAUGCAUUUAUUUGCAUUCACCCUAAAUAGUUUUUAAAUGUUAUAAACCCUAAAAAGCUUUAAAUAGUGCUUUUGUCAUGAACAUUAAUUGCAUGUGCAUAUAGAUGAUGUUUUUAUGAACGUUUUGAUAUCUUAUUUUGCAUUCUUAUGAGUUCAAAUGCAUUUGUUAUGAAUUUUUAAAGUUUUGGUCAAACAACUUUGACCAGAUGGAAAGGCAUUCUUGCGACCUAAUGCUCUUUUUAGGGGCAAAUUUGAGCACAUCAAAAGUUAGUGGUAAAUUUGAGUAGUGGGUUCGAGUUAGGGCACAAAUGUGAAUGUUGCAUAUGUUACCCUUUCUUCUGAUUUUCUUCAUGAUUAUUUGGAUGACGUUUUUGGACUUGGGAAUACCAUGAGUGCUCCAAAGACUAGGACUGUUAAAAGGUCCAACGAGUUGUGUUUCUCAUGUCAACUUAAUUAGCAACUUUGUGUGAUGAGAGGUAAAAAUUGUGUGGUGAGAGGAGGAGCCAAGCACUCGUGCUCGGGCGGGCCGUACCGGCUUCGGCCACCAUUCCACGGCAAGGUUGCUAUUGCAUGUCAUGUCAUGUCGUGUUGUUUGACAUUCUACGCGCGACGCAGCUCAUCUCUGCACUCCUUGCCAUCAAACCUCUGCAUUUUCUUGUAUCUUUGCUACGGUGGUGGUGGAUCGGGGCAUCCAUCGCCGAUCUCGUGUCAGGGGAGCGCACUUUGCUGUGCUCAGGUUGGCGGUGCAUCGAUGGAAUUUAGAGCAUCUCUACGAGACCCCGUAUAAUGCGCCAACCCGCGUAAUUUCGGCGAGUAUACAAACUCGGCCCAAUUUUCAGUCAGAAUAGAGCCCGUAUACUCGCCCGACCAGUAAAAUAUAUUUUUUCGCGAAUACGCUAAGGAUGCGUAUCUUUUCAUUGAUAGAAGGAGAAUGUCUACGACACGAGAUUAAGGCGACACACUAUGCCAUGUACGCAAGGGAGGGAUGAAAGUGGUCGUCGAGCAAACAGGUGGGGUUGCUCAUCCCCUCGACAUCUUAUCCUAGGUCUUUGAGAUGAUGUUACUAAUCGCGGCUGCGCCGGCCCUAGCCCAUAGGCGUGCUUCGUCUUUGAUCGUGGAGCAUAGGUGAGAGACGGAGGGUCGGUCACCAUCGAAGGUGCAGCUGUUCCGGUGCUUCCAAAUCCACCAACCGGUGAGGAUGAUGAGGGAGGACAAGCCUUUUCGCGCGGCAACCGACGCGAGGGCACAAGUAGAUGCCCACCAUGCAAGGAAGUCGGUGUCUUCGGUCGACAGGUUCGUAGGAGAUCUAGCCCAAGCAAGAAUAUCGUGCCACACCUGGCGGGAGAAGGAGCAGCCAGCCAGCAGGUGUUGCAUCGUCUCAUCUUUUUUAUCGCAGAGGGCACAAGCUGGUUCAUGAGGCAGGCUGUGUCUAGCAAGACGCUCCGCCGUCCAGCACCGGUUUUGUAGAGCGAGCCAGAUGAAGAACUUGACGCGAAGCGGUGCCCAAGAUUUACAUGUGAGCUUCCAGUGUGGUUCCGCGCGAGCUCCAACGAAGAGGGCUUGCUAGCAAGAGCUGGCGGAGUAGAUGCACGAAGUAGUCCAGCGCCAUCGGAUAGUGUCCGGGGAGUCGGUAAGCUGAAUGUGGCGCACCGCCCGCCAGAGCUGCACAUACUGCACCAUGGCGGUAGGGCCAAGAGCGCCGUGGAUGUCCUGCACUCAAGAACACAGGGAUAGGCCGUCUAUGACCAUGUGAAUCUUCCAACGUCUCUUCGGGAUCAUUUGAAAAAGUUGAGGGGCAAUCUCGGCCACCGAUCGUUCGUCGAUCCAAUGGUCGGUCCAGAACUUGCACUCGUCGCCAUUGCCAACGCUCCAGGCGAUUGAGGCGCAGAAGAUAGCGCUGACAUUUGCAUCAUGAGGGGUGUGCAAGUGGCUCCAGGGGCGCGAAUGAUUGGUGCGCUGGAGCUAGAGCCAGCGCGUACGGAGGGCGAUGCCCCAGCGCUGCAGAUCACGGAUGCCCGGCCCGCCAAGAUGAAGUGGGCGGCAGACUCGCUGCCAGUUGACCAUGCAUUGGCCGCCAUUGGCCUCCUUGCAUCUGUCCCAAAGAAAUCCACGGAUGAUGCGGUUCACCUUCUUGAGGAUGGUCUGGUUGAAGGUGAUGGCCCUGAGGAAGUGAGUUGGGAUAACACAGAGGAUGUGGCGGACGAGGGCCAGCCGGUCGCCGCGAGAGAGCAUGGAGGUGCUGUCACAUCCCUAGUUCUGCUGCUUUGGGCUAGCUUGUCAUGUGUUGCAUCAUGUUUAAAAUUCAAAUGAAUUUGAAUUGGGGAUGUUCAAACCCCAGCACUAAAUCAAUUUAAAUAGGGUUGAAUAAAAUCAUUUUCAAUAAACCCAAAAUGUCCCUAAGAAAAGUUCAUGAUCUCUGGUUAAGGUGGAAACCUCUGCCAAAAAUGAUGAACAUAUUUUUAGAUCAUUUUUGGAUUUUUGAAUUAAAUAUAUUGUAUUUGAAUUAGGGCAUUUAAAUGCUAUAAAUACUUUUAAUGCUCUAUUAAUUCUAGAAUUUGUUGUGGGGCUUUGGAAUAUCCUAUUUUGCAGCCACACAAUAUUUCCAGGAGCAACUAAGAUAAUUUGGUUUGAAACCAAAUCCAAAACAUACAACAGAAAAUAGAAAACCAUAAAGAAAAACAGAAAGGAAAAUAGGCCUACCUAACUUACCUGGCGGCCCAGCCCACGUGGCCUCCUCCUCGUGUCGUCUUCCUCCUUGCCAGGAGCCAGGAGGACAAGCACGUGUGCUCGACACGCGCGGCCACACGCUGGCCACCUCCUGCCUGCCUGCGUGCACUCCCAACACCCUGGACGUCCCAGGCAUCGCCACGCAGCCCCCGACCUCUCUCUCUCACUCUCGCUCGUCCUCAUCUCCUUCCCCUCUCACUUCUGUGCUCACAGACAGGAGCCCGUUGCGGCUACUCGCUACUGCCGCGGCCACCGUCCACCACUCACCUCGCUGAUGUGUCCUAGAGAACUGUGGUGACUUUGUCGUCCUCCCCGCCGAGCUACGCAAUGCUCGGUGCCCUGGAACGCCAUCAACAUCGUCAUCUUUGACCCACGGCCGCCGAGCUCGCCGAGGCCUCCAUUCAACUUGCUUUGAGCUCCUACGUAGAACCCCUCUCUCCCCUACCUCGUUUGCAUCAUGUAGCCGUGGAAUUCACCGGAGCCGUGAGCUUCCGCCCGCCGGCCACGUCGCCAUUGCGGCCAUAGCUGCUGCCGCUUGUGUCUGAGCCCGCCAACGCGCUCAGUGCGUCCCCAGGAGCUGAACGCACCCAGCUGCUACUCCUCCCGUGCUCUGUGGCGUGGAUUCGGUCGAGCCUGAAUUCUGGCCAUCGUCGAGGUCGACACCGCGCUCGACUCCGGCCGUUUCAGCCCCUCCCACCUGCAGAGGGAGAUGUGGCACACUCAAAGCAGCACGCAGAGCCCCUCCAUCGUCCCUUUGGUUGCCAUAGGGUAAACUCGAGCCCUCCGCCGUGUUUGCUGUCGGCGGCGAUGAGCCGCCGACGUAUUAGGCCCGGUUGACCGGGGGUUUGACCUCCCCUGGGUCAAUGACAUGUGGGUCCCGCCGCUGACAGUUUUAGUUUUGGACAAAAAUUAGUGCUAAUCACCCUGGUUAACUAAAUGAGUCACUCACGAGUGGGCCCGGCCGGUCAGGUUUGACUUUGGUCGGCAGUGUUGACUUGCUAACGCAAGCAUGACGUGGUGCUAACGCAAUAAACCAUUUCUGAAUGAUUUCUACUUUUGAAAUAAUUUGGAAAUUUCAAAAAAUGUUUAAAACUUCAAAAAUUCAUAGAAAUUAAUCUAUAACUCCAAAUGAAAUAUUUUAUAUAUGAAAAAUUAUCAGAAAAAUCAGUCUAUCCAUCUGUACCAUUUUCAUGCAUGAUAGAGCAACUUAUGGCUACUGUUUAGGACAAAUCAAAAAAUGGCAUUUGAAUAUCCACAUAUGGAGUUUGAAUUUGAACCUCGGGUUCAAACCAACUUUAUUUAACUUGUUGCUAGUUGCAUUAGAUCAAUCAACAACAUAUUGCCAUGUCAAUCAUGCAUCAUAUUGUUGCAUUGCAUUGAUUGUGUUCCUUCUCUGUUGCCGGUAUUUGUCCCCUCUCAGUAGACGUGGUUCCGACGAUGAGAUCGAUGACACCGAUGAAGAACUAUACUAUCUUCAGAAGUGCCAGGCAAGCAAAAAACCCCUUGUUCAUUCUGAUACAAUCUCACUCUCUUGCUCCUGCUCUCUUUUACUGCAUUAGGACAACAAUGUUUCAACUGUUACAUGCUACGGUAGCAGAACCCCUUUCCUCUGCAUGACCAAUCAUUGCCACAGUAAAUAGAUGAAACCCACUAGCAUGACUAGGAUUUAUUUGAGACAUGAUGUGCCUACUCAUUCAUGCUUGUUUGUCAUGCCUGCUAUUGCUUAGAGUUGUUUCACGUCUGAUUCAUCGGGAAUGAAUUGGAAUAAUGUGAACAUGUCCCACUAUUGUGAGCUAAGUGUGCGAACACGAUUUGGUAAAGGUAGUAGUGAGAGGCCAUGUAGGAGUACAUGGUGGAUUAUCUCAUCGAAACCGUCCUCAGGAACUGAGUUCCAUGUUUGUGAUCGAUGAACAACUACUACCACGCAUUGGGCCCUGAAAUAUGACCCCGCUCGACUUAUUAACCCCCAUAUCCUCUAUCCAGGAGUUGCAAGUAGUUUCUGGUGUUUAUAGUAUGCUGGAGGCCGUGCACAGUGCUGACCCUAGGGGUGGGCUGUGAUGCGGUAGGCUCGUGGCACGGUGUACUGGGGCACCCGUUUGGUGGGCUUGGGAACCAUGCACACAUCGUUUGGGGCCGUAGUGGAAACCUCGGCCAGACUCCCUAUGGAUGGAACCUAAAUAGGCGAUAAACCUAGACUAGGGACUUGUGUGGUUAGUCAGGUCGUGGUCUACACCCACAUCGGCUUUCGCUUGAAGUUUGCCGAGCACAUGUCAUGUGCAGAUGCUAAGUGGUGGAAACAUGUGUGAAGAAGUACACCCCUGUAGGGUUAUAAAUGAUCUAUUCAAAUAGCCACGUCCACGGUAAAGGACUUCUUGGUUGCCUAUAUAGUUCAUAGACAAGUGAAAGUGGAUACUCUAAAAUGCGCAAGAUAAGCAUGAGUGUUAUGGAUGGCGAUCUCGUAGGGAGACGGGAGCGGAUCCAUAGUGGUGUAUUGAUAUGGUGAAUAUGUGGACUCGUGUGCGCCACCUCAAAAGAGUUACCAUCAGUCGUAGUACAGGAUAGCCACUGAUUCAAAGCUGGCUUGCUGCAAUUAAACUCCACCAUCCCUUUGUUUAUACUGAUGCAUAUGUAGCUAGUUCUGAUAUAAGUCUGGCUGGGUACAUUUGUACUGCAUGUUUGCUUAAUUUAUGUUUUUGCAGAGAGACUUCACUCUCACUAGUAGUUCCACGUGGACUUCGAUGUUUAGCUUGUUACCUCAGCUACGAUAUUGUGCCCUCGGGAGGGUCUUGUAGAUAGUCAGGCUUCUUAGCCUUUUUCAAUUGUUGUUAUCUGUACUCAGACAAGUUAAGCUUCCGCAUGUGCUUAUUGCUUGUAUGACUUGAAUGCUGGGUCAUCAGACCCAUGUUUGUAAUAUCUGGCUCCUCAGAGCCUCUUGAAUAAAUACUCUGAGUCAUAGAGUUUUGUUGUGACGCCGUGUUGUAUUUGACAUAUCGAGCAUAUUGUAUGUAUGUUAUUGAAAUGCUUGGUAUGUGUGGGAUCCGACAAUCUAGUUGUUUAUUCUUGGUAGCCUCUCUUGUGGGGAAACGUCUCCUAGUGCUUCCACUGAGUCAUGGUAGCUUGCUACUGCUCCGGAACACUUAGGCUGACCGGCAUGUGUCCUUCUUCGUUCAUGUGUUUGUCCCUUCGGGGAAAUGUCACGCGUUGUUCCUUUAAGUACUUGUAGCUUGCUAUGACUUGGGUUCAUAUGUUGAUGAUCGACACGUUCGUUGUUGGGUCAUGUAUGCCUGUCCAUGUAAGUUAGUGCCACCUUGGGUUUAUGACUAGUCAUGUCGGCCCGGGUUCUCUGUCAUAUGGAUGCUAGCGACACUAUCAUAUACGUGAGCCAAAAGGCGCAAACGGUCCUGGGUCAGGUAAGGUGGCACCCUUGGGAAUACCGUGUGUGAGGCCGCAAAGUGAUAUGAUGCGCUACAUGCUGGACCGGUGUGACUUAGCAUUGGGGUCCUAACAACUUCUGUGUCAGAGCCUAACUGCCAGUAGGAUUACCAAGCCAAACUGGUCGAAGUUGAGUCUAGAAAUGCUUUAUACUUAUAUAAGGGAAUUGAUUGUGGAAGGGAACGUAAGGCUCUUUUUACUCCUUUACCUUAUGCCCUUCUGAUCCGAGUCAUCCUAUCUUUCCUACAGGUCUAAGGAACUAGGCUUUCUCUUCUUUCUAUCAGGAUCACGUGUUACUAAUCUAUAGCUUAUAUGCUUGAUGGAUUCAAGUCUUAGUUCAGUUCCUACUACUCCCAUAUGUUAACCAUUGAUCUCGGAACCUUGAUAUUGUGAUUUUGAGUGGUUAUGCCACCAUUUUGCAGGAUAUCUCAAAUCUUUUUGGGCAUUUACAGCUGUUAUGUUGUCCGAGUCAUCCCAGGUUUCUAAAUAGUCUGAUGCAUUUGCAACUUCCUUCUUUCUGUUCCUGGUGUUCCUUUGGGCCAGGUUAACCACACUAAUCGGUGCGUUGAGGUACCCCAUUGCCUUGACAUAUAUGUUGGAGCUAUUAUUAUGACCCUAGGUGUCUUAGGGAAUCACCUAGUAAUCUAGCCAUGUUUUGUGUUUGCAGUGUGAUGAUUCUGGCCGUGAUUCUCGAAAGCACCUCGUCAUGCUAUUUAGUUAGUAGGUACUCCAUUUCUGGGUUCUUGAACCCAAGAUUCACCCUACUUACCUCACGUUGAUUGUUUUGCUAGUUCCUUUAGGAUAUUAGUAACCUUUGUGAGUCCUCGAGGUCCGUGGUAUUUCCUUCUUCCAAAUAUCAUGAAGUGCUUAUGGCAGAAGUUCUGGAACCAAAGGAUCACAAUAAGAGUGCUCUCGAUGAGGUCCCCAUUCUAUAUUAUGACUCUAACAGUCCUACCUCUCUGCAUGGAUUAUCCGGAAGAAACCUGUUGAACUUGGUUUGACAUAUUAAUCUAUGCAUCCACAACUCAGAAAACCAUAUGUUCCUUUGAGUUGUCCCUCUUUGGUUGUAUUUUGAUCUCCGUCUAUCAGUUGAUAGUCAAGAGUAUGUGUGCAUUCAUUCAUUGAUGCUUGUUAUUCUUGUGGUUCGUCAAGCCAUCCUAUUUCAGAAUGUCUAAGAGAAACAAACUCCAGUACCUCAUCCAUAUCUUGGAAUGAGUCAAAUCAGUUGUAUUCCGCAGAUUAAACUGCCAAUCCAGCUUUGUUCUGUUCUACCUUGGAGUGUUGCCCUCUUUAUGUCAGGAUUGUCAUGAGAAUUGCACCACCUCUUAUGAAUUAUUGAUGCCGUGAUACCUCUCGCCAUCAUUGUUCAUUCAUUGUUUCUCGUAUUAUUGUAAUCGGAAUGCCGACAAGUGAAUCGUGAUGUGUGAAAUCAAUACUCCUAGCAACCUCGUUGCUUGGUAGUUAAAGGACAAUAAUUUCAUUCUUAGCGUGAUGGUUAUAGGAUCAUCAUUCUAGGAUAGAUUGUGCUACCUAGACCAUUUUCCUGGUGCACUCUUCGAUCAAUGAGUUAGGAUUGUGUUAACCCCUUGAUUAUUUGAUAACAUCGUCUUUCCUCGAGAGCAAGAUUGUUCUCGAGCUUUGUAUCAUAUCAGUGGUUCGUGAUUUUCCGAUUAUCUUCUCAGAAGUAUCACUAGGUUAUUCUCUGACUGCUAUGUUGAGUUCGUGAUCAUGUUGGUUUUCCUCUAAACCACCCUUUCUCCAAGAAUUUGUGUUGCAUACCCUUGAGCUAAUUGGUUAAGCUAAACAACAACUUGGAGAGUUGGAAGAUAGAAGCUUUUCCUGACUUAGUUCAUUCCCGAGGAUAUCUUUGUGUGUGUGAUGAAGAAAGACGAUAUCUUCAUCGAUUGGUCCCCGUGAUCAAUUGUUGGAUCUAUUGUCUUGCCAAAACCUUGAUUUGAGUGUGGGCUAUCAUCAAAUUAAAUCAGAACCAAUGAUGUUCGUAAUGUUGUCUUACUCGUGGUUGUUUCCUCAAGCAUACACCAUUAUAUUCUUUGGUCUGACCAAUGCUACCACUUUGUUCACAUAAUUAUGGAAUUCCAUUUAUAUGGAAACCUGGAUAAAUUGUUGUUGAGCCCAUCAGCAACAUUUUUAUCUUCUCCAUGAUUUGUGUUGAACAUCCAGCUAGUGUUGGAAACUUUUAUAAGCAUUAUCUUCAUGUCCCGUUCAUGAAGCAUAUGUUGGAUGAAAGAAGUGACUUCCUAUGAUUCACGUGCAUUUGGUGCAAGUUGCCACCAUGAAUUUGAGAAAGGUUUGUUUUGUUUCCUCUAGAAUCAUCCCAAGUCAGUUAUGUAUGUGUGAAUAUAUUCUAUGGUUUGGUAGAUUAAAUACCUCCAUUCCAUAUGUAUUCCCUAGCACACCAAGCCACUUAUUGAGUUGUUUAAGGAGAAUAAGUUCCUACUUAAGACCCAGGAUUAUACAAGGACUUCGAUAUCCCCAAUGAUGGUUCCCCACCUGAACUCGGUAGUGUUUUGUUGUAAGACUUCUAUGUGGUCAUGCUUGUCUUGGACAACGUGUUCACAUGUGUGUAGAAGAACCAGCUCAUGUUUUGGAGCUUGCUAUCCUAGAUCAUUGCCCGAGAAUCUCGCAACGCUAUCUCGUAGAUUUGUGUUGCAAACUUCCAUUUUUUUCUAGACUUGAUGAGUCUGGAAUAUCCUGUUACCAACCGGAUCUGAAUCUCAGACAGAUAUGAUGGUUGGAAAUUUUCCAAGAUCUAUGAUGUAGGUCCCAACAAGGUUGAUGUUCUAGCCGACACACCUAGCCGGAAGAUCUAUCAUUGUAGUAUCUUGAUUGAGCUAUUUGACCAUCUUCUCCAUUAGGAUUUCGUGCAACUUAUUCGAGAAGUUGUACCUUAGGCGUCCUUGUGCUCUCGGUUUCAUCGAUUAAGCUAUAACCAUUCAAACAGUGGCAUCACUCUCUACUGUUGAGUUUUUCCCUAGUUACUUGAAUCAUUCCUAGCAUUUGCAUUUUGUUCCCAGCUUGCACCUGCCAUUGUGCCUUUUCACUAUGGGCUGCCCUUCUCGAUAAAUGUUGUUCAGGAUCAUCUUCAAAAGUGGUCCUACCAUGGGUCCCAUCCAUUUCCGAUGAUAGGCAAAAAUCAUCCAUUAUGUUGUCUUCAACAAGGUAGUCCACAUCAUCCAUUCUAGCCUGAGUAGGCUGUUCUCUCGAACUCCGUCAAACGAUCGUUUGUAAAUUGCCUUAGGCUGGUAUAGAGAAUUCCAAUGAUCUAGAUAUCAAAAGUAAUUCUUUUUGCCACUUAAGGGAUAAUUCUACGAGUCACCUUCCCUGAGGUGCCCCGUUAUGGGAUCAUGGCAAUUAUCUCCUCGCUACGUUGAAACCAUGCACCAUCAUACUCGAGCAUGGAAUUGUUGCCAACCAACUUGAGUCUUUGUCGUCUGUUUUCCCAUCACCCUUGAUGUGUGUUUUGUGUCUCAUCUCAAGAGAUGUUCAACGUCUCAUUCCGUGAGUUGAUCGUGAGUUGCUCGAUCUUUAAGAAGAUCGAUUCCUACAGAGAUUCUUUCUGUCAUCGUCAUGUUGGACAAAGAUCUCAAAGCCAAAGACGUUAAGAUCAAUGUGAUGCAAUGAAUCAAAAUCUUUGAGAAGGCCAUUUGGAUCGAGAAGAUCAUGAUAGUUUUUUGACUCCCUUUCAUCUGACCCUAUGCCCAAAUCCCGGGACGAGAUUCUUGUUUAGUGGGGGUGAGUUGUCACAUUUCUAGUUCUGGUGCUUUGGGCUAGCUUGUCAUGUGUUGCAUCAUGUUUAAAUUCAAAUGAAUUUGAAUUGGGGAUGUUCAAACCCCAGCACUAAAUCAAUUCAAAUAGGGCUGAAUAAAAUCUUUUUCAAUAAACCCAAAAUGUCCCUAAGAAAAGUUCAUGAUUUCUGGUUAAGGUGGAAACCUCUGCCAAAAAUGAUGAACAUAUUUUUAGAUCAUUUUCGGAUUUUUGAAUUAAAUCAUAUUGUAUUUGAAUUAGGGAAUUUAAAUGCUAUAAAUACUUUUAAUGCUCUAUUAAUUCUGGAACUUGUUGUGGGGCUUUGGAAUAUCCUAUUUUGCAGCCACACGAUAUUUCCAGGAGCAACUAAGAUAAUUUGGUUUGAAACUAAAUUCAAAACAUACAAUAAAAAAUAGAAAACCAUAAAUAAAAACAUAAAGGAAAAGAGGCCUACCUAACUUACCUAGUGGCCCAGCCCACUUGGCCUCCUCAUCCUUCGUCUUCCUCCUUGCCAGGAGGACGAGCGCGUGUGCUCGACGCGCGCGGCCACACGCCGGCCACCUCUUGCCGGCCUGUGUGCACUCCUGACGCCCUAGACAUCCCUAGCAUCACCAGCAGCCCCCUGACCUCUCUCUCACUCUUGCUCGUCCUCAUCCGCUGCCCCUCUCGCAUCUGUGCUCACCGAGAGGAGCCCAUCGCCGCUGCUCGCUGCUGUCACGACCAACGUCCACCACUCGCCUCGCUGACACAUCCAGAAGAACCGCCGCGACUUCCUCGUCGUCCCCAUCGAGCUAUGCAAUGCUUCGUGCCCUGGAACAUAGUCAACAUCAUCAUCUUUGACCCACAGCCACCGAGAUCUCCGGCGACCUCCCAUCGUCACCAGCUCCUCCGUGAGCUUGCCGAGGACUCCUUCAACUCGCUAUGAGCUCCUACGUCGAACCCCUCUCCCCCUACUUUGUUUGCCUCGUGUAGUUGUCGAAUUCACCGGAGCCAUGAGCUUCCACCCGCCGGCCAUGUCGCCAUAGCAGCCACAGUUAUUGUCGCUUGCGUAUGAGCCCGCCAACGUGCUCAGUGCGUCCCCAGGAGCUCAAAGCACCUAGCUGCUGCUCCUACCAUGCUUUGUGGCGUGGAUUCGGUCAAGCCUGAACUCCAGCCGCCGCCGAGGUCGAGGCCGCGCUCGACUCCGGCCGUUUCAGUCCCUCCUGCCUACACAGGGAGAUGCGGCGCACUCAAAGCAGCAUGCAGAGCCCAUCCGUCAUCCUUUUGGUCGCCGGAGGGCAAAACCCGAGUCCUCCGCCGUGUUUGCUGUCUCCAGUGAUGAGCCACUGGCGUAUUAUGCCCGCUUGACGAGGGGUUUGACCUCUCUGGGUCAGUGACAUGUGGGCCCGGCCGCUGACAGUUUUAGUUUAGGACAAAAAUUAGUGCUAAUCACCCUGGUUAACUAAAUGAGUCAGUGACGAGUGGGCCUGGCCGGUCAGGUUUGACUCUAGUCGACACCGUUGACUUGCUGACGCAAGCAUGACAUGGUGCUGACGCAAUAAACCAUUUCUGAAUUAUUUCUAUUUCUGAAAUAAUUUGGAAAUUUGAGAAAAUGUUUAAAACUUCAAAAAUUCGUAGAAAUUAAUCUAUAACUCCAAAUUAAAUAUUUUAUAUAUGAAAAAUUAUCAGAAAAGUCCAAUCUAUCCAUCUGUACCAUUUUCAUGUAUGACAAAAAAACUUAUGGCUACUGUUUAGGGAAAAUAAAAUAAAUGGCAUUUGAAUAUCCACAUAUGGAGUUUAAAUUUUAACCUCUGGUUCAAACCAACUUCAUUUAAGUUGUUGCUAGGUGCAUUAGCUCAAUCAAUAGUAUAUUGACAUGUCAUGAUCAUGCAUUAUAUUGUUGCAUUGCAUUGAUUAUGUUCCUUCUCUGUUGUCGGUAUUUGUCCCCUCUUAGUAGACGUGGUUCCAACGAUGAGAUCGAUGACACCGAUGAAGAACUAUACUAUCUUCGGAAGUGCCAGGCAAGCAAAAACCCCUUGUUCAUUCUGAUACAAUCCCGCGCUCUCGCUCCUGCUCUCUUUUACUACAUUAGGACAACAAUGUUUCAACUGUUACAUGCUGCAAUAGCUGAAUCCCUAUCCUCUACAUGACCUAUCAUUGCCACAGUAAAUAGAAGAAACCCACUAGCAUGAGUAGGACUUGUUUGAGCCAUGAUGUGCCUACUCAUUCAUGCUUGUUUGUCAUGCCUGCUAUUGCUUAGAUUUUUCUCAAGUUUGAUUCAUCGGAGAUGAAUUGGAAUGUUGUGAACAUGUCCUACUGUUGAGAGCUAAGUGUGUGAACACGAUUUGGUAAAGGUAGCAGUGAGAGGCCAUAGGAGUACAUGGAGGGUUGUUGAUACGUCUCUGUCGUAUCUAUAAAUUUUUAUUGUUCCAUGCCAAUAUUAUACAACUUUCAUAUACUUUUGGCAACUUUUUAUACUAUUUUUGGGACUAACAUAUUGAUCCAGUGCCCAGUGCCAGUUCCUGUUUGUUGCAUGUUUUAUGUUUCACAGAAAACCCAUAUCAAACGGAGUCCAAACGGAAUAAAAACAGACAAAGAAUAUUUUUGGAAUAUUUAUGAUUUUUGGGAAGAAGAAUCAACGUGAGACAAUGCUCGAGGGGGCCACGAGGCAAGGGGCGCGCCCCAGGGGGUCAGGCGCGCCCUGAGCCCUCAUGGCUACCCCGUAAGGCGGUUAGUACCCUUCUUUUGUCGCAAGAAAGUCAAUAUCCAGAUAGUAAUCGUGUCCAAGGGACAACCCAAUUGGAGUUAGGGAUCUCCGGGAAUAUAAGAAACGGUGAAAGGGCAGAAUCAAGAACGCAGAAACAGAGAGAGACAGAGAGACAUAUCCAAUCUCGGAGGUGCUCUCGCCCCUCCCACACCAUGGAGACCAUGGAACAGAGGGGAAACCCUUCUCCCAUCUAGGGAGAAGGUCAAGGAAGAAGAAGGAGAAGAAGGGGGCUCUCUCCCCCUCUCUCCCGGUGGUGCCGGAGCGCCGCCAGGGCCAUCAUCAUCAUCGCGAUCUACACCAACACCUCCGUCAUCUUCACCAACAUCUCCAUCACCUUCCCCCAUAUAUAUUCAGCGGUCCACUCUCCCGCAACCCGCUGUACCCUCUACUUGAACAUGGUGCUUUAUCCUUCAUAUAAUUAUCCAAUGAUGUGUUGCCAUCCUAUGAUGUCUGAGUAGAUUUUCAUUGUCCUUUCGGUAAUUGGUGAAUUGCUAUGAUUGGUUUAAUUUGCUUGUGGUUAUGUUGUUGUCCUUUGGUGCCCAUCAUAUGAGCGCGCGCGUGGAUCAGACCAUAGGGUUAGUUGUAUGUUGAUAGGACUAUGUAUUGGAGGGCAAGAGUGACAGAAGCUUCAACCUAGCAUAUAAAUUGAUGCAUACGGGAUUGAAGGGGGACCAAUAUAUCUAAAUGCUAUGGUUGGGUUUUAUCUUAAUGAACGUUAGUAGUUGCGGAUGCUUGCUAAUAGUUCCAAUCAUAAGUGCAUAUAAUUCCAAGUUAGGGAUGACAUGCUAGCAGUGGGCUCUCCCACAUAAAACUUGCUAUCGGUCUAGUAAAGUAGUCAAUUGCUUAGGGACAAUUUCGCUACUCCUACCACCACUUUUCCACACUCAUUAUACUAACUUUAUAGCUUCUUUAUCUAAACUAGCCCCUAGUUUAUAUUUACGUGCUCUUUAUACCCUUGCAAACCUAUCCAACAACACCUACAAAGUACUUCUAGUUUCAUACUUGUUUUAGGUAAAGCGAACGUCAAGCGUGCGUAGAGUUGUAUCGGUGGUCGGUAGAACUUGAGGGAAUAUUUGUUCCACCUUUAGCUCAUCGUUGGGUUCGACACUCUUACUUAUCUAAAGAGGCUACAAUUGAUCCCCUAUACUUGUGGGUUGUCAAGACCUUUUUCUGGCGCCGUUGCCAGGAAGUCAUAGCGUGGGUGAAUAUUCUCGUGUGUGCUUGUUUCUUUAUCACUAAGUAAUUUUUAUUUGUUGUUCUUAGUUGUUUUCUAUCUUUAGUUAUGGGUAGGAAACACAAAAUGCGAAAAAAUAGUUGUACCUACUACACCAAUGGUUGAAGAACCACUCAAAAUCUAUCACACUCCUGAAGCUUUUUACUUGGAUCAUCUUUGAUCCCUAUGUGCUCAUGCUAAAACCCCAACUAGCUUAGUUGAGGGCAAAUCUUUAGAUGAGCAUGCUUGUUAUGUGUGACACCACUUAUCUCAAAAAGGGAAACUUUUACUGGAUCAAAUUCAUCGUUUGCAAUGCUAUGCUUGGAAUUUAUGUGAAAUAUAUGAUUUUACUUGUUGUUCUGAAAACCCUAAGAAACACCUUCCCUAUUAAUGUGAGUUUAGUGAUAAUGGAAUCGUAUCUUCGUAUGCUAAAGGUGUUUAUAAUUACUAUGAUGUUCAACACAUUGAAGAAUUUGUUGCUUUUAAGGGUGCUUAUGAAUUUUCUUGUUUGAUUGAAAAGUAUGAUGCUACUCUUUACAAAUCUGCAAAUUUUGCCAUACUUCAAUAUUGUUAUGAUAAUUAUGCUUCUAAUGCCUAUGUUAAACCAUAUAUUGAGGACUCCUCCGCUGUCCAAGAAGAGACUAAUAAUUUUGCAGGAGUCUAUGGAAGAAGAAAUUGAUGAAACUAUGAGCUCAUUGGAUGAAAAAGAUGAGGAGGAGAGCGAAGAACAAAAGGAGGAAGAGCGGAUUGACAACCCGAUCCCACCUUCUAAUGAGAGUAACUCUUCAACUCAUACAUUGUUUAAUUUCCCUUCGUGCUUAGGAUGAUUGCUAUGAUGAUUGUUAUGAUCCUGUUGAUUCUCUUGAAAUACCCCUUUUUGAUGAUGCUUGCUAUGCUUGUGGCCAAGAUGCCAAUAUGAAUUAUGCUUAUGGAGAUGAACUUGCUAUAGUUCCUUAUGUUAAACAUGAAAUUGUUGCUAUUGCACCCACACAUAAUAGUCCUAUUAUCUUUUUGAAUUCUCCAAACUACACUAUAUCGGAGAAGUUUGCUCUUAUUAAGGAUUAUGUUGAUGGUUUGCAUUUUACCGUUGCACAUGAUGAUUUUGAUGAAUAUAAUAUGCAUGUGCUUGCUGAUCCUACUUGCAAUUAUUAUGAGAGAGGAACUAUAUCUCCGCCUCUCCAUGUUUCCAACAUGAUAGAAUUGCAAGAAACUGCUUAUAUUAUGCAUUGGCCUUUACUUUGUGUGCAUGAAUUGUUCUUUUAUGAAAAGCCGAUGCAUAGGAAGGAGUUAGACUUUGUCAUUACAUGAUAUAUGUUUCUUUGUGCUCACUACUAAAUGCCAAAUCAUUGUUAAUUAAAAUUGGCUUUGAUAUACCUUGGGAUCCGGGUGGAUAUAUUACUUGAGCACUAUAUGCCUAGCUUAAUGGCUUUAAAGAAAGCGCUGCCAGGGAGACAACCCAAAAGUUUUAGAGAGUCAUUUAUUUCUGUUGAGUGCUUUUAUAAAGUUUAAAAACAAAAAAAAGAGGGUAACCCAAAACUUUUCAAAAAGGAAACUGAAAGUGAGAAAGACAAGCAUUGUUGAAGUGGGGGAGCUCCUUGAACUUUGUUCAUGCUCACGGAAACUUUGUGAAUCUUAUAUACAGAAAAUUUUCAUCAAAAAUAAUUAUCCCCUUGUACAAUUCCAUUGUAAUAUAAAAAUAAUGUGCCAAGGUUUGCCUUUAGGAUGUUUACAAUGCUUGUUGGUUUGUGCGGUGCAGGACAUAAACUUUGGCUGUAGUGCGCGAUUCUACAUUUUUUACUGGAACGUCAAACGGUUCUGAAACUUUUUGCACUGUAUUUAUUAACAAUUUUUUUAUUUUCCUAAUUUUGGAAGAAUUGUUGGGGUACUAGAAGUUUGGUGAAUGUUUAUAUUACUGUAGAUUGUCCUGUUUAAGACAGUUUCUGUUUUUGAUGCAUAGUUUGCUUGUUUUGAUGAAACUAUCAACUUCUAUCAGUGGAUUAAGCCAUGGAAAAGUUAUAUUACAGUAGAUACAAUGCAAAAACAAAAUAUGAAUUGGUUUCCAACAGUACUUAGAGUAGUGAUUUUCUUUAUUAUACUAACGGAUCUUACCGAGGUUUCUGUUGAAGUUUUGUGUGGAUGAAGUGUUCGAAGAUCGAGGAGGUCUCGAUAUGAGGAAAAGGAGGAGAGGCAAGACCUCAAGCUUGGGGAUGCCCAAGGCACCCCAAGUAAAUAUUCAAGGAGACUCAAGCGUCUAAACUUGGGGAUGCCCCGGAAGGCAUCCCAUCUUUAUUCAACAAGUAUCGGCAUGUUUUCGGAUUCGUUUCGUUCAUGCGAUAUGUGCAAGUCUUGGAGCGUCUUUUGCAUUUAGUUAUCACUUUUCUUUUAUGCACAUGCUGGUAUGAGAUAGUCCAUGGUUGAUUUAUAGAAUUCUCAUUGCACUUCACUUAAAUCUUUUGAGUAUGGCUUUAUAGAAUGCUUCAUGUGCUUCACUUAUAUCAUUUGAAGUCUGGAUUGCCUGUUUCUCUUCACAUAGAAAACUGCCAUUUGUAGAAUGCUCUUUUGCUUCACUUAUAUUUGUUAGAGGAUGGGCAUAUCUUUUGUAGAAAGAAUUAAACUCUCUUGCUUCACCUAUAUCUAGUUAGAGAGAUGACAGGAAUUGGUCAUUCCCAUGGUUAGUCAUAAAAUCAUACAUAAAACUUGUAGAUCACUGAAUAUGAUAUGUUUGAUUCCUUGCAAUAGUUUUGCGAUAUAGAGAUGAUAAUAAGUGGGAGGUACUAGUAAAUGGUUGUGUUUAGUAAGGAUAUUGGUGUGAAGGUUUGUGAUUCCCGAAGCAUGCACGUAUGGUCUCCUAACCAUGUAACCAAAUUGGCGCGCAUUGUAUUUUGAUUGUUUAUCUUCGCGUGAAGGUCGCGGGCCUGCGAUGAUUAACUCCUACCAACCUCCCCCCUAGGAGCAUGCGUAGUAGUACUUUUCUUCGAGGGCUAAUAAACUUUUGCAAUAAGUAUAUGAGUUCUUUAUGACUAAUGUGAGUCCAUGGAUUAUGCACACUCUUACCCUUCCAUCAUUGCUAGCCUCUUCGGUACCGUGCAUUGCCCUUUCUCACCUCAAGAGUUGGUGCAAACUUUGCCGGUGCAUCCAAACCCCGUGAUACGAUACGCUCUAUCACACAUAAGCCUCCUUAUAUCUUCCUCAAAUCGUCCACCAUACCUACCUAUUAUGUCAUUUCCAUAGCCAUUCCGAGAUAUAUUGCCAUGCAACUUCUGUCAUCAUCAUAUACAUGACUUGAGCAUUCAUUGUCAUAUUGCUUUGCAUGAUCGUAAGAUAGCUAGCAUGAUGUUUUCAUGGCUUGUCCAUUUUUUGAUGUCAUUGCUAUGCUAGAUCAUUGCACAUCCUGGUACUCCGCCGGAGGCAUUCAUAUAGAGUCAUACUUUGUUCUAGACAUCGAGUUGUAAUAUUGAGUUGUAAGUAAAUAAAAGUGUGAUGAUCAUCAUUAUUAGAGCAUUGCCCCAUGAAAAAAAUAGGCCAAAGAAGCCUAAUUAAAAAAAGGGGGCCCAAAGAAGACCGCCAAAAAAAGGAGGGCGAUGUUACUAUCCUUUUACCACACUUGUGCUUCAGAGUAGCGCCAUGUUCUUCAUAUAGAGAGUCUCUUGAGUUAUCACUUUCAUAUACUAGUGGGAAUUUUCAUUAUAGAACUUGGCUUGUAUAUAUCGAUGAUGGGCUUCCUCAAAUGCCCGUGGUCUUCAUGAGCAAGCAAGUUGGAUGCACACCCACUUAGUUUCAGUUUGAGCUUUCAUACACUUAUAGCUCUUAGUGCAUCCGUUGCAUGGCAACCCCUACUCCUCACAUUGACAUCAAUUGAUGGGCACCUCCAUAGCCCGUUGAUUAGCCGUGUCGAUGUGAGACUUUCCCCCUUUUUUUCUUCUCCACAGAACCUCCACCAUCAUACUCUACUCCACCUGUAGUGUUAUAUCCAUGGCUUGCGCUCAUGUAUUGCGUGAAGGUUGAAAAAGCUGAAGUGCGUUAAAAAGUAUGAACCAAUUGCUUGGCUGACAUCGAGAUAUGCAUGAGGGGUACCUUGUGUUAAGAAAAGGGAGCAUACAAGACUAUAUGAUUUUGUAGGGAUAACGUUCUGUAAGCAUUGAUAUUUUGAAAGGCAUGAUUGUUUAUUGGGAUGCCUGACUAUUAUUGUUUUUAUGUCAAAUGAUAGACUAUUGCUUUGAAUCACUCGUGUUCUAAUAUUCAUGCCAUGAUUAGAUUACAUGAUCAAGAUUAUGCUAGGUAGCAUUCCACAUCAAAAAUUAUCUUUUUUAUCAUUUACCUACUCGAGGACGAGCAGGAAUUAAGCUUGGGGAUGCUGAUACGUCUCCGUCGUAUCUAUAAUUUUUUAUUGUUCCAUGCCAAUAUUAUGCAACUUUCAUAUACUUUUGGCAACUUUUUAUACUAUUUUUGGGACUAACAUAUUGAUCUAGUGCCCAGUGCCAGUUCCUAUUUUUUGCAUGAUGUUUCAUAGAAAACCAUAUCAAACGGAAUAAAAACGGACGGAGAAUAUUUUUGGAAUAUUUAUGAUUUUUUGGGAAGAACAAUCAACGUGAGACGAUGCUCGAGGGGGCCACGAGGCAGGGGGGCGCGCCCUAGGGGGUCAGGUGCGCCCUGAGCCCUCGUGGCCACCCCGUAAGGAGGUUUGUGCCCUUCUUUCGCCGCAAGAAAGCCAAUAUCCACAUAGAAAUCGUGUCCAAAAGACAACCAAAUCGAAGUUCCGGAUCUUCGGGAAUAUAAGAAACGGUGAAAGGGCAGAAUCAGGAAUGCAGAAACAAAGAGAGACAGAGAGAUAGAUCCAAUCUCGGAGGGGCUCUCGCCCCUCCCACACCAUGGAGACCAUGGACCAGACGGGAAACCCUUCUCCCAUCUAGGGAGAAGGUCAAGGAAGAAUAAGAAGAAGGGGUCUCUCUCCUCCUCUCUCCCGGUGGCGCCGAAGCGCCGCCGGGGCCAUCAUCAUCACCGCUAUCUACACCAACACUUGCGUCAUCUUCACCAACAUCUCCAUCACCUUCCCCCAUCUAUAUUCAGCGGUCCACUCUCCCGCAACCCGCUAUACCCUCUACUUGAACAUGGUGCUUUAUGCUUCAUAUUAUUAUCCAAUGAUGUGUUGCCAUCCUAUGAUGUCUGAGUAGAUUUUCGUUGUCCUUUCGGUAAUUGGUAAAUUGCUAUGAUUGGUUUCAUUUGCUUGUGGUUAUGUUGCUAUCCUUUGGUGCCCAUCAUAUGAGCGCGCGCGUGAAUCACACCAUAGGGUUAGUUGUAUGUUGAUAGGACUAUGUAUUGGAGGGCAAGAGUGACAGAAGCUUCAACCUAGCAUAGAAACUGAUGCAUACGGGAUUGAAGGGGGACCAAUAUAUCUUAAUUCUAUGGUUGGGUUUUACUUUAAUGAAUGUUAGUAGUUGCGGAUGCUUGCUAAUAGUUCUAAUCAUAAGUGCAUAGAAUUCCAAGUCAGGGAUGACAUGCUAGCAGUGGCCUCUCCCACAUAAAACUUGCUAUCGGUCUAGUAAAGUAGUCAAUUGCUUAGGGACAAUUUUGCAACUCCUACCACCACUUUUCCACACUCGUUAUAAUAACUUUAUUGCUACUUUAUCUAAACAGCCCCUAGUUUAUAUUUACAUGCUCUUUAUAUCCUUGCAAACCUAUCCAACAACACCUACAAAGUACUUCUAGUUUCAUACUUGUUUUAGGCAAAGCGAACGUCAAGCAUGCAUAGAGUUGUAUUGGUGGUUGAUAGAACUUGAGGGAAUAUUUGUUCUCCUUUAGCUCCUCAUUGGGUUCGACACUCUUACUUAUCGAAAGAGGCUACAAUUGAUCCCCUAUACUUGUGGGUUAUUAGUUGUCUCAUUGAAACUGUCCUCAGGAACUGAGUUCUAUGUUUGUGAUCCAUGAACAAUUACUACCACACAUUGGGCCCUGAAAUAUGACCUCGCUCGACCUAUUAACACCCUGUCCUUUGUCCAAGAGUUGCAAGUUGUUUCUGGUGUUUGUAGUAUGCUGGAGGCCGUGUGCAGCGCUGACCCUAGGGGUGGGAUGUGAUGCGGUAGGCUCGUGGCACGGUGUACCAGGGCACCCGUUUGGUGGGCUCGGGAACCCUGCACACAUCGUUUGGGGCCAUAGUGGAAACCUUGACCGGACUCCGUGCGGAUAAACUACUAGGGGAAACCCUAGUAGUAGCGUGGGUUUUAACGCUAUCAGUAGCGCGGGUGGCCGCACUAUUAAUAAGGCGCUACUGCUAACAGAUAGUAGUAGCGCUCUAUGUACCCGCGCUACUAGUAUUGACUGUAUCAGUAGCACUUUUCCAACAUGCGCUGCUAAUAAGUAGCUGUAGCGCUUUUCUUUGCCCGCACUACUGUUGUAUCUUUCAACAUUUUCCCUACUUCCUAUUGAUCUAGAACAGUACCUCGUUUCAAUAAACUGCAAUUUCACAUAUACCAGAUAACAAUAUCAUUAACCACAAUACCAUAUAGUCAUAUAGUAGUCAUAUAAUAUCAUUAAGCAUUAUAGGUACUCAUAUAUAGUCAACAUGCAUCCUCACACACAUAUAUGGUUCAUACAGGAGCAUAUAUGAUAAGCAGUACUAGGUAGUCAUACAACAUAUAGCAGUUGAUACGUCUCCAACGUAUCUAUAAUUUGUGAAGCAUUCAUGCUAUUUUAUUAUCUGUUUUGAAUGAUUAUGGGCUUAUACACUUUUAUAUUACUUUUGGGACUAACCAAUUAACCGGAGGCCCAGCCCAUAUUGCUGUUUUAUUGCAUGUUUCAGUAUUUCGAAGAAAAGGAAUAUCAAACGGAGUCCAAAUGGAAUGAAACCUUCGGCAGCGUUAUUUUUGGGAAGAAUAUCAUCCUGGAGACUUGGAGUUUACGUCAUAAGAUCCUCGAGGAGGCCAGGAGAUAGCCCCCCCUACUGGGCAUGCCCCCUGUCUCGUGGGCACCUCGAUCACCUCCCGACCGACUUGUUUCGCCUAUAUAAGCCUAUGUACCCUAAAAACAUCGAAUAUCAAGAUAGACCGGGAGUUCCGUCGCCGCAAGCCUCUGUAGCCACCAGAAACCUCUCAGGAGCCCUUCCCGGCACCCUGCCGGAGGGGGGAUCCUUCACCGGUGGCCAUCUUCAUCAUCCCGGUGCUCUCCAUGACGAGGAGGGAGUAAUUCACCCUCGAGGCUGAGGGUAUGUACCAGUAGUUAUGUGUUUGAUGUCUCUCUCUCGUGUUCUCUCUCGUGUUCCCUCUAUGGCACGAUCUUGAUGUAUCCCGAGCUUUGCUAUUGUAAUUGGAUCUUAUGAUGUUUCUCCGCCUCUACUCUCUUGUAAUGAAUUGAGUUUUCCCUUUGAAGUUAUCUUAUCGGAUUGAGUCUUUUACGAGAACACUUGAUGUAUGUCUUGUCGUGAUUAUCUGUGGUGACAAUGGGAUGUCAUGUGCCACUUGAUGUAUGUUUUGGUGACCAACUUGCGGGUUCUACCCAUGAACCUGUGCAUAGGGGUUGGCACACGUUUUCGUCUUGACUCUCCGGUAGAAACUUUGGGGCACUCUUUGAAGUACUUUGUGUUGGUUGAAUAGAUGAAUCUGAGAUUGUGUGAUGCAUAUCGCAUAAUCAUGCCCACGGAUACUUGAGGUGACAAUGGAGUAUCUAGGUGACAUUAGGGUUUUGGUUGAUUUGUGUCUUAAGGUGUUAUUCUAGUACAAACUCUUGAAUAGAUUGAUCCGAAAGAAUAGCUUUGAGGUGGUUUCAUACCCUACCAUAAUCUCUUCGUUUGUUCUCCGCUAUUAGUGGCUUUGGAGUGACUCUUUGUUGCAUGUUGAGGGAUUAUUAUAUGAUCUAUGUAUGUUAUUAUUGUUGAGAGAACUUGCACUAGUGAAAGUAUGAACCCUAGGCCUUGUUUCCUACCAUUGCAAUACCGUUUACGCUCACUUUUAUCGCUUGCUACCUUGCUGUUUUUAUAAUUUCAGAUUACAAAUACCUUUAUCUACCAUCCAUAUUGCACUUGUAUCACCAUCUCUUCGCCGAACUAGUGCACCUAUACAAUUUACCAUUGUAUUGGGUGUGUUGGGGACACAAGAGACUCUUUGUUAUUUGGUUGCAGGGUUGUUUGAGAGAGACCAUCUUCAUCCUACGCCUCCUACGGAUUGAUAAACCUUAGGUCAUCCACUUGAGGGAAAUUUGCUACUGUCCUACAAACCUGUGCACUUGCAGGCCCAACAACGUCUACAAGAAGAAGGCUGUGUAGUAGACAUCAAGCUCUUUUUCUGGCGCCGUUGCCGGGGAGGCUAGGUAAACGGCACUCACACCCCGUCAACUAAGCUCUUUUCUAGCGUCGUUGCCGGGGAGGUGAGUGCUUGAAGGUAUAUCUUUAGAGCUUGCAAUCGAAUCUUUUUGUUCAUUGUUUUAUCACUAGUUUAGUUUACAAAAGUAAACUACAAAAAAAUGGAAUUAAGUUUGUCUCAUUCGCUUCAUCUUUUUAAUAUCUUUCGUGAGUAUGAUGGAAAGGAAAAUUGUGCUCUAGUGUUAGAGGAAGAAUGCAUUAGAAUGUUUGGUAUUAGAUCUUUGAAUGAUGAGCAUGAUUGCAAUGUUGUUAGUAUGAAUUCCUUGAAUAUCCAUGAUGCUAAUGAUAUGCAAAGCCACAAGCUUGGGGAUGCUAUGUUUGAUGAAUAUGAUAUUUUUUGUCCCCCAAGUUUUGAUGAGAAUAUUUAUAUGAUGAAAGCAUGCCUCCUAUUUAUGAUGAUUAUAUUGAUGAAAGUGAGUUUGGAAGAGUGUCAACUUUAGGUAGUAUUGAUCCCACUAUUUUGGAGGAUGUUGAAUCUUAUUGUGAUGAAUAUGAAAGUGUAUUUGGAAGAGUGUCAACUUUAUUUAGUGAUGAUUCCACUAUUUCGGAAGAGGUUCCAAUUGAUUAUGAGCAUAAAGUUGUUAUCUAUGAUGAUUACUGUGAUGACUUGUAUGUUAUUAAGAAUAAUGAUAACCAUGAAACUUGUCAUCAUGAUUUUAGUUUUCAAUUGGAUUAUGCCUCACAUGAUAGUUAUUUUGUUGAGUUUGAUCCCACUAUUAUUGAUGAGAAUAAAUUUGCUUAUGUGGAGAGUAGUAAAAUUUCUAUGCUUGUAGAUCAUGAAAAGAAUGUUUUAGGUGCUGGUUAUAUUGUUGAAUUCAUUCAUGAUGCUACUGAAAAUUAUUAUGAGAGGGGAACAUAUGCUUGUAGGAAUUGCAAUAAUAUCAAGUUUCCUCUCUAUGUGCUUCAAAUUUUGAAGUUAUGCUUGUUUUACCUUCCUAUGCUAGUUGAUUAUUGUUCCAAUAAGUUGUUUGCUCACAAAAUACCUAUGCAUAGGAAGUGGGAUAGACUUAAAUGUGCUAGUCAUAUGCUUCAUGAUGUUCCCAUUAUGUUUCAAUUCUUAUCCUUUAUGUGAGCAUCAUUGCCAUCAUCAUGCCUAGCUAAAAAGGCAUUAAAGAAAAUCGCUUGUUGGGAGACAACCCAAUAUUUAACCUUACUGUUUUUGUGUUUCCACAUGAUUAUGCUACUUUAGUAAUCAUGUUUUAUAGCUUUUGUUUCAAUAAAGUUCCAAGUAGAGCCUUUGGGAAGACUUGGGUGAAGUCUUUAUGAUCUUGCUGUAAAAAACAGAAACUUUAGCGCUCACGAGAUUAGCUGCCAUUUUUUACAGAAGAGUGAUUUUAGGUUGAUUAUUUUUGCAGAUGAUUAAUAGACAAAUUCCUCAGGUCCACCAGUUUAUUUGAGAAGUUAUGAAGUUCCAGAAGUAUAUGAUACAGAUUACUACAUACUGUUCUCUUUUUGACAAAUUCUGUUUUCAUUGUGUUGUUUGCUUAUUUUGAUGAAUCUAUGGCAAGUAUGUAAGGGUAUGAACCAUAGAGAAGUUGGAAUACAGUAGGUUUAACACCAAUAUAAAUAAAGAAUGAGUUCAUUACAGUACCUAAGUGGUGAUUUAUUUUCUUACACUAACGGAGCUUACGAGUUUUGUGUUGAGUUUUGUGUGGUUGAAGUUUACAUGUUUUGGGUAAAAGAUUCGAUGGACUAUGGAAUAAGGAGUGGCAAGAGCCUAAGCUUGGGGAUGCCCAAGGCACCCCAAGGUAAUAUUCAAGGACAAGCAAGAAACUAAGCUUGGGGAUGCCCCGGGUGGCAUCCCCUCUUUCGUCUUCAUUCAUCGGUAACUUUACUUGGAGCUAUAUUUUUAUUCGGCACAUGUUAUGUAUUUUACUUGGAGCGUCAUUUUAUUUUGUUAGUAUUUGCUUGGUGUUAUUUAUAAUAAUGAUUUGCAUCUUUAUUUUCAAUAAAAAUGUCAAGGAUAGCCUUUACCAUGCUUAUUUUUCUUGUAUACAUGUUGCUGUUUGAAAACAGAAAGUUUACCACUGUUGCAAAAAUUCCCUAGAAAAUUCAGAGAAUGAUAUAAUGUUGAAUAUUUUUGAAUAAUGAGAUCUGAUAAAUCUUUUACAGCAUAGUAUUUUUCUUAUAAUUGUUUGAGUUAGGGAAGUAUGAUGAAUCUUGCAUUCUUUACAGACUAUACUAUUUUGGCAGAUUGCUGUUAUGUUUGCAUUGUUUGCAUAUGUUUGCUUGUUUAAUGAUUCUAUUUUAGGAUGGGAGUAUUAAAUAUGCAGAGACAUUUAGUAUGCAAUGUUGAAUAAUAAUGUUAGUGAUUUGUUACAGUAGAAAAUGAUAAGGUUUUGCAUUGGUUUCUACUAAGCUAUCUCACGAGUUCUUGUUGAGUUUGUUGUGGAUGAAGCUUUUUUAUAAAAAGAGAAACCAUGAUAUGAGAGGAUUUAAGGAGACACAAAAGCUCAAGCUUGGGGAUGCCCAAGGCACACCAAGAUAAUAUUUCAAGAAGUCUCAAGCAUCUAAGCUUGGGGAUGCCCCGGUAGGCAUCCCACCUUUCUUCUUCAACAACUAUCGGUUAGUAUCGGUUGAACCUAAGUUUUUGCUUCUUCACAUGAGUCGUGCUAUCCUUGCAAUGUCAUUUUGUUUUGUUUUGCUUGCUGUUUGAAUACAAUACCAAGAUCUGAAAUUAUUUAAUGGGAGAGAGUCUUCACAUAGUUGCAUAAUUAUUUAGCUACGCAUUGAUCUUCACUUAUAUCUUUUUGGAGUAGUUUUACAUUUACUCGUGUGCUUCACUUAUAUCCUAUGAGUAAAUGGUUGAAUGAGUUGAAUGUCAUAAAUCUGAAAUUACAUAUUUUUCAUUUGCUUAUCCCAUCGGGAGUAAUGACUUCACAUCUAAUAAGUAGAGGUAGUAAUUUAUUGGCGGUUAGCAAGCAUUAUAUUGGUCAUUUGAACAAUUCAUGAAAGAAUAUUGAAGGAAGAGAGAUUUCACAUAUAAAUAUAUUAUCAUAGACAUCUUUUAUAAUUGUGAGCACUCAUUAAGUAUGACAUGCUAAAGAGUUGAUGUUGGACAAGGAAGACAACAUAAUGGGUUAUGUUUUAUCACAUCUCAGUUAAAGUAUAUUGUCAUGGAUCAUUCAAACAUGUUGAGCUUGCCUUUCUCCCCUUGCUAGCCUAAAUAUCUGUACUAAGCGGGAAUACUGCUUGUGCAUCCAAUAUCCUUAAACCCAGUUUUUGCCAUGAGUGUCCACUAUACCUACCUAUAUGCGGUAUUUACCUACCGUUCCAAGUAAAUUUGCAUGUGCCAAACUCUAAACCUUCAAAUUAUAAUCUGUUUUGUAUGCCCGAAUUGCUCAUGUAGCAACUAGGGGCUGUCAGUGUCUUCCAUGCUAGGUGGGUUAUUCUCAAGAGGAGUGGACUCCGCUCCUCAUUCACGAGAAAGUGGCGGUAACCGGGAUGCCCAGUCCCAUGAUCAAAAGAUCAAAAACAAAUCAAAAAUAAUUGCAAACAAAAAUCCCCCAGGUUUGAUGUUAGUUGGAGGCACCCGUUGUUUCGGGCAAGCCAUGGAUUGAUGAUUGUUGGUGGAGGGGGAGUAAAAACUUUUACCAUUCUGUUUGGGAACCGCCUAUAAUGUAUGUAGUAUGGAAGAUAUUGAGAACUCUUGGUUGUUAUGUUGACAAUGAGAUCAUACUCUCAAAAUUAUUUAUCUCUAUUUCAAAAUUGAGCUCUGGCACCUCUGAAAAUCCCUGCUUCCCUCUGUGAAGGGCCUAUCUUUUACUUUAUGUCUUUUAGUUUAUGCAAGAGUCAAGGUGAUCUUCACCUUUCCCUUUUUCAUUUUAUCCUCUAGCAAGCACUUUGUGUUAGGGUGAUCCUGAUAUAUAUAUCCAAUUGGAUGUACGUUAGCAUGAACUAUUAUUGUUCACAUCACCAAAAGGUCAAUACAUUUGGAGGCAACAUUAUAAGCCCCAAUCUUUCUGUGUGUCUGAUUAAAACUUCAUAACCACAAGUAUUGCGUGAGUGUUAGCAAUUGUAGAAGACUAUAUGAUAGUUGAAUAUGUGAAGUUUGCUAAAUCAAAGCUCUAACAUAGACCCUUCCUGAAAAUAAGAUGAAUUGCAAUUGUUUGAUGACUAAGAAUGAAGUUUGCUAGUUUUCAAGAAAGUUUAUGGUCUAUGCUUUAACAUGUGAAUUGCUUGUUACUUGAUUAUCAAAAAUUUUAUGAGAUGAACUACUGUUAUGACAUAUAAACAUGCUAGAGAGGUGAUUGAAAUUAUUGUUGAUCAAACUUGUGCACCUCUAGCAUUCACACUUCAUAAAUUCUUUCUUUAUCAUUUACCUACUCGAGGACGAGUAGGAAUGAAUCUUGGGGAUGCAGAUACGUCUCCAACGUAUCUAUAAUUUAUGAAGCAUUCAUGCUAUUUUAUUAUCUGUUUUGCAUGAUUAUGGGCUUUAUUAUACACUUUUAUAUUACUUUUGGAACUAACCAAUUAACUGGAGGCCCAGACCAUAUUGCUGUUUUAUUGCCUGUUUCAGUAUUUCGAAGAAAAGGAAUAUCAAAUGGAGUCCAAACGGAAUGAAACCUUCGGCAGCGUUAUUUUUGGGAAGAAUAUCAUCCUGGAGACUUGGAGUUUACGUCAGAAGAUCCUUAAGGAGGCCAGGAGAUAGGGGGCGCCCCCCCCUACUGGGUGCGCCACCUGUCUCGUGGGCCCCUCGAGCACCUCCCGACCAACUUCUUUUGUCUAUAUAAGCCUACGUACCCUAAAAACAUCGAAUAUCAAGAUAGAUCGGGAGUUCCACCGGCGCAAGCCUCUGUAGCCACCAGAAACCUCUCGAGAGCCCUUCCCGGCAACCUGUCGGAGGGGGGAUCCUUCACCGAUGGCCAUCUUCAUCAUCCCGACGCUUUCCAUGAUGAGGAGGGAGUAGUUCACCCUCAAGGAUGAGGGUAUGUACCAGUAGCUAUGUGCUUGAUCUCUCUCUCUCUCUCUCUCUCUCUCUCUCUCUCUCUCGUGUUCUCUCUCAUGUUCCCUCUAUGGCACGAUCUUAAUGUAUCCCGAGCUUUGCUAUUGUAGUUGGAUCUUAUGAUGUUUCUCCCCCUCUACUCUCUUGUGAUGAAUUGAGUUUUCCCUUUGAAGUUAUCUUAUCGGAUUGAGUCUUUUAUGAGAACACUUGAUGUAUGUCUUAGCGUGAUUAUCUGUGGUGACAAUGGGAUGUCAUGUGCCACUUGAUGUAUGUUUUGGUGACCAACUUGCGGGUUCUGCCCAUGAACCUAUGCAUAGGGGUUGGCACACGUUUUCGACUUGACUCUCCGGUAGAAACUUUGGGGCACUCUUUAAAGUACUUUGUGUUGGUUGAAUAGAUGAAUCUGAGAUCGUGUGAUGCACAUCGUAUAAUCAUGCCCACGGAUACUUGAGGUGACAAUGGAGUAUCUAGGUGACAUUAGGGUUUUGGUUGAUUUGUGUCUUAAGGUGUUAUUCUAGUACGAACUCUUGAAUAGAUUGAUCCGAAAGAAUAGCUUUGAGGUGGUUUCGUACCCUACCAUAAUCUCUUCGUUUGUUCUCUGCUAUUAGUGGCUUUGGAGUGACUCUUUGUUGCAUGUUGAGGGAUUGUUAUAUGAUCUAUCUAUGUUAUUAUUGUUGAGAGAACUUGCACUAGUGAAAGUAUGAACCCUAGGCCUUGUUUCCUACCAUGGCAAUAUCGUUUACGCUCACUUUUAUCACUUGCUACCUUGCUGUUUUUAUAAUUUCAGAUUACAAAUACCUUUACUUACCAUCCAUAUUGCACUUGUAUCACCAUCUCUUCGCCGAACUAGUGCACCUAUACAAUUUACCAUUGUAUUGGGUGUGUUGGGGACACAAGAGACUCUUUGUUAUUUGGUUGCAGGGUUGUUUGAGAGAGACCACCUUCAUCCUACGCCUCCUACAGAUUGAUAAACCUUAGGUCAUCCACUUGAGGGAAAUUUGCUACUGUCCUACAAACUUGUGCACUUGCAGGCCCAACAACGUUUACAAGAAGAAGGUUGUGUAGUAGACAUCAGUAGUCUACUAGGGGUAGUCAUACAGCCACACACAUAUAUAGAUCUAGAUGAUAUCGACGACGACCAUCAUCCUCAAGCCAUGGCGGUGGGUGUUCCUGAUAGUAAUUCGGAUGGCAUGUCCAACACGAAGAUUCUUGCCAACGAUGAAGUUCUUCCACCCAACCGAUCUGAAGUGUGUGCGACCGUCCGUGUCCACGCCGUACGCAUAGGUGGUGAUGGAGCCCCUUGCGGUAUGGCGUAUUCUAGAAGAGCCUUCUUCAUCAGGCUCGAUACCACAACUCACAAAUAGCCUCUUUGGCAAUUUAUGAAUAAGAAAAACAUAUCAAUUAAUAAGUAGCCUCGCACAUACUCUUGCAAAUAUAUUUCUACUAAGUAUAGGUUUCUACACUAUCAAAAAAAUACUACAUUUCUACUAAGCUUGAAUUCUACUAAUAAGUAUGGAUCGGACAGUAAGCAUGUCAUUGGACUCUAGACUAAUUAAGCAUGUCAUCGGCUAGCUUCUACACAUCAUAUCAUUGGACUCUACACUAAGCAUAUCAUCGGAUUCACUAAGCAUACCGUUGGACUCUACACUAAGUAAGCAUGUAAUCGGAUUCUACACUAAGUAUAACAUACCAUAACAUGCCGAUUAACCAUGGUACUUGUCAGGCGGGUCACGAAUGGCACCCUGACAAAGUCAGCAAGUGGCGGAAUUAUGUCCCAUAGGUUGCACACUUCCUCCUCGCUCAGCCUUAUUCUUCGAGUAUAGAUGGCUUCAUCAAGUGGGUCAUCAUCAUCUUCAUCCAUGUUGAUAUAAAUGACGGCCAACUUGGGUCUUUCUACUAUGAAGGAGAAGCUGAUCAACUCACCACCAGUGAUACCCAUGUGGGAGAUGAGACGGUUCCAUCCAUUUCGUCCCAUCUACGACAUAUUUCGUCCUUUCUCGACCUCCAUAGUGUGGGGCCCCCCAGGAGCCUCAAAGGUCACAGUGUCUCCGAUCAGCUUGUUGAAUUCCAACCUCACAUUGCAUGGGAUGAUCUAUGUAUACACAAUGAUAGAUACACAAUGCACUAAUGCCAAUAACACUAAAAACAAAAUGGUUGUUACAAGUUUCAUAUAUUUUGUUACCGCUGCAGGAAGAAAACUCGGCUGGAAGUAGAUGCCGAACAAUGUGCCAGUUGCAAGGCUGCUAGCUCAUCUUGACUUGCACGGUCGACAUGGUGGUGGUGGUGGUGUCGCCGUUUUUCUAAAGAAAUAUUAGAAAAGGAUUAACGAUCCACUUCAGAGGAAAAAUAUGGCAUGACCUUUCCUAAAAAGGACAUAUCAAGUGCAUGACAUUUGCCGGAACAGAAAUUAAUCAACACUCCGGCAAAACAUAGGCCACUCGGAGGUGUUACCUGCAAAUAUGGUCACUUGGGCAAGAACAUAUCCUAUUUGAGCAACACUAUAUACUUGUUUAUAUCUACAUCAUAUGAGCAAUUCUUGAGCAACACUAAAUAAACUAGUUGUACUAAAAAAUCUACAUCAUUAUCUACUCAAAAUGUUCUAUACCUAAAACAUCUACAUCAUUAUCCACUAUUACUAUUUAUUUUACUAAACCCUAAAAAUAUGCCCUAAGUUCAGAAUAUAACAAGUACAGAACAUUUUUUCAAAUUAUACCAACUAAAAAUUUCCAUUACUAAAAUUUCUAAUCAAAAGACCUAAAAUUUCCUAUUCUAUUCAAAACACCUAAAAUAGGCUAAAAAAAUACUCUGUUACAAAACCUACAUUCUGCAUUAAACGACCUACAUUCUACAAGAACAGAGAGAAGGGAGGGAGGAGGGUUAGGAAGGAGGGAGGGAGGAGUGGGAGGAAGGAGGGAACAGGUGGGAAGAAUGGGGGAGGGAGGAGGAUGGAGGUAGGAGGAGCUACCUCGGUGGCGGUGACGGCCAGGAGGGGGGCGACGGUAGCAGGAUGGAGGAGGGAGGGUGACAGCCGGCAGGAUGGAGGAGGGAGGGGGCGAUGGCUGGCAGUGGGAUGGAGGAGGGAGGGGCGACGGCUGGUGGCGGGAUGGAGGAGGGAGGGGCGACAAUGCGGAGGUGGAAGACGACAGGGCCGGUGCGGGGGAGAGUGAGUGGAGCAGAGAGAGGAGAGUGACGAGCAGGCUGGUAAUAGGAUGGCUUUAGCAAUAGCAUUUUUCUUGCUAACGCGCUGCUGCUAAACGCCCUAGCAAUAGCACCUUCCGAUAAAAAGCGCCACUGCUAAGUGUAAGCAUGCAAAAAUACAUUGGCCGUCAAUGAUCUUUUUGUAUACAAUAUGAAUUGUCAAUAUGAGUCCUCUCAUGUAGGAACCGGAGAAGACUCAUAUUACGGCCACAAAUUCUACACAUAGAGUUCAAUGAAGACCAAGUGGUAGUGAUAGCUUGAGAAGUAACAUAUUUAAGGUGGUAAACACCCUGUUCGCGAACCGAGGUGGGACUAAACUUGUGGACUGAACUUAGCAGUAGCGAGUUUUACCGAAAGGCCCUGCUGCUAACAUCAAUAGCAGUAGUGCGCUAUUUAAUAUGGUGCUACUGCUAUAACUAGCUUGACAGUGAGGUCAUGGCAAUUAUAGCAGUAGCGUUGUUUACAAAGGACGCGCUACUACUAUUUUCCUUUCAGCAGCGUGUUUUUGUGGCACGCGCUGCUGCUAAGUAGCAGUAGUGCCAUAUUUUAAAGAUCACUGCUGGUAAGAUUCUGUGUAUAAGGUUUUUCCUAGUAGUGAUAGAACCUGAAUAGGAGAUAAACCUAGACUAGGGACUUAUGUGGUUAGUCAGGUCGUCGUCUACACCCACGUCGGCUUUCACUUGAAGUCUGUCGAGCACAUGUCGUGUGCAGACGCUAAGUGGCGGAAACAUGCGUGAAGAAGGACAACCCUGCAGGGUUAUAAACGAUCCAUUCGAAUAGCCACAUCCAUGAUAAAGGACUUCUAGGUUGCCUAUACAGUUCAUAGACAGGUGAAAGUGCAUACUCUAAAAUGCGCAAGAUAAGCGUGAGUGCUAUGGAUGGCGAUCUCGUAGGGAGACGGGAGCAGAUCCAUAGUGGUGAAUUGAUAUGGUGAAUAUGUGGACUCAUGUGCGCCACCUCAAAAGAGUUACUAGCAGUCGUAGUACAGGAUAGACAGUGAGUCAAAGCUGGCUUGCUACAGUUAAACUCCACCACCCCUUUGUUGAUACUGAUGCAUAUGUAGCUAGUUCUGAUGUAAGUCUUGAUGGGUACAUUUGUACUCACGUUUGCUUAAUUUAUGUUUUUGCAGAGAGACUUCACUCUCACUAGUAGUUCCGCAUGGACUUCAACGUUUAGCUUGUUACCUCAACUACGAUCUUGUGCCCUCGGGAGGGUCUUGUAGAUAGUCAGGCUUCUCAGCAUUCUUCAAUUGUAGUUGUAUGUACUCAGACAAGUUAAGCUUCCGCAUGUGCUUAUUGCUUGUAUGACUUGAAUGUUGGGUCAUCAGACCCAUGUUUGUAAUAUCUGGCUCCUCGGAGCCUAUUGAAUAAAUACUCUGAGUCGUAGAGUUUUGUUGUGAUGCCAUGUUGUAUUUGCACAAAUUGAGCAUAUUGUGUGUAUGUUAUUGAAAUGCUUGGUAUGUGUGGGAUCCGGCAAUCUAGUUGUUUAUUCUUGGUAGCCUCUCUUAUGGGGAAAUGUCUCCUAGUGAUUCCACUGAGCGAUGGUAGCUUGCUACUGCUCUGGAACACUUAGGCUGGCCGGCAUGUGUCCUUCUUUGUUCCUGUGCCUGUCCCUUUGGGGAAAUGUCACGUGUUGUUCCUUUAAGUCAUUGCAGCUUGCUACGACUUGGGUUCAUACGUUGAUGAUCGACAUGUUCGUUGCUAGAUCAUGUAUGCCUGUCCCUGUAAGUUAGUGCCACCUUGGGUUUACGACUAGUCAUGUCAUCCUGUGUUCUCUGUCAUAUGGAUGCUAGCAACAAUAUCAUAUACGUGAGCCAAAAGGCGCAAAUGGUCUCGGGCCAGGUAAGGUGGCACCCGUGGGAAUAUUGUGUGUGAGGCUGCAAAGUGAUAUGAUGUGUUACAUGCUAGAUCAGUGUGACUUAGGAUCGGGGUCCUGACAGGAGUGCCAUAUAGAAAGCUUCCGCUCGAGCUUGUGCACGAUGGGUAGCAAGUUGGUUGUGGUUGGCUUCCGGAUGGAAAGGGGUAGACCAGGUACUGCACAGGGAACUCCGCGACGGUGCAGUGCAUCUCUGCCACGAUGACAGUUGCAUGCUCGUCGGUGCAUCGAGUGGGAGUGGCAGAGCACUUGGUGAAGUUCGUCUGCAAGCCAAAUGCCACACCAAAAACGCAUAGGAUCUCCCGGAUAGUCGAUAUGUCGUGGUGAUCAGGAUGGCAGAAGAUGACAAUGUGUCGUCCGCAUAGAGCGAGAUGCAAGAACUGGCGUGUCUGGGAGUGAGUCACUGGAGCAUCCCAAGAUCGACCGCACGGAUGAGCAUAGAAUUGAGGACAUCGAUUACGAUGGUGAACAACAUAGGCGAGGCAGGAUCUCCUUGUUGCAGGCCGCAAGCGUGGUCGAUGGGUGGCCCUGGUUGCCCGUUGAUCAAGAUCCUAGUGGAAGCAGUAGAUAGGAGGAUCGAGAUCCAAUCCCUCUAGCGGCUCCCGAAGCCAAGGUGUCGCAGCAUCUCCAACAAUAAUGGUCAAGAUACACUGUCAAAGGCCCCCUCACACCCCCCCAGAUCCCCUCCAUUUGCUUGAGAUUUCACCGGUGGAUCCGGAGCAUUUUCAUCACCCAAGGUACCUCCCCCAUUUCCCCUCCUUUUGAUUGGUUGAGAUCUUUUUUUGUGUGGAUUUGGUCAAUUUAUUGCAAACCCUAGGUGUUGAUCUUGUUGUGUGCAUUUAUGACACAUUUAUGAUGCAUUUAUGGCUCAUUUAUGGCAAGGGUUAGGGUUAUGUUAGGGGUUAGUGUUAGUGUGAGGGUUGGGGUUAUAGUGGUUAUGCUGGGGGUUAGGGUUAGGGUUAGGGUUAAUGGUUAGGUUAACUUGAUUAUCAAUAGUAGUUAUUUGUCCAAUUUGUGCAUAAUUUAGUUUAUUUGUCCAUUUGAGUUGCACUAGUAGCAAAAGGGCCUAAUGUGAAGCACAUUAGUCCCGGUUUGUAAUAGAGCCGGCACUAAUGUGACCAUUAGUGCCGGUUCCAACGGCUAGGGGGGCGGAGCUCAUUAGUACCGGUUCGUGGUGAACCUUUAGCACUAGUUCGUGCCACGAACCGGUACUAAAGAGAGUGGUGGUAGGAUGUUGUCAGACUGGGGCCCCUCCAGCACCUUUAGUACCGGUUCGUGCCCCAAACCGGUACUAAAGGUCAUCAUACAUAUAAACCCUUCGUCUAGCUUGCUCUAUUCUUCCCCAUUUCCCCUCUCUUCUCUGUUCUUCCUCUCUUCCCCCUCGAGCUCAUCACACAUUUUGCCCAAUUUUUUUUCAAGAUUUGAAGGCCCCCAUCCAUUCAAGUGAUCACAAAGGUUAGCAACUUUGUCCUUUCAUAUCUCAUUGCUAGAUUGGCUCUUGUAAUGCUUUAUAUAGUGAUUAAUUUGUGGGUUUUAGUAAUUUGGGAGGAAUUAUAUGUUGUAGUAUAUUCGAUUUAUAUGCAAUUUCAGCUUAAAAUAACUCUUAGUUUGCAUAUGUAGGUGUGGUUUACUUAGUGCCUUCCUGUCUCCGUCGUAACUACUGUCAAUCUUCCGCACCGACCAGUCGCCGGUACCACCUUGUGGUGAGCCUCUUGUUCUUAUCUUUUUUAUAUAAAAAAAUCAUGUUUGUGUGAUUUAGAUAUAUAGUUACUUCUAUAAUUAUCUUACCCGUACGUUGUUUGUUAUACAUAGUGCCAUGGUUUUGAUAUCCGUCCCCGUCGGCUCUCGUCCGUGUUAUGAUUCCGAUGUGGUAUAUUCUCUUUUAAAACUAUUUGUUGGAUUUUCGUGUUUAUGACAAAUUAUGCCCAUCAAGUUGACAUAAAUAUUUUUAUCUAGGAGGUAUGUGAACCGGAAAUUCCAACCGACCCUAUUGUCGAGAGGUUAAAUUUAGUUAAAAGAGAAACCGAGUAUUUGAAAGAAAAAUUGAAAAGAAUUGAGGGGGAGAAGAUGGAAUUGGAGUUGCAUGUUGCUGAUGUCGUCGAUGAUCACAAGAUCAAGAUGGAGAAAAUGCGGUUGAAGAUUAGAAAGAUUAGAAAAUAUGCCAUUGAUAGUGAGGCUUGGUAUCAUUAUGCUGUUGGAUCAAUUGUUACUUUAGUUGCGAUCUUGAUCGCUUUUUUUGCAUUUAAUUGCUUUAGCUAGAUAGUUAUUUGUAUGUUGCAUUUAAGUGUUGUAUGAACUUUAUGUAUGAACUUGUAUUAAUUUGGUCUAUUCGGUGGUGUGUAAUGAAGAUGCACUGGCAAUGGAUGUACGAUAACCGAUGCUCUCCCCAAUUCAUUGAUGGCGUGCAUACUUUUCUGAUUGUGGCUCAGGCAAACAAGCGGGCGGAUGGUUUUAUGCCUUGUCCAUGUGCUGGCUGUAAGAAUGAUCACAAUUACUCUAACUCAAGAACCAUUCACAUCCACCUGUUUGAGUCCGGUUUCAUGCCCCAUUAUAACCUUUGGAAGACAAUGAAGAAGAAGAGGACGAUGAUAGCUAUCCUGGACAUGGGUUCCCUGAAUAUGAUGAUACAACAAUGGGGGAAGAAGCUUAAGAAGAGGCAUCAGAUGAGCCCGCUGAUGAUCUAGGUCGGGCCAUUGCCGAUGCAAAGAGAAACUGCGCAAGUGAAAAGGAGAAGAAGAAGUUGCAGCGCAUGUUAGAGGAUCACAAGAAAUUGUUGUACCUGAAUUGCAAAGGUGACAAGAAAAAGCUGGGCACCACACUGGAAUUGCGGCAAUGGAAGGCAGAGAAUGGUGUAUCUGACAAGGGAUUUGGAAAGUUGCUGGUAAUGAUAAAGAAUAUGCUUCCAAAGGACAAUGAAUUGCCCAAGAGUACGUACGAAGCAAAGAAGGAUGUCUGCCCUCUAGGCUUAGAGGUGUGGAAGAUACAUGCAUGCCCUAAUGACUGCAUCCUCUACCGCGGUGAGUACAAGGAUAUGAACAUGUGCCCGGUAUGCGGUGCAUUGCGCUAUAAGAUCAGCCGCGAUGACCCUGGUGAUGUCGAGGGCGAGCGCCCCAGGAAGAAGAUUCCUGCCAAGGUGAUGUGGUAUGCUCCUAUAAUACCAUGGUUGAAACAUUUGUUCCAAAACAAAGAGCAUGGCAAGGCGAUGCGAUGGCACGGAGAAGACCGUAAGAAGGAGGGAAAGUCGAGAGUACUAGCUGACGGGUCGCAGUGGAGAAAAAUAGAGAGAAAGUACAGGGAGGAGUUUGCAGGUGACCCAAGGAACGUAUGGUUUGGUCUAAGCACAUAUGUCAUUAAUCCUUUUGGGGAGCAGAGCAGCAACCAUAGCACGUGGCAUGUGACUCUUUGUUUGUAUAACCUUCCUCCUUGGUUGUGCAUGAAGCGGAAGUUCAUUAUGAUGCCAGUGCUCAUCCAAGGCCCUAAGCAACCCAGCAACGACAUUGAUGUGUACCUAAGGCCAUUAGUUGAAGAACUAUUACAGUUGUGGAAUGGAAAUGGUGUAUGUGUGUGGGAUGAGCACAAAUAGGAAGAAUUUGACCUAAAGGCAUUGCUGUUCGUGACCAUUAAUAAUUAGCCUGCUUUCAGUAACCUUUCAGGACAGACAAACAAGGGAUACCGCGGAUGCAUGCAUUGUUUGGAUGAUACCGACAUUAUAUAUUUGGAUAGUUGUAGGAAGAAUGUGUACCUGGGACAUCAUCGAUUUCGUCCGAGCAGGCAUCCCGUAAGAAAGAAAGGCAAGCAUUUCAAAGGUGAGGCGGAUCACCGGACGAAGCCUCGCCACCGUACUGGUGCUGAUGUACAUGAUAUGGUCAAGGAUUUUAAGGUAAUCUUUGGAAAGGGUCCUGGCGGACAACCUAUUCUGAAGGACGCUAACGGACACGCACCCAUGUGGAAGAAGAAAUCUAUAUUUUUGGGACCUACCCUAUUGGAAAUACCUAGAUGUCCGCUUCACAAUCAACGUGAUGCACGUGACGAAGAAUCUUUGCAUGACCCUGCUUGGCUUCUUGGGCGUGUAUGGGAAGACAAAAGAUACACCGAAGGCACGGGAGGACUAGCAAUGUAUGCAUGGAAAAGACGACAUACAUCAGGGUCAUGCCAGCUAUGCUCUUACCAAAGAAGAGAAGGAAAUCUUCUUUGAAUGCCUACUCAGUAUGAAGGUACCGUCUGGCUUCUCGUCGAAUAUAGAAGGAAUAAUAAAUAUGGCAGAGAAAAACUUGCGGAACCUAAAGUCUCAUGACUGCCACGUGAUUAUGAUGCAACUUCUUCCGGUUGCAUUGAGGGGGCUUCUACCGGAAAACUCUCGAUUAGCCAUUGUGAAGCUAUGUGCAUUCCUCAAUGCAAUCUCUCAGAAGGUAAUCGAUCCAAAAAUCAUACCAAGGUUACAGAAUGAUUUGGUGCAAUGUCUUGUCAGUUUUGAGUUGGUGUUCCCACCAUCCUUCUUCAACAUCAUGACGCAUGUCCUAGUUCACCUAUGUGAAGAGAUUAACGUUUUGGGUCAUGUAUUUCUACACAAUAUGUUCCCCUUUCAGAGGUUCAUGGGAGUCUUGAAUAAAUAUGUUCAUAACCGUGCUAGGCCAGAAGGAAGCAUCUCGAAGGGCCAUGAAAAUGAGGAGGUCAUUGAGUUUUGUAUUGACUUUAUUCCUGACCUUAAGCCGAUUGGUGUUCUUGAAUCGCGGCAUAAGGGUAGACUGGAUGGAAAAAGGCACGCUAGGAGGGGAUCAAAUCAUAUGUAUGGACGGGCAUUCUCUCACUGAAGCACACUACACAGUUCUAUAGAACUCCGCCUUGGUGGCUCCGUAUAUGGAGGAACACAAUAAUUUUCUACACUCCAAACACCCGGAGCAGUCUGACGACUGGAUUACACGUGAACAAAUGGGGACUUUCGCCAGUUGGUUGCAGACACGUGCCAUGCAUAAUGGCGAUAUUGAAGAUGACAUGUACUUGCUGUCCCAGUUACCAUCUUCGAAUAUAAUGACUUUUAAAGGGUACGAGAUAAAUGGGAAUACAUUUUACACGAUCGCCCAAGAUAAGAAGAGCACGAACUAAAACAGUGGUGUCCGCUUUGAUGCAACAACCAACACGGGAAAGGAAACAUAUUAUGGUUAAAUAGAGGACAUAUGGGAACUUAACUAUAGAGGUGGUUUGAAGGUCCCUUUGUUUCGGUGCAAAUGGGUUAAUAUGACAUGAGGCAGGGUAACGGAAGACCCGCAGUACGGAAUGACAACAGUGGAUCUCAACAAUCUUGCGUAUGCAGAUGAACCAUUCGUCCUAGCUAAUGAUGUGGCAUAGGUUUUCUAUGUGAAAGACAUGUCUACCAGGCCGAGAAAAAGAAAAGAUAAGGAAGCAAAUGCAUCAUACGAUGAGCCAAAGCGCCACAUAGUUCUGUCAGGGAAAAGAAACAUCGUGGGAGUGGAUGACAAGACAGACAUGUCAGAAGAUUAUGAAAAGUUUGAUGAAAUUGCUCCAUUCACAAUGAAUAUUGAUCCGAGCAUCCAGUUAAAUUAUGAAGAUUGUCCAUGGUUACGGCGCAAAGGGACACACGCAAAGAAAAAGUUUCACACCCAAAGAUCCCACUCUGGGAUGUGAUAGGCUUCACUGUCAUCACUUUCUUCUGUAGUGACUUUCCGGACUUAUAUAUCUGAAAAGUGUCGCUUCGAACGAACCAGAGGGAAUCUUUCUAAUAGUUAGGGUUAGGGUACUUAUGUGUUUUGGCAUUUGAAAUGCAAAGAAAUAUUAUGUGCAAAAACUAGAUGCACUUCGUCUACAAAUUAGUUCGUCAAAUAGUUCAAAUUUAGCAGACUAAGGCAUAGCCUAGUGGCGGAAAGGGGCUGAUGCCUUCCAACCCACCCAAGUUCAAGGCAUGGUACUUGCAAUUUGGGUUUGUUGCACCAAUUAUACUGUAGGGGCCUCCCUUACAGUCUUUCUAUAAAAAAAUCAAAUUUAAACUAUUCAAAUUUGAAAACUACUGGCACUAACAGGAAUUUUAUAAUUUUUUGUACCUAAAGAAAAAAUAUUCAGAAAUAAAUAAAUGAAAAUAAAUAAAGUAGAAAAGAAAAAAAGAAAAAAAAUAUUCAGAAAUAAAUAAAUGAAAAUAAAUAAAGUAGAAUAGAAAAUAAUUAAAAAAAUCAGACGAAAACUAAAUAAAAAAGUCCACCUACUAGGCCACAGCGACCUGCAUACGACUAGUAACCCAACCUGUAGUUGGGCCAGGAUGCAGGCCUGCAAGGCCCAGUAGGCCCACAGGGCAGAGAGUAGAGUUAGGCUCAGAAGCCUGCAGUAGAGAGGAGUUCGAGAGAGCAGCCGCGCCGGGGCUUUUAAACAGGUGCGGGCGCCCCUCGGCUAGCGAGGUGGGACUAAACUUUCGCGCACCGCACCUGCGCCAGCGCACCCCCUUUAGUACCGGGUCGUGGCUCCAACCGGUACUAAAGGGGGGGCCUUUAGUACCAGUUGUAGCCACCACCCGGUACUAAAGGGGGUGCGCUUCCCGCCGCUUCGCCUGGCCAAAACAGACCUUUAGUACCGGUUAGUGGCUCCAACCGGUACUAAAGGUAGGUUCUAUAUAAGAAAACACUUCAAAAAAAAUUCGUCAGUUCAUUCUCCCUCUGCUUCUUCUCCUCUGCCCGUUGUCGCCGCCCCUCGUCGCCGCCCCCGUCGCCGUCCUGUCACCGUCGUCGUCGUCCCCGUCAUCGUCCGUCGCCGUCCCCUCUGCCUCGCCGUCCCAUCCCCUCUGCCUCGCCGUUGCCAUCGCCCGCGCUGUGAGCCCCUCUCCCCGUCCGCUCUCCUCCCUCCAAUGGAAGUCGCCGCGCCGCCAGCGCCGGCACACAUGCGCACGCGCGCGCGCACCCCCCCCCACACACACACGAUUCUGCUUUUAGUUUUUAAUUUUUAGUUUUUCUGUUAUUUCUGUUUUUGUACAAAUGUUUUAGAUGAAUUAAUUAAUUAUAUUAGAUUAAUGUCAAAUAGUAUAUAGAAAUGUUAGAAAUGUUAAAGAAAUGUUAGAAAUUUUAGAAACAUUAGUUUUAGCUAGAUGAAUUAGAUUAAUUUCAAAUUGUUAUAGAAAUGUUAGAAAUGUUAUAGAAAUGUUAGUUUUUAGUUUCUUAUAAUUUUAGUUAUAGAAAUUUAGAAUUUGCAUAUAAGAAAUCACAAUCAAAUCAUUUAAAAAUUGUUACUUUUGUGGCGUAUAGUAUUUGUUCUCGACGAUGCCCGGCCUGCAUCCUCGCCAUCAACCCAUUCACGAUGACGUCCCGCUUCAGAGGACCCAUGUCCGGGACUGGGCUUCGCCGGGCUGGCACUGGGAGGUGCUAGCUUCAGGGGCUCGCCGCUUGGUGAGGAACCCGGGUACCGUCGUCGACCCUGAGCUCCUUUGGUGGCGUUCCCGUGGGCCACUUUCGGUGCCGAGGGAGCCGGCCCUGCCGGAGGUGGUGCGUCGCCGUGUCAGGGAGGAGGACGAGCAUGUCCGUCGCUACAUGGCUGCUAUGGACGUCAGGUUCUCCAAUACCUGGCAGAGUCUUUGGGGAGAUCACCGGAGCUAUGAUCCUGUGAUGGUUCCUUCUCUUUGGGUGUCCACUUCCCGCGCCUCAGGAACCGUGAGUGGCCUAGAUUAUUCUAUAGUAUUCGAUCUUUAUUGGCUAGCUAGCUAGUGAUGUAUUCGGUAUAUAAUAUUCGAGACAAUGUAUUCGAGAUUAUAUAUUAUUCGAGACGAUGCAUAUUAUGUACUAUGAUUCAGGAUUUCCUUAUUGAUUACAUGCAAGCAUUGUAAUUUGAAUACUAAAUUGUUUUACAUUUCUUCUGGAUUAGUUAAAUAAAAGCUAUGGUGGACAAUACCGGCAGAGAGGGAGAAGAGGCCCUAUUCAAGAUCAUACACUCCCCUCGCGGGCCAGAUGAUCGAAAUGAAGAAGAAGAAGAUGACGGCUCGCAAUAUCUGAACAAUACCAGGGAGGGUGAUGAUGAGCUGAUAUUCGAUAGCGAUGACAGAGCAGAUGAAGUCAUGGACGACGUCUAUGAUAUCGAUUAUGAUGGCGAAGAAAAUGUUGAUCUUGAAAUUGGUGAAGAAAAUGUUGAUCUUGAAAUAAAAGAGACCGGCGAGGUAUAUUUAUAUAAGCAGGCAUCUGGUGAUCUCACAUGUUUUAAAUGAUUUGAAGAUAUAUUAACGAAUCAAUCUUUGUUCUUUCAGCCCUCCGGAUCGAGAAAAUCAUCUACAGGCAGAAAGAGAGGCCUGGGAAAAAAGUUGAAGGACGGCAUAAAGUACAUCAUUGAUGCCAUCAAAACUAAUGGCGAACCAAUAGCGCCUAAGAACAUUGCUAACAAGUUCGUUCGUUAGUGCGGAGUUCUUGUGAAGGACAAACUCCCGAUCUCCCUUCAAGAAUGGAAAGAGCCAUCAAAGCACCAUCCAGAUCUUACUUUUGUCGACCAUAGAGCAAAAACUGCGCUUUGGGAAAAUUUCAUGGAACAUUUCACCCUACCAGAUCAUUUCACAACUGCAGAUGUGGAGAAAGUCAAGGACACUGCUCUUAAGAAGAUGGCAAUUGCAUUUAACAACCACAAGAAAACUGUAUGGAAUAACUACGUCAAAGCAGGAAAGAAGACUCCAGAAUUCAAGGGAACACUGGAGAACCAAAGAGAACACUGGCCCGCUUUCGUGAAAUUCAAGGAAUCCAAAUUAUCCAAGGAACGGUCCAGAAAAAACAAGGCCAAUGUCGCAAAAAAGGAGCAAUUCCAUAGGCUGGGGCCAGGUGGCUACGCGGUGGCAAUACCUAUGUGGGAUAAGUCUGAGCAAGAGAUGUUGGCUGCACAGGUCACUCCAGUUACGUUGAGCUGCCCCCCAGGUGCAGAACUUGGUUCUAUGCGCAUGGGGGUGUUGGACCCGAAGACAGGCCUGGUUUCGAAGAAGGCAUGUCUUAAAGGAGUCGAUGUUAAGUUAGUUCAAGCAAUACAAGAAGCUCGGGAGGGGGUGUUCACGCCCAACAGAGAGAACGACGAGCUUACGCGCGCCCUGGGAAAUUCUGAACACCCAGGAAGAACACGAGGCAAGGGCAUUAUUCCAUGGUAUCAGGACUUUUCUGACUGGAACACGGACUACAAAAGCCGUGCGAGAAGGAAGAUGGAGGAGGAUAAUAAGAAGAAUCUGGAGGACGAGCAGAGGGAGUAGGAAGCAGAACACCUUCAAGGCCUAGAAUCAGCGCACGCGGACUUGGCACUCAAAUUGCAGCGGCAGCAGUAGCAGAUCGACUCUCUUAGCCAGGAAAGGGGGUCUCAGCAGCGGCAGCAGCUAGCGGAUGAUCCAGCAUUGGAUAGCACCAUUCCAUCCAUGCCGAGAAGCAGCAUGGGUUCCGCCCCGGGCGACGCACUUCUGGAUAGAUACCCUGUGGAUGACAUCAUGGAGAACACUAACUGUGAGCUACACUUCAAAAUAAAGAACAUAUCCGUGAAGGCGNNNNNNNNNNNNNNNNNNNNNNNNNNNNNNNNNNNNNNNNNNNNNNNNNNNNNNNNNNNNNNNNNNNNNNNNNNNNNNNNNNNNNNNNNNNNNNNNNNNNNNNNNNNNNNNNNNNNNNNNNNNNNNNNNNNNNNNNNNNNNNNNNNNNNNNNNNNNNNNNNNNNNNNNNNNNNNNNNNNNNNNNNNNNNNNNNNNNNNNNNNNNNNNNNNNNNNNNNNNNNNNNNNNNNNNNNNNNNNNNNNNNNNNNNNNNNNNNNNNNNNNNNNNNNNNNNNNNNNNNNNNNNNNNNNNNNNNNNNNNNNNNNNNNNNNNNNNNNNNNNNNNNNNNNNNNNNNNNNNNNNNNNNNNNNNNNNNNNNNNNNNNNNNNNNNNNNNNNNNNNNNNNNNNCACACUGGGAGAGGCCAUACAUCGUAUCAUCCUAUGGAGAAAGGAUUGCAUAAUCUUUCGAAGGCCACCGACACCGCGUCAGCUAGAGCUUGACAUCCCAAGAGGUGAUGAGGAGCAGGCGGCUCCCGCUCCUCCUAGUCCGGCACAGCUUCAGGCCACUCCUCCUGCGUCAACUCAGCCAACACGUGAGGCCACUACUCCUGCUUCAACUCAGCCAAAGCGUGAGGCCACUCCUCCUGCUUCAACUCAGCCAACACGUUAGGCCACUCCUCCUCCUCCGAGUCCACCAACGCGUGCCACUCCUCCUCCAAGUCCGACACCGCGUGAGCCAUCUCCGCUGCCUCGGCAAUCGCAGAAGAGAGCCGCCGCAGCUAUGAUGCGUAGUGCUACAAGUCAAGGUAGUACAGGAGGUACAGGCAGAGGCAAGCGCUUUCAAUAUGGUCCAAGCCUCGCGCCUCUUCCGCAGAGGCCUUACGACAUGACCAAGUAGCAAAACGAAGCCAUAGUGAAAGCCCAAGUGGACACCCACUUUGGACCAAAACCGUCACCACCGCCAAGGGAGAAAGUGCCCGAGGAGAAGAUUGACCACUUUAUUCGUAUGGCUAGACCACCAGCUCCCAAGCCUAUUGACUCAGACUAUGAGCGCCAAAUUAGGAAGGCACAUCGAGCACGACUAAAGGAGUCGAGCUCGAGCUCGAGCCAAGCAGUUGGCCAAAAAUGCGGGAAAACCGUUCCCCAUCUAGGAGAACAUGAGGCACAAUCGAUCCCCCCGCUUGUUGUACCAACACAUGAGAGUACCGGCGCCGGUCAGCUGGUAAUAACCGACGAGCAUAGAAGGCAGGCAGAAAUGCUCGGUAUCACUGUUGGACAACUCCUCGAGAUUGAGCACAUGCCUCUGCUUAGAAAGGAGGACAUAAAAUAGAAAUAUGUCCGCGGCCAACCUUUGGUCAAGCCUGAAGAGGUCAAGAACCUCCCAACGAGAAUGUAUGCAUUGCAUGAUUGGUACAUGAAAAUUAUCAAGAGUACCAAUCGAGAGUCCCUCAUGGUAAAAGUCAAGGAAGAGUAUUACUUCCAUAAGCUAGCUCUGUCCGUCGAGUAUUCUGAAGUAUUUCAGUUAUUCACUCAAGACACACUCAACAAAUCUCUCGUUAGUUGCUAUUGUCUGUAAGUGAUUCCUUUCUGUAAUUUAAGUCUCAAGCUAGAUGUAGUGAUCAUUGAUGACCCACAAGUGUAGGGGAUCUAUUGUAGUCCUUUCGAUAAGUAAGAGUGUCGAACCCAAUGAGGAGCAUAAGGAAAUGACAAGCGGUUUUCAGUAAGGUAUUCUCUGCAGGCACUGAAAUUGUAGGUAACAGAUAGUUUUGUGAUAAGAUAAUUUGUAACGGGUAACAAGCAAUGAAAGUAAAUAAGGUGCAGCAAGGUGUCCCAAUACUUUUUGUUGCGAAGGACAAGCCUAGACAAGUUCUUAUAUGAGAAAAGAGCUCCCGAGGACACAUGGGAAUUAUCAUCAAGCUAGUUUUCAUCACGCUCAUAUGAUUCACGUUCGUUACUUUGAUAAUUUGAUAUGUGAGUAGACCGGUGCUUGGGUACUACCCUUUCUUGGACAAGCCUCCCACUUAUGAUUAACCCCUAUUGCAAGCAUCCGCAACUACAAAAGAAGUAUUAAGGUAAACCUAACCAUAGCAUUAAACAUGUGGAUCCAAAUCAGCCCUUACGAAGCAACGCAUAAACUAGGGUUUAAGCUUCUGUCACUCUAGCAACCCAUCAUCUACUUAUUACUUCCCAAUGCCUUCCUCUAGGCCCAAACAAUGCUUAAGUGUCAUGUAGUCGAUGUUCACAUAACACCACUAGAGGAUAGACAACAUACAUCUUAUCAAAAUAUCGAACGAAUACCAAAUUCACAUGACUACUUAUAGCAAGACUUCUCCCAUGUCCUCAGGAACAAAAGUACUACUCACAAAUCAUAUUCAUGUUCAUAAUCAGAGGGGUAUUGAUAUGUAUUAAGGAUCUGAACAUAUGAUCUUCCACCAAAUAGACCAACUAGUAUCAACUACAAGGAGUAAUCAACACUACUAGUAACCCAUAGGUACCAAUCUGAGGUUUCGGUGCAAAGAUUGGAUACAAGAGAUGAACUAGGGUUUGAGAGGAUUUGGUGCUGGUGAAGAUGUUGAUGGAGAUUGACCCCCUCCCGAUGAGAGGAUCAUUUGUGAUGACGAUGGUGAUGAUUUCCCCCUCCCAGAGGGAAGUUUCCCCGGGAGAACAGCUCUACUGGAGCCCUAGAUUGGUUCCGCCAAGGUUCCGCCUCGUGGCGGCGGAGUUUCGUCCCGUAAGCUUGCUUAUGAUUUUUUCCAGGGUAAAAGACUUCAUAUAGCAAAAGAUGGGCACCGGAGGCCUGUCAGGGGGCUCACGAGGCAGGGGGCGCGCCCUAGGGGGGUGGGCGCGCCCCCUACCCUCGUGGAUAGGGUGUGGGCCUCCUGACGUUGAUUCCUUAGCCAGUAUUUUUUAUUAAUUCCAAAAAUUACUUUCAUGGAGUUUCAGGACUUUUGGAGCUGCGCAGAAUAGGUCUAUAAUAUUUGCUCCUUUUCUAGCCCAGAAUCCCAGCUGCUGGCAUUCUCCCUCUUCAUGUAAACCUUGUAAAAUAAGAUAAAAUAGCCAUAAGUAUUGUGAUAUAACGUGUAAUAACAGUCCAUAAUGCAAUAAUUAUUGAUAUAAAAGCAUGAUGCAAAAUGGACGUAUCAACUCCCCCAAGCUUAGACCUUGCUUGUCCUCAAGCAGAAGCCGAUAUCGAAAAAUAUGUCCACAUGUUUAGAGAUAGAGGUGUUGAUAAAAUAAAAUACGGAAUGAGGGCAUCAUGAUCAUUCUUAUAACAACAACAACAAUAUAUAUAUAUAUAUAUAUAUAUAUAUAUAUAUAUUGUCAUAUGAUUUCUUAUGCUUAAGUAACGAUCUAUUCACGAUGUCAAGUAUGGAUCAGAAACUUCAUUGAGAACUAAGAAACUAUAAUCUCAGUCAUUGGAGCAAUUGCAAUUUAUCAUAACAUAGGAAAGAGUCAACAUAAGAGCUUUUCAGCAAGUCCACAUACUCAACUAUCAUUUAGUCUUUCACAAUUUCUGACACUCACGCAAUACUUAUGUUUAUGGAGUUUUAAUUGGACACAGAGAAAGAUAGGGGCUUAUAGUGUUGCCUCCCAACAUUUUACCUCAAGGGUAAUGUCAACAAUAAUAGUUCAUGCUAACUUACAUCCAAUUGGAUAUAUAUAUAUAUCAUGAUCUUUCCAACAUGAGGUGCUUGCCAAAGGAUAAAAUGUGAAAAGGAAAGGUGAAGAUCACCUUGACUCUUGCAUAAGAUUUAAAACAUAAAGUAAAAGAUAGGCCUUCAAAGAGGGAAGCAGAGGUUGUCAUGUGCUUUUAUGGUUGGAUGCAUGAAAUCUUAAUGCAAAAGAACGUCACUUUAUAUUGCCACUUGUGAUAUGAACCUUUAUUAUGCAGUCCGUCGCUUUUAUUACUUCCAUAUCACAAGAUCGUAUAAAGCUUAUUUUCUCCACAUUAACAAGUCAUACAUAUUUAGAGAGCAAUUUUUAUUGCAUGCAACAUGAAAACUUACUUGAAGGAUCUUACUCAAUCCAUAGGUAGAUAUGGUGGACUCUCAUGGCAAAACUGGUUUAAGGGUAUUUUGGAAGCACAAGUAAUUAUUACUUUGUUCAAGGAAUUUGGAUAGCAUGAGGGGGAAAGGCAAGCUCAACAUGUCGGACGAUCCAUGACAAUAUACUUUAACUAAGAUGUGAGAAAACAUAACCCAUUACAUUGUCUUCCUUGUCCAACAUCAACUCUUUAGCAUGUCAUACUUUAAUGAGUGCUCACAAUCAUAAAAGAUGUCCAAGAUAGUAUAUUUGCAUGUGAGAACCUCUCUUUCUUUAUUACUUCCUAUUAAUUGCAACGACGACCAAACUAUGUUUUCCAACUCUCAACAACUUUUAUGCCUCAUACUCUUUAUGUGUGAAGUCAUUACUAUCCAUAAGAUCAACAUGGUCUCUUUUGUUUCUUUUUAUUCUUUCUAUUUUCUCAAGAUCAUAGCAAGAUAUAAAAUCCCUUGACUCAACACUAAUCUUUAUUAUAAAUAGCUCACGGACUCGAUUACAUACAGGGAUCACAAAGCAAAACUCAAAACUAAUUCAUACCAGAACUUUAUUCUACUAAAUCAAGAUAUUACCAAAAGGAUCGAACUAAGAAAAACUGUAAAGAUAGGAGUGUGAUGGUGAUACGAAACCGGGGCACCUCCCCCAAGCUUGGCAGUUGCCAAGGGGAGUGCCCAUACCCAUGUGAUUAUGUCUCCUUUGCUGGUGGAGAAGGUGGUGAUGGAUAGUCGCACAUCGAGCGUAGGAGCUCUUCCAACUUGCGGAUAAUGCCCUUGAGUGCGAUGAUAUGAUCCUUCAACAAAAUAUUUUCACGUGUGAGAUACUUGUUUUGUAUGUGAGCUAACUCAAUCAUCUUGAAAGCUUCAAUCUCAGUCGGGGUAAAGAGGUCGGGAAGAGGUCAGAUGUUUUCUUCUUCUCCCGCCGGAGCUUUAUCCUCUGUAGCCUUCUUGAUCCUAUCCUCCUUGUUGAUCUCCCCGGGUUCUUCUCUCUUCAGUCUUCAUUAGCCAAGCAUCGUUGCCUUCAUUCUUGGAGGAGGGUGGCGACAUGAUGCCUGGCCUUGACAAAUCUAACAGAAAACAACUCAAAACAAAGACAAAGGAUAUUUGCGUGAUACGGUGGUCAAUACCUCCGGGAGAUUAUAUAAUGAAUUUUUACCGACCAAAAAAAAUAUCGUGCAAGAAAACGGAGUCCGGAGAGCACACGAGGUGCCCACGAGGCGGGGGGCACGCCUAGUGGGGUAGGGAGUGCCCUCCACCCUCGUGGACGCCUCGUGUCCUUCCUGGACUACUUCUUAUUUUCCUAUUUUCUUAAAUAUUCCAAAACCGACAAAUACUGCUGUUAAAAUUAAUUUGGAGUCGGUUUACUUACUGUACCACGUACCUAUUCCUUUUUGGAGUCUGGAACAUUCUGGAAAGUGUCCCUUAUAUAUUCCUCUGGGGUUACGGUUUCAAUAAUGUUAUUUUCAACAUUUAUUGGGUUACCUGAGAUAUAAUGUUUAAUUCUUUGACCAUUCACCACCUUCGGAUUUGUGCCUUCGAAGUUGUUGAUUUUUAUGGCACCGGAACGAUAGACUUCCUCGAUAACGUAAGGACCUUCCCAUUUAGAGAGAAGUUUUCCUGCAAAAAAUCUUAAAUGAGAGUUCAAAAGCAACACAUAGUCACCCACAUUAAACUCACGCUUUUGUAUCGUUUUGUCAUGCCAUCGUUUAACUUUUUCCUUAAAUAGUUUGGCAUUUUCAUAAGCUUGGGUUCUCCAUUCAUCAAGUGAGCUAAUGUCAAACAACCUCUUCUCACCGGCAAGUUUGAAAUCAUAAUUGAGCUCUUUAAGAGCCCAAUAUGCAUUAUGUUCUAGUUCAAGAGGUAAAUGACAUGCUUUUUUGUAAACCGUUUUAUAUGGAGACAUACCCAUAGGAUUUUUAUAUGCAGUUCUAUAAGUCCAUAAUGCAUCAUCAAGUUUCUUGGACCAAUUCUUUCUAGAUCUAUUAACAGUAUUUUGCAAAAUUAAUGUAAGCUCUCUGUUACUCAGCUCUACUUGGACACUAGACUGUGGGUGAUAAGGGGAUGCAAUUCUAUGAUUAACAUCAUAUUUAGCAAGCAUUUUAAAAAAAGCACCAUGAAUAAAAUGUGAACCACCAUCAGUCAUUAAGUAUCUAGGGACUCCAAACCUCGGAAAAAUAACUUCUUUAAGCAUCUUAAUAGAGGUGUUAUGAUCAGCACUACUAGUUGGAAUAGCUUCUACCCACUUAGUAACGUAAUCAAUAGCAAUUAAAAUAUGUGUAUACCCAUUAGAGGCAGGAAAAGGUCCCAUAUAAUCAAAGCCCCAAACAUCAAAUGGCUCAAUAACAAGAGAAUAGUUCAUAGGCAUUUCUUGAUGUCUACUAAUAUUACCAAUUCUUUGACAUUCAUCACAAGACAAGACAAACUUACGUGCAUCUUUGAAGAGACUAGGCCAAUAAAAACCAGAUUGCAAUACCUUAUGUGCAGUUCUAUCUCCAGCGUGGUGUCCUCCAUAUGCCUCGGAGUGACACUUAUGUAGGAUCUGUUCCUCUUCAUGCUCAGGUACACAACAUCUAAUAACACCAUCUACUCCUUUGUAGAGGUGUGGGUCAUCCCAGAAGUAAUGUCUUAAAUCAUAGAAAAACUUUUUCUUUUGCUGGUAUGUAAAGCUAGGUGGUAUGAAUUUAGCAACAAUGUAAUUAGCAUAAUCAGCAUACCAUGGAGCAGUACGAGAAGCAUUUAUGACUACUAAUUGUUCAUCAGGAAAGCUAUCAUUAAUAGGUAGUGGGUCAUCAAGAAUAUUCUCUAACCUAGACAAGUUGUCUACAAUUGGGUUCUCAGCUCCCUUUUUAUCAAUAAUAUGUAAAUCAAAUUCUUGUAGCAAGAUAACCCACCUAAUAAGUCUAGGUUUAGCAUCUUUCUUUUCCAUAAGGUAUUUAAUAGCAGCAUGAUUAGUGUGAAUAGUUACUUUAGAAUCAACAAUAUAAGGUAUGAACUUAUCACAAGAAAAUACAACUGCUAAAAAUUCCUUUUCAGUGGUAGCAUAAUUUCUCUGGGCACUGUCUAGAGUUUUCCUAGCAUAUUGAAUAACAUUUAGUUUCUUAUCAACUCUUUGUCCUAGAACAGCACCUACAACAUAAUCACUAGCAUCACACAUAAUUUCAAAGGGUAAAUUCCAAUCAGGUGGCUGAACAAUAGGUGCAUAAAUCAAAGCUUUCUUAAGUAUUUCAAAUGCUUCUACACAAUCAUCAUCGAAGACAAAAGGAAUAUCUUUUUGUAAUAGAUUAGUCAGAGGCCUAGAGAUUUUGGAAAAGUCCUUAAUGAACCUCCUAUAAAAACUGGCAUGACGAAGGAAACUUCUUAUACCUUUGAUGUCCUUGGGACACGACAUCUUUUCAAUGGCAUCAACUUUAGCUUUAUCAACUUCAAUACCUCUUUCAGAAAUUUUAUGCCCCAAGACAAUGCCUUCAUUAACCAUAAAGUGGCACUUCUCCCAGUUCAAAACAAGACUAGUAUCUUCAAAUCUCUGCAAAACUAGUUCAAGGUUGCUCAAGCAAUCAUCAAAAGAGGAUCCAUAAACGGAGAAAUCAUCCAUGAAUACCUCACAAAUCUUUUCAGAAAAGUCAGAGAAUAUAGCCAUCAUGCAUCUUUGAAAAGUAGCAGGUGCAUUACAUAAACCAAAAGGCAUGCGUCUAUAAGCAAAAGUACCGAAAGGGCUAGUAAAGUGGUCUUUUCUGGAUCAUCCGCUGACACAGGUAUUUGAGAGAAACCAUAGUAACCAUCUAGAAAGCAAAAAUGUGUAUGUUUGGAUAGUCUUUCUAGCAUUUGAUCAAUAAAGGGUAAAGGGUAAUGAUCCUUUUUAGUAGCUUUAUUUAAUUUGCGGAAAUCAAUUACCAUCCUAUAACCUGUAAUAAUUCUUUGCGGGAUCAAUUCAUCUUUAUCAUUAGGAACAAUAGUAAUACCUCCCUUCUUAGGGACACAAUGGACAGGACUUACCCACUUACUAUCAGCAACAGGAUAAAUUAUACUUGCCUCAAGGAGUUUUAGUAUUUCCUUUCUUACCACUUCCUUCAUCUUAGGAUUUAACCAUCAUUGGUGAUCAAUAACUGGUUUGGCGUCUUUCUCCAAUUUUAUUUUGUGUUGACAUAGAGUGGGACUAAUGCCCUUAAGAUCAUCAAGAGUAUAUCCAAUAGCAACACGGUGCUUCUUCAGAGUUUUCAAUAAUCUUUCCUCCUUCUGCUCUGAAAGGUUAGCACUAAUAAUAAUAGGAUAUAUCUUCUUUUCAUCGAGAUAAGCAUAUUUAAGAGUAUCAGGUAAUGGUUUUAAGCUCAAACACGGGAUCACCCUUAGGUGGUGGAAGAUCCCCUAGGAUUUCAACAGGUAAGUUGUGUUUCAAAAUAGGACCCUGUUUAAAGAAUACUUCAUCUAUUUCCCUUCUUUCAUUCAUGAACAUAUCAUUUUCAUGGUCGAACAAAUAUUGUUCUAAAGGAUCAGUAGGAGGCACAUCAAUAGAGGCAAGAGCAAUAAUUCCGUCUUUACUAGACAGUUCUUUAUCAUGGGGUUGUCUACUAAAUUUAGCAAAAUUAAAAUCGUGAGUCAUAUCAUCCAAGCCAAUUGUGACAACAUCUUUUUUGCAAUCAAUUCUAGCAUUAACAGUAUUCAAGAAGGGUCUACCAAAUAUAAUGGGACAAAAGUCAUCUUGUGGGGAACCAAGAACAAGAAAAUCAGCAGGAUAUUUGACUUUCCCACACAAGACUUCAACAUCUCUAACAAUUCCAAUUGGUGAAAUAGUAUCUCUAUUGGCAAGAUUAAUUAUAACAUCAAUAUCUUCUAUCUCAGCAGGUGCAAUGUCAUGCAUAAUUUCUUGAUAUAAGGAAAUAGGUAUUGCACUAGCACUAGCACCCAUAUCACAUAAGCCAUGAUAACUAUGAUCUCCUAUUUUAACAAAAAUAGCAGGCAUGCCUACUAUAGGUCUAUGUUUCUUAGCAUCAGGUCUAGCAAUUCUAGUAGCUUCAUCACAGAAAUAAAUAACAUGCCCAUCAAUAUUAUCAUCCAAGAGAUCUUUAACCACAGCAAUAUUAGGUUCAACUUUAAUUUUCUCAAGUGGUGUGGGUGUUUUAGUAUUACUCUUAUGAACCACAAUUGAAGUUUUAGCAUGAUCCUUUAUCCUAACAGGGAAAGGAGGUUUCUCAAUAUAAGUAGUUGGGACAAUAGGAUCAUUAUAAAUGAUAGUAUUUUCUUCAACUUUAAUAGGUGCAACUACUUUUACUUCGGUGGGAGGAUUAUAUUUAAACCACUUUCUCCUUAGGGAGAUCAACAUGAGUAGCAAAUGAUUCACAGAAAGAAGCUACUAUCUCGGAGUCAAGUCCAUAUUUAGUGCUAAAUCCACGAAAAGCAUCGGUAUCCAUAAAAGAUUUAACACAAUCAAACUUAGGUGUCAUACCUGACUCCUUACCAUCGUCGGAAUCCCAAUCUUCAGUGUUGCGUUUAAUUAUUUCCAAUAAAUCCCACUUGAAUUCAAUAGUCUUCAUCAUAAAAGACCCAACACAAGAAGUAUCAAGCAUGGUGUGAUUGUUGAGAGAAAGCCAAGCAUAAAAAUUUUGAAUAAUCAUUUCUCUUGAGAGCUCAUGAUUGGCGCAUGAAUAUAACAUUGACUUAAGCCUCCCCCAAGAUUGAGCGAUGCUUUCUCCUUCCCGAGGCCAAAAAUUAUAUAUGUAAUUACGGUCACGAUGAACAAGAUGCAUAGGAUAAAACUUCUGGUGAAAUUCCAAUUUCAAUCAUUUAUAGUUCCACGAUCCCAUAUCAUCACAUAGCCUAUACCACGUCAAUGCAUCUCCCUUCAAAGAUAAAGGGAAAACCUUCUUCUUGAUAACAUCCUCAGUAAUACCUGCAAGCUUAAAUAAUCCACAAACUUCAUCUACAUAGAUCAAGUACAAGUCAGGAUGUAAUGUUCCAUCUCCUGUAAAAGGAUUAGCUAGCUGUUUCUCUACCAUACCUGAAGGAAUUUCAAAGUAAACAUUUUCAGUAGGUUCAGUAGGUUGAGGAGCAACUCUUUGCUCUACUGGUCGGGGUGAAGAUACCCCGAACAAGCACCUCAAAGGAUUAGUUUUCAUAGUAACAAGUGACAGUAAAUUUCAGCACACUAUAUAAAUUUUUCCUUACCAAGUUCCACUUACCAAAGGCGCUUCACUCCCCGGCAACGGCGCCAGAAAAGAGUCUUGAUGACCCACAAGUGUAGGGGAUCUAUCGUAGUCCUUUCGAUAAGUAAGAGUGUCGAACCCAACGAGGAGCAGAAGGAAAUGACAAGCGGUUUUCACUAAGGUAUCCUCUGCAGUCACUGAAAUUGUAGGUAACAGAUAGGUUUGUGAUAAGAUAAUUUGUAACGGGUAACAAACAAUGGAAGUAAAUAAGGUGCAGCGAGGUGGUCCAAUCAUUUUUGUAGCAAAGGACAAGCCUGGACAAGUUCUUAUAUGAGAAAAUCGCUCCCGAGGACACAUGGGAAUUAUCGUCAAGCUAGUUUUCAUCACGCUCCUAUGAUUCGCGUUCGUUACUUUGAUAAUUUGAUAUGUAGGUGGACCGGUGCUUGGGUACUACCCUUUCUUGGGAGAGCAUCCCACUUAUGAUUAACCCCUACUGCAAGCAUUUGCAACUACAAAAUAAGUAUUAAGGUAAACCUAACCAUAGCAUGAAACAUGUGGAUCCAAAUCAGCCCCUUACGAAGCAACGCAUAAACUAGGGUUUAAGCUUCUGUCACUCUAGCAACCCAUCAUCUAUUUAUUACUUCCCAAUGCCUUCCUAUAGGCCCAAACAAUGCUGAAGUGUCAUGUAGUCGACGUUCACAUAACACCACUAGAGGAUAGACAACACACAUCUUAUCAAAAUAUCGAACGAAUACCAAAUUCACAUGACUACUUAUAGCAAGACUUCUCCCAUGUCCUCAGGAACAAACGUACUACUCACAAAUCAUAUUCAUGUUCAUAAUCAGAGGGGUAUUGAUAUGUAUUAAGGAUCUGAACAUAUGAUCUUCCACCAAAUAAACCAACUAGCAUCAACUACAAGGAGUAAUCAACACUACUAGCAACCCACAUGUACCAAUCUGAGGUUUUGGUGCAAAGAUUGGAUACAAGAGAUGAACUAGGGUUUGAGAGGAGAUGGUGCUGGUGAAGAUGUUAAUGGAGAUUGACCCACUCCCGAUGAGAGGAUCGUUGGUGAUGACGAUGGUGAUGAUUUCCCCCUCCUGGAGGGAAGUUUCCCCGGCAGAACAGCUCUGCCGGAGCCCUAGAUUGGUUCCGCCAAGGUUCCGCCUCGUGGCGACGGAGUUUCGUCCCAUAAGCUUGCUUAUGAUUUUUUUUCCAGGGUAAAAGACUUCAUAUAGCAGAAGAUGGGCACCGGAGGCCUGUCAGGGGGCCCACGAGGUGUGACACCCCAAAAUUUUGGCCUUGUUUUAUUAAAUUAAAAUUUUUGCCAGGAUUUAAAACUUUGGAUUUCUGAGCUCCAUUUUGAUUUUUAAAUCAUUUCUUUCCCUGUUAUGAUGAGUUUUUCCAAAGAGAAAACUUUUCAAAUAUGUUAUUGGACUUAUUUAACCUCUCAAGAAAAACUUUCCUUUUAUCAGUAUAACUAAUUAACUAACUUAAUUGCUUGAUCUUUACUUUCUUGAAAAAUAGUUUUUCAAGGUUAAAUGGCCACAUUUGAACUACAACCAUUGGAUAGAUUCACUUAAAAUUUCCACAAAAAUUUGGAGAUGUCAUGUGAUGUUUUUAAAUCACUUUUAUGCAAAAAUAUAUUUCAUUCAUGAAAUAUUUUGAGCCCUACUCUCAAUUUUUCUUCUCUGGUCCAGAGUGCAUUUUCUCACGGCAACCUAUUUAAAUAUUUCUUUAAAACUUCUACCAAAAUUAAGGGAGGUCAGUAGGAGCCUGUUAUCCCUCUUUGUGCAAAAACCUAAUUAUGUUCUUUGAAAAAUUUGAGUGAAUCAACCUCAUUUCCAUUCUGGACCAACUUGAGGAUUUGUGCAGCAACCACCAUUUUAGUUGCUCCUAUACCCUUAAUUAUUUCUACUACUUGUAGUCCCCCAUGUUAAACCCUUAAGUCUAGGAGCAUGCACCAUUUAGAUCACUUUUGGUUCAUGGAAUAAUGCUAUUUAUUUCCUGUCCAGAAUUGAAGUUUUGUAAAACUUGCACUAGCAAGUUUCCCCUUUUGUCCAACUAACCUCACCACUCUCUUUUGCAUCUAAAGAGACCCCCAUCUGGAGUUUUUGGCCACCCCAAGACCUGCCUAAGUGCAUGUGGCAUUUUGCCAAACACCUGGAGAGCAUGACCAGUUCUAGCAUGAUUGUGGCAUUGCACUGUGAACUUGCACCUCUGAUCAGACCAGCAUGUCCACUAGACUCCCCGUUGCUCCUAACCUCGAUCUGGAAAAUCCCAUCCUCACCUGCGACCUGUAGCAUGCCUCGGCAUUGUGUCGAACACCUGGUGUGCGUGCACUGGACGCGCCCAGAGCGCGCGUAUUGCAGCCGCGCGCCCGAGCCGACACACUGGCCCCCACGGCUUUGGCCCGCUCUGCAGCACCACGCCACGCGCUCCCCUCCUCGCAGCAACGCGCCAAGCAGCCCCCGCCGCGCCCGACAGGCCAAACACUAACUGCCACCGCCGCCCGACAGCCCUGCGCCAUGCAGCGCCGCCCAAGCCACCCCGGCUCGCCACCUGGCCCCUGGAGCAGUGCCCUCUCGUCCACUAGCUCUUGCCGUCAUCCCCAGCCGCGCCACGUUGCCCUGCAAGCUACAGCGAGGCGGUUCGCCGGAGAGCUUAUCCGGCCGCCGCGGAACCGACCUCGACGAGCUAUAAGAGGAGGUCCCGAGCCACCCCGGGCACGCAGGAAGCCUUAGAGUGCUCCCCUAGUCCUCCCAUGGCAGCCUAUCGACUCGGGGAAGGUCUUCAUCCCCAUCUCCGGCAACGGCAGACGCCACCACUGCCCCGGCCAAUUCGGCACCACCAGGGCCUCCCACCCUCCGUUCUCUCCACCAAGAACCCCCUCAUCCUCCCGUAAACUUUCUCCCUACUCCAUUUCGAUCGAGAACCACCGCCGCCCCGAAACCACUUUUCCCCGAAGCUUCCCUCCGCCGAGGAGCUCGCCGCCGACAGCUCACGCCAUCCCCGCCGACCCAGCGACUACCGGGAGGAUCGCCUCAACCUUGCGGAUCCAUCCCCACCCUCGGGGGCCCGCGAGGAGCAGCCAAACACCGGCAACGAUCGCCGGAGCCCCGCUCCGCUCGGACAGAGGAGGGAGACGACGCGCGGUGACUGGUCAAACAUGACCAGUGGGCCAGGCGGGCCCACUGUCAGCGACACCCCGCGCUGUCCACGUGAGAUUAAGUGAAGGCGUAUUAUCCCUAGUACGCUUUCCCCGCUCCGAAAGCGUAUUCUCCUCCGAAACGUUUUCUUUUUCUGUUUUAUUUAAAAACAGAUUUUGACCAAAUGUUUGACUGGCUAUAACUUUUUAAAUAUAAGUCCAAAUGAGUUGAUUCUUUUUCCUACCUUCCUCAAAUUUGAUCUAGUUUAUUUUAAGAUUUAUUUGAAAAAAAUUCAAACAACUUUUUUUGUUCUGUUUUUGAAAUAUGUGUUAAUUCAAAUAUAUUUUCAAAUAGGAUUUUUGGGACAGAGAAGAAACUUUCAAAAGUUUGGAAAGCACCCUGCCUUUCCACACAUUGAAGGCAAGCAUUCUGAACCCCGGAAUAAUAAUUUUGGAGUGAUCAUUGAUGCAUUUAGAACUCCACCACAUUUCAAAGGACUUGUUAUUUCAUGUGAUAUGAUCAUAUGCAUGGGUGCAUGUUAUUGAUUUCCAUGCUGUUGGUAAUGGACACACUUGUGAUGAUAAUCACCCUCAUGAGCUUUACAUGCAUACCGGCAGGAACCCGGGAAAACCUCUGCCUUGGGUAGGUAUGAGUUUGUCGCCGGUCUCCGUCGGGACGGUUCUGUCUGGUAUGGCAUGGUAGGGUGAUAUGAGUGGUGACUCUGUUUGAUGAAAUAUAUUUGUUAUACUAAUCAUGCAGGGAAUACUUGAACCUCCUGAGUCGACCGUAGAUCGAGUCUUGUUCCAGUAACCCCCAUACUUGUUUCGUACUACCACUCGUCUCUACAGCAAGUAGAGUACGGUUCAGUAAGUUGUCUACCUCUUUCUAGCACACACCGUACAGAGAGGCCAUGGUGGAAGAUACCGGUUGUAACUGGUAGGCAGGCCACCUGGUCCGGGAGCAUGGGUGUUUCCGGUUGGGACCGAGAGGGGAGGCCACCCCUUAGAGCGCGCGAUAUAAAUUUGAUCCCAUGCUACGCGAGGUUGUAGCCUCCCCACUUAGAGUUUGCUUAACAGGUGUCGUGGGUGAUUCCAGACACGUGUGUGAUAAGCUGGUGUGUGCAAGUUAGGUGUGUUUUCAACAAAAAGACCGUAGACGGAAUUAGUCCCGAUGGACUAAAGAAAUCCGUUACUCGUGGGUAAAGAGUACACCCUCUGCAGAGAAUAAACCUAUUCGAAUAGCCGUGUCCAUGGUUAAGGAUUACAGUCUGGGAUGGGUCAGGUGUCGGUCUUAGUGUCGGUCUUCGGAGGUGAAACUGUUAACCAGAAAUGGAAUUACUACUUGUGACUUGUGAUAACUAUGAUUAUUAUUAUUGUUGACUGACCCGUGAUAUUAUUGUUAUUAUCGAGUAUCUCUGGGAUGGUUCUACCUCCGGGAUAUUCAUUUUGAUUAUUUCUUUUAAAGCCCUUUAUGUGGUGUCGCUCAGACGCCCGACUGUGGCAUUUCUUUUAAAGCCCUUUAUGUGGUGUCGCUCAGACGCCCGACUGUGGCAUUUCUUUUAAAGCCCUUUAUGUGGUGUCGCCCAGAUGCCCGACUGUGGCAUUUCUUUUAAAGCCCUUUAUGUGGCGUCGCUCAGACGCCCGACUGUGGCAUUGCUUGUUAUUUGUUUUCAUAAGUUUUUAUACUACCAUGUUAUUGCAGUUUUAUGAAUAACUUGCUUGCACGCAUCAGAGUUUCAUUCAUCUUUUGUGACUGACGUCAUGAGCAUAAUAAUAUUUUCGGCACAUCAUUGUUAUAUUAUACCUGUGUUCAUAAUGUUUGCGAGUACAUUCAAAGUACUCACUGGCUUGUCCCUGGCUAUUGUCUUGGCCAGAUUUUCUUGCACGGAGAGGAGCGACGCGAUGCCAGCCCCGGAACCCACUCAAAGGAGAUAGCAGCCUCGCGAAGAUAGGAAUUAACCUGGUCAGCUGUUCCCAUGGGAAAUGGAGUCCCAUAGACACUGAUGCUUCACAACCCGCUUCCGCCAUCAACCACUAGAAACCAUUUGUUGUACUCACAGGCCAGAAUGGUCUUGUACUACAUAUUUUGUAUUUUGCUUGGAAUUUCUGUAUCAAGUUGGAGCCUCAUCAGCUAACAGUAAUCCUGGGGCUGAUGAGCACGACGGUCUUUUCUGGAAAUUCAUUUCCCGGAAAGCCGGUCGCGACAGGCUUGGUAUCAGAGCCAGGCUGACCAUUGGCUUAUCCUAUCUUAGCCCGGUCAAUAAACUUAGGCAAACCAACCCACCAGACCUUAACCAAACCCCAGCCAAGCUUCUCGUGCAAGAUAGCCACACAGUGACCCAACACCUUUUGGCAAUCGGUGCCCAACCUAUCAACCUAACCUGUCACUCAUGCGCCAGUGACUGGCCCCUAGAUAGUCCUUUCUCGCAAGCGUGCGAAGGAAGACUCCGUCCCCUUUUUCUUAUAAAAAGGGACGCGCUCGCCCCAAACCAGCACAGCACAGCCGCUACCCCCAAACCGAGCCACAAUGCCUGGACCUAUAGUGCACAACGAAACCACAGCAACCAACCUUGGAGGUUUUGUGACCAUCCUCGCAAACCUCACCCGUCGUGCCUACGCGUUAGAGGAGCCACCAGAAUAUGUUGUGUAUCAAGGACCCAUGAGCGGUGAAGACCGCCAAUUCUGGGCCACUGUGCACAUUUAUGGUAGGAGUCUAGCACCCGAGCGUCCCUACCGGUUCACCGGAAGAACAACUUCCUUUGAGCCACAAGCCAUCCAGCUAGCCGCUCGAGAGGCUAUAGUUCAACUCAGGCACUUGUCGCCCAGAGUUAACUGUCGCUCGUUCCACUACUAUCCCAGACGUGAAGGGUAUGGUAGACCACCCCAAGUUGCCAAUGGAGAUCACGAGACGAACCCCGCAUUGUUGCACCUAGUGCGCUAUGUAAGUGCACUAGAGGCACUGUUCGACCAGAUCACUAUUGAUCUAAUCGCAGCUCCUGGAGAGCUGGUUUGUCGAGCCCCGGCGAGAGAAGGAAACGAGCCCAACACCGACAACCCAGUCGUGCUGUUUGGACAACCAAUCGAGACCCCGAGAUCUGCCCCAGCCAUCGACCAAGGUGCUACGAUAACCCCAGAAGUGCUUCGUCGCAUAUUGGGAGCACACUCCAACGGGGUUGUGGCCAACAAUCCCCGCAAUGGUCAUUCUCACUACCCCGACCCUGCAGUUCCUCCGCCAUCUCCGACUAAUCCCGGCAGAGAGACACGUGGAGAAGCCUCGAUAUCCACCAGGCACGCCCGUUUAGACAUAAACGAGGUAGACUGAGCCGUGUGAGUAGUACCAAGUUUCAAUGUAUCCUCGCCUUGUAAUCAUGCGACCGCGUAUAUUAACGCAGCCUGUCUUUGUGCCUCUGUUUUAAUAGUAGCCUUGCAUAUUUAGUCAGCGCAUAGCUGCAUAUUUUUCCGGGCACAACUACCAAAACCAGCCCGACAACAACCACAGUAACACAUCUCUUUAUGAGAUAUGUGUAUCUCUGACACUGACCUGACCUUUGGAGCCAAGCUGGCAAAUUUAUUACUUUUCGCCACGGUAAAACGAUCCGGCUCCAUUGCUAUAUAAAGGCCACCUUGUGACCUUACCCAGCAACCCUCACUUUGCGCACAACACUCACGCUUUUUCCUGUCAUGCCGAACCCCAGCAUUCAUCUGAGAACCCCAGAUGCAACCCCAGGUAGCUUUGUCAAAUUAUUGUGAUAUUUUACCCGCAGUACCAUGGGUUCUACCCAGCCACCCCAGUACGAGCUGUUCAAAUCAAGGAUCACCCCAUCCACCUCGGAAUAUUGGGCAGCAGUACACAUUCCUCCUGUAGACCCCAACCAAGAUCCAAUAGAAGUUUCCUUCGUGGGGAAAUCUAUGCCAACCCCACACUUGGCCAUAGAGGCUGCUGCGAAAGAAGCAAUUGCUCGUCUUUGAUCCGCAGUACCCUAUGCCCGCGAACGAGGAUAUUAUUACUUUCCGAGUCGUGCAGCACCCGGAGAAGUAACGUCUUUUCCCGGUGGACGUAUUGAGAGAGACCCAGUUCUGGCCAACCUUAUCCAGUACAUCAUUGCUCAAGAGCAUUUAAACCAGCGAGUGAUGGAUUAUCUCCAGAGCCUCGCAGAUUUAAAUCCUCAGGUUGCCAUCGGCAGACCACUGAGACCCGACACGGAGAGACGCAUUCAUCGACUGGUCAAUCCACUUCCUCCAAUAGAAGAGGAAUGUAUUCCUUUACCAGAGACAUUCUAUCAGGACCCCGUCCAGUUACCGUUUUCAUUUUAGACGUCACUAUUGUAUUUGUUCCUUGCAGCAUUUAUUUAUGUAUGUGACUUAUGCGUGAUACCCUGAGUUUGUACGGCAAGUUAAUUAUUUGGCUUCUGCUCAUGUGUGUAGUUUUGUUGUGGUUUACGCUCCCUUAAAGUAACUGUUUUUCCCUCGCGAAACCCUAGAGUGAGUUUUUCUUUUCCCUGAGUUGCUACAUCUACACUUUCUCACGACGUGGAUUAUUUAAUUUCACUCAGCACCACAAGCAGACUCACAACCAUAAUCGUACGGACACAUACACUGUUUGCAAAAUUUUGCAACGGUGUUACAUCCAGAUAAUAACCCCCUAACAACAGUUAGCACCCGACACACUCCAUCUACUCCUCAUGAUCACCACCACCGCGGAGAACCAACACCUGGGCCGCAGCAUCGUGACACUCGUCGAAGAUUAUCGCGCACAGGAGCACAGAGAGCCCCAGCAGCGUCGCCAGCCCUCCGCAUAUCAGGAUCACAAACCAGUCCGGCAUCGCCUCCGCCCUUAGAGCCUCGACCGAGCUUCUGUAAGCAGUAAUGGAGAAAGAAGGAGGAGGAGAAGUGAGGCCAGGUGUAAGGAAGAAGAGAGAGGCACCCCGGCCGUUUUUAUAACUCGAGCUCGGUGUACGGUGGGCGAAGUCCACCGACGCCGCUCGUCGCCGAUCGCCGGUGUUCGGAGUCGAAUCCACGAGCAGUGCCGAUAGCGCACUGGCCCGCGAGGUGAGUGCACGCUGCACCAGCAGCUAGCACGCCGCGCACUACCACGGUACGGCCUAGAUGCCCUACACACUAGGCGUCGCCGGUGGGGAAAGCGCGCGGGAGAGAGGAGGAAGAAAGGUCCAGAGGGAGAAGAAGAGGAGACUGACAGUGGACCCCGGGUCCACCUGUCAGCCAGAGAGAGCACUAUGCUCUCGGGUGCGAUCAGCGUAUUCUAAAUUUAGGAAUAAUCCUAAAUUUAUAUCCAGCGUAGAAAUCGCCCGUUUUUGUCUCGGACCGUAAACUUUUCCGCGCAGCCCCAGUUUUUCACACUAUGGUUUUUCACCACUUAUUGCCCUCUCACUGUAGCUACAUCUUUAUUGCGUAAAUAUUCUCUUAACACCGCUUUCAGCAAAUCUCGAGGACGAGAUUUUUCUUAAGGGGGGUAGUAUUGUGACACCCCAAAAAUUUGGCCUUGUUUUAUUAAAUUAAAAUUUUUGCCAGGAUUUAAAACUUUGGAUUUCUGAGCUCCAUUUUGAUUUUUAAAUCAUUUCUUUCCCUGUUAUGAUGAGUUUUUCCAAAGAGAAAACUUUUCAAAUAUGUUAUUGGACUUAUUUAACCUCUCAAGAAAAACUUUCCUUUUAUCAGUAUAACUAAUUAACUAACUUAAUUGCUUGAUCUUUACUUUCUUGAAAAAUAGUUUUUCAAGGUUAAAUGGCCACAUUUGAACUACAACCAUUGGAUAGAUUCACUUAAAAUUUCCACAAAAAUUUGGAGAUGUCAUGUGAUGUUUUUAAAUCACUUUUAUGCAAAAAUAUAUUUCAUUCAUGAAAUAUUUUGAGCCCUACUCUCAAUUUUUCUUCUCUGGUCCAGAGUGCAUUUUUUCACAGCAACCUAUUUAAAUAUUUCUUUAAAACUUCUACCAAAAUUAAGGGAGGUUAGUAGGAGCCUGUUAUCCCUCUUUGUGCAAAAACCUAAUUAUGUUCUUUGAAAAAUUUGAGUGAAUCAACCUCAUUUCCAUUCUGGACCAACUUGAGGAUUUGUGCAGCAACCACCAUUUUAGUUGCUCCUAUACCCUUAAUUAUUUCUACUACUUGUAGUCCCCCAUGUUAAACCCUUAAGUCCAGGAGCAUGCACCAUUUAGAUCACUUUUGGUUCAUGGAAUAAUGCUAUUUAUUUCCUGUCCAGAAUUGAAGUUUUGUAAAACUUGCACUAGCAAGUUUCCCCUUUUGUCCAACUAUCCUCACCACUCUCUUUUGCAUCUAAAGAGACCCCAUCUGGAGUUUUUGGCCACCCCAAGACCUGCCUAAGUGCAUGUGGCAUUUUGCCAAACACCUGGAGAGCAUGACCAGUUCUGGCAUGAUUGUGGCAUUGCACUGUGAACUUGCACCUCUGAUCAGACCAGCAUGUCCACUAGACUCCCCGUUGCUCCUAACCUCGAUCUGGUAAAUCCCAUCCUCACCUGCGACCUGUAGCAUGCCUCGGCAUUGUGUCGAACACCUGAUGUGCGUGCACUGGACGCGCCCAGAGCGCGCGUAUUGCAGCCGCGCGCCCGAGCCGACACACUGGCCCCCACGGCUUUGGCCCGCUCUGCAGCACCACGCCACGCGCUCCCCUCCUUGCAGCAACGCGCCAAGCAGCCCCUGCCGCGCCCGGCAGGCCAAACACUAAACGCCACCGCCGCCCGACAGCCCUGCGCCGUGCAGCGCCGCCCAAGCCACCCCGGCUCGCCACCUGGCCCCUGGAGCAGUGCCCUCUCGUCCACUAGCUCUUGCCGUCAUCCCCAGCCGCGCCACGUUGCCCUGCAAGCUACAGCGAGGCGGUUCGCCGGAGAGCUUACCCGGCCGCCGCGGAACCGACCUCGACGAGCUAUAAGAGGAGGUCCCGAGCCACCCCGGGCACGCAGGAAGCCUUAGAGUGCUCCCAUAGUCCUCCCAUGGCAGCCAAUCGACUCGGGGAAGGUCUUCAUCCCCAUCUCCGGCAACGGCAGCCGCCACCACUGCCCCGGCCAAUUCGGCACCACCAGGGCCUCCCACCCUCCGUUCUCUCCACCAAGAACCCCCUCAUCCUCCCGUAAACCUUCUCCCUACUCCAUUUCGAUCGAGAACCACCGCCGCCCCGAAACCACUUUUCCCCGAAGCUUCCCUCCGCCGAGGAGCUCGCCGCCGACAGCUCACGCCAUCCCCGCCGACCCAGCGACUACCGGGAGGAUCGCCUCAACCUUGCGGAUCCAUCCCCACCCUCGGGGGCCCGCGAGGAGCAGCCAAACGCCAGCGACGAUCGCCGGAGCGCCGCUCCGCUCGGACAGAGGAGGGAGACGACGCGCGGCGACUGGUCAAACAUGACCAGUGGGCCAGGCGGGCCCACUGUCAGCGACACCCCGCGCUGUCCACGUGAGAUUAAGUGAAGGCGUAUUAUCCCUAGUACGCUUUCCCCGCUCCGAAAGCGUAUUCUCCUCCGAAACGUUUUCUUUUUCUGUUUUAUUUAAAAACAGAUUUUGACCAAAUGUUUGACUGGCUAUAACUUUUUAAAUAUAAGUCCAAAUGAGUUGAUUCUUUUUCCUACCUUCCUCAAAUUUGAUCUAGUUUAUUUUAAGAUUUAUUUGAAAAAAUUUCAAACAACUUUUUUGUUCUGGUUUUGAAAUAUGUGUUAAUUCAAAUAUAUUUUCAAAUAGGAUUUUUGGGAGAGAGAAGAAACUUUCAAAAGUUUGGAAAGCACCCUGCCUUUCCACACAUUGAAGGCAAGCAUUCUGAACCCCGGAAUAAUAAUUUUGGAGUGAUCAUUGAUGCAUUUAGAACUCCACCGCAUUUCGAAGGACUUGUUAUUUCAUGUGAUAUGAUCAUAUGCAUGGGUGCAUGUUAUUGAUUUCCAUGCUGUUGGUAAUGGACACACUUGUGAUGAUAAUCACCCUCAUGAGCUUUACAUGCAUACCGGCAGGAACCCGGGAAAACCUCUGCCUUGGGUAGGUAUGAGUUUGUCGCCGGUCUCCGUCGGGACGGUUCUGUCUGGUAUGGCAUGGUAGGGUGAUAUGAGUGGUGACUCUGUUUGAUGAAAUAUAUUUGUUAUACUAAUCAUGCAGGGAAUACUUGAACCUCCUGAGUCAACCGUAGAUCGAGUCUUGUUCCAGUAACCCCCAUACUUGUUUCGUACUACCACUCGUCUCUACAGCAAGUAGAGUACGGUUCAGUAAGUUGUCUACCUCUUUCUAGCACACACCGUACAGAGAGGCCAUGGUGGAAGAUACCGGUUGUAACUGGUAGGCAGGCCACCUGGUCCGGGAGCAUGGGUGUUUCCGGUUGGGACCGAGAGGGGAGGCCACCCCUUAGAGCGCGCGAUAUAAAUUUGAUCCCAUGCUACGUGAGGUUGUAGCCUCCCCACUUAGAGUUUGCUUAACAGGUGUCGUGGGUGAUUCCAGACACGUGUGUGAUAAGCUGGUGUGUGCAAGUUAGGUGUGUUUUCAACAAAAAGACCGUAGACAGAAUUAGUCCCGAUGGACUAAAGAAAUCCGUUACUCGUGGGUAAAGAGUACACCCUCUGCAGAGAAUAAACCUAUUCGAAUAGCCGUGUCCAUGGUUAAGGAUUACAGUCUGGGAUGGGUCAGGUGUCGGUCUUAGUGUCGGUCUUCGGAGGUGAAACUGUUAACCAGAAAUGGAAUUACUACUUGUGACUUGUGAUAACUAUGAUUAUUAUUAUUGUUGACUGACCCGUGAUAUUAUUGUUAUUAUCGAGUAUCUCUGGGAUGGUUCUACCUCCGGGAUAUUCAUUUUGAUUAUUUCUUUUAAAGCCCUUUAUGUGGUGUCGCUCAGACGCCCGACUGUGGCAUUUCUUUUAAAGCCCUUUAUGUGGUGUCGCUCAGACGCCCGACUGUGGCAUUUCUUUUAAAGCCCUUUAUGUGGUGUCGCCCAGAUGCCCGACUGUGGCAUUUCUUUUAAAGCCCUUUAUGUGGCGUCGCUCAGACGCCCGACUGUGGCAUUGCUUGUUAUUUGUUUUCAUAAGUUUUUAAACUACCAUGUUAUUGCAGUUUUAUGAAUAACUUGCUUGCACGCAUCAGAGUUUCAUUCAUCUUUUGUGACUGACGUCAUGAGCAUAAUAAUAUUUUCGGCACAUCAUUGUUAUAUUAUACCUGUGUUCAUAAUGUUUGCGAGUACAUUCAAAGUACUCACUGGCUUGUCCCUGGCUAUUGUCUUGGCCAGAUUUUCUUGCACGGAGAGGAGCGACGCGAUGCCAGCCCCGGAACCCACUCAAAGGAGAUAGCAGCCUCGCGAAGAUAGGAAUUAACCUGGUCAGCUAUUCCCGUGGGAAAUGGAGUCCCAUAGACACUGAUGCUUCACAACCCGCUUCCGCCAUCAACCACUAGAAACCAUUUGUUGUACUCACAGGCCAGAAUGGUCUUGUACUACAUAUUUUGUAUUUUGCUUGGAAUUUCUGUAUCAAGUUGGAGCCUCAUCAGCUAAUAGUAAUCCUGGGGCUGAUGAGCACGACCAGGCCAAUGAUCACCACCACCCACCGCCCGAUGUGUCGCCGCUCCUGCAGACCUAGACUGCUCCUCUGCCUCCUGGUCGAUGCUCCUGGCUCAUCCUGCUGCUCAUCUCCUCCCUCGCGUAUGCAUCAACAAAAAUUGGGUGGGUCGCUGUGUUGGAAAUAUGCCCUAGAGGCAAUAAUAAAUUAGUUAUUAUUAUAUUUCCUUGUUCAUGAUAAUCGUUUAUUAUCCAUGCUAUAAUUAUAUUGAUAGGAAACUCAGAUACAUGUGUGGGUACAUAGACAACACCAUGUCCCUAGUAAGCCUCUAGUUAACUAGCUCAUUUAUCAAUAGAUGGUCAUGGUUUCCUGACCAUGGACGUUGGAUGUCGUUGAUAAUGGGAUCACAUCAUUGGCAGAAUGACGUGAUGGACAAGACCCAAUCCUAAGCCUAGCACAAAGAUCGUGUAGUUCGUAUGCUAAAGCUUUUCUAAUGUCAAGUAUCUUUUCCUUAGACCAUCAGAUUGUGCAACUCCCGGAUACCAUAGGAAUGCUUUGGGUGUACCAAACAUCACAACGUAACUGGGUGGCUAUAAAGGUGCAUUACAGGUAUCUCCGAAAGUGUCUGUUGGGUUGGCACAAAUCGAGACUGGGAUUUGUCACUUCGUGUAAACGGAGAGGUAUCUCUGGGCCCACUCGGUAGGAGAUCAUCAUAAUGUGCGCAAUGUGACCAAGGGGUUGAUCACGGGAUGAUGUGUUACGGAACGAGUAAAGAGACUUGCCGGUAACGAGAUUGAACAAGGUAUCGGGAUACCGACGAUCGAAUCUCGGGUAAGUACAAUGUCACUAGACAAAGGGAAUUGUAUACGGGAUCGAUUGAGUCCUUGAAAUCGUGGUUCAUCCGAUGAGAUCAUCGUGGAACAUGUGGGAGCCAACAUGGGUAUCCAGAUCCCGCUGUUGGUUAUUGACCGGAGAACGUCUCGGUCAUGUCUGCAUGUCUCCCGAACCCGUAGGGUCUAGACACUUAAGGUUCGGUGACGCUAGGGUUGUAUGAAUAUGAGUAUGCAGCAAACCGAAUGUUGUUCGGAGUCCCGGAUGAGAUCCCGAACAUCACGAGGAGUUCCGGAAUGGUCCGGAGGUAAAGAUAUAUAUAUAGGAAGUCUUAUUUUGGUCGCCGGAAAAGUUUCGCACUUUAUCGGUAUUGUACCGGGAGUGCCGAAAGGGGUCCGGGGGUCCACCUGCCCCGGGGGGCCACAUGGGCUGUGGGGGGUGCGCCUUGGCCUAUAUGGGCCAAGGGCACCAGCCCCAAGAGGCCCAUGCGCCAAGGAGACUUGGGGAGGGGAGAGUCCUGAGAGGGGAAGGCACCUCCGAGGUGCCUUGGGGAGGAUGGACUCCUCCCCCCUCUUGGCCGCACCCCUUCCUUGGAGGAAGGGGCAAGGCUGCGCCCUUCCCCCCUCUCUUGCACCUAUAUAAAGGGAGGGGAGGGAGGGGUGGCCACACCCUGAAGCCCUUGGCGCCUCCCCUUCCUGCUACACCUCCUCCUCCUCCCGUAGUCGCUUAGCGAAGCCCUGCCGGAGUUCUGCUGCAUCCACCACCACGCCAUCGUGCUGCUGGAUCAUCAUCAACCUCUCCUUCCCCCUUGCUGGAUCAAGAAGGAGGAGACGUCAUCCGCUCCGUACGUGUGUUGAAUGCGGAGGUGUUGUCCGUUCAGCACUAGGUCAUCGGUGAUCUGAAUCACGGCGAGUACGACUCCAUCAUCCCCAUUCUAUUGAACGCUUCCGCACGCGAUCUACAAGUGGUAUGUAGAUGCAAUCACUCUCCCAUGACUCGUUGCUAGAUGAACUCAUAGAUGGAUCUUGGUGAAACCGUAGGAAAAAAAUUUAAUUUUCUGCAACAUUCCCCAACAGUGGCAUCAUGAGCUAGGUCUAUUGCGUAGAUUCUUUGCACGAGUAGAACACAAAGUAGUUGUGGGCGUUGAUUUUGUUCAAUAUGCUUACCAUUACUAGUCCAAUCUUGUUUCGACGGUAUUGUGGGAUGAAGCGGCCCGGACCGACCUUACACGUACUCUUACGUGAGACAGGUUCCACUGACUGACAUGCACUUGGUGCAUAAGGUGGCUAGCGGGUGCCAGUCUCUCCCACUUUAGUCGGAACGGAUUCGAUGAAAAGGGUCCUUAUGAAGGGUAAAUAGCAAUUGGCAUAUCACGUUGUGGUUUUGCGUAGGUAAGAAACGUUCUUGCUAGAAACCCAUAGCAGCCACGUAAAACAUGCAAAGAACAAUUAGAGGACGUCUAACUUGUUUUUGCAGGGUAUGCUAUGUGAUGUGAUAUGGCCAAGAAGAAUGUGACAAAUGAUAUGUGAUGUAUGAGAUUGAUCAUGUUCUUGUAAUAGGAUUCACGACUUGCAUGUCGAUGAGUAUGACAACCGGCAGGAGCCAUAGGAGUUGUCUUUAUUUAUUGUAUGACCUGCAUGUCAUUGAACAACGCCAUGUAAUUACUUUACUUUAUUGCUAACCGGUAGCCAUAGUAGUAGAAGUAAUAAGUUGGCGAGACAACUUCAUGGAGACACGAUGAUGGAGAUCAUGGUGUCAUGCUGGUGACGAUGAUGAUCAUGGAGCCCCGAAGAUGGAGAUCAAAAGGAGCAAUAUGAUAUUGGCCAUAUCAUGUCACUAUUUGAUUGCAUGUGAUGUUUAUCAUGUUUAUGCAUCUUAUUUGCUUAGAACGACGGUAGUAAAUAAGAUGAUCCCUCAUUAAAAUUUCAAGAAAGUGUUCCCCCUAACUGUGCACCGUUGCGAAAGUUCGUCGUUUCGAAGCACCACGUGAUGAUCGGGUGUGAUAGAUUCUUACAUUCACAUAGAACGGGUGUAAGCCAGAUUUACACACGCGAAACACUUAGGUUAACUUGACGAGCCUAGCAUGUACAGACAUGGCCUCGGAACACAAGAGACCAAAAGGUCGAGCAUGAGUCGUAUAGUAGAUACGACCAACAUGAAGAUGUUCACCGAUGAUGACUAGUCCGUCUCACGUGAUGAUCGGACUAGGCCUAGUUGACUCGGAUCAUGUAAUCACUUAGAUGACUAGAGGGAUGUCUAUUUGAGUGGGAGUUCAUAAGAUGAACUUAAUUAUCCUGAACAUAGUCAAAAGAUCUUUGCAAAUUAUGUCGUAAGCUCGCGCUUUACUUCCACUGUUUAGAUAUGUUCCUAGAGAAAAUAUAGUUGAAAGUUGACAUAGAGAUUAUGCGGACAGUAGAAAGCUUAUGUCCUUAAUGCACCGCUCAGUGUGCUGAACCCCAAACAUCGUUUGUGGAUGUUGCGAACAUCGGACAUACACGUUUUGAUAACUACGUGAUAGUUCAGUAAUGAUAAACGGUUUAGAGUUGAGGCAUCGAAGACGAUUUCGAAACGUCGCGGAACAUAUGAGAUGUUUCGAGGGCUGAAAUUGGGAUUUCAGGCUCGUGCCCACGUCAAGAGGUAUAAGACCUCCGACGAUUUUCUUAGCCUGCAAACUAAGGGAGAAAAGCUCAAUCGUUGAGCUUGUGCUCAGAUUGUCUGAGUGCAACAAUCACUUGAAUCGAGUGGGAGUUGAUCUUCCAGAUGAGAUAGUGAUGUUUCUCCAAAGUCAUUGCCACCAAGCUGCUAGAGCUUCGUGAUGAACUAUAACAUGUCAGGGAUAGAUAUGAUGAUCCUUGAGGUAUUCACGAUGUUUGACACCGCGAAAGUAGAAAUCAAGAAGGAGCAUCAAUUGUUGAUGGUUGGUGAAACCACUAGUUUCAAGAAGGUCAAGGGCAAGAAGGGACACUUCAUGAAACGGCAAAUCAGUUGCUGCUCCAGUGAAGAAACCCAAGGUUGAACCCAAACCCGAGACUAAGUGCUUCUGUAAUAAGGGGAACAGCCACUGGAGCACAAUUACCCUAGAUACUUGGUAGAUAAGAAGGCUGGCAAGGUCGAUAGAAGUAUAUUGGAUAUACAUUAUGUUAAUGUGUACUUUACUAGUACUCCUAGUAGCACCAGGGUAUUAGAUACCGGUUCGGUUGCUAAGUGUUAGUAACUCGAAACAAAAGCUACGGAAUAAAUGGAGACUAGCUAAAGGUGAGCUGACGAUACGUGUUGGAAGUGUUUCCAAGGUUGAUAUGAUCAAGCAUCGCACGCUCCCUCUACCAUCGAGAUUGGUGUUAAACCUAAAUAAUUGCUAUUUGGUGUUCGCAUUGAGCAUAGACAUGAUUGGAUUAUGUCUGUCGCAAUACGGUUAUUCAUUUAAGGAGAAUAAUGGUUACUCUGUUAAUUUGAAUAAUACCUUCAAUGGUCUAGCACCUAAAAGGAAUGGUUUAUUGAAUCUCGAUCGUAGUGAUACACAUUUUCAUGCCAAAAGAUAUAAGAUAGUAAUGAUAGUACCACGUACUUGUGGCACUGCCAUGUAAGUCAUAUUGGUAUAAAACGCAUGAAGAAGCUCCAUGUUGAUGGAUCUUUGGACUCACUCGUUUUUGAAAAGUUUGAGACAUGCAAACCAUGUCUAUUGGUGUAUACGCAUGAAGAAACUCCAUGCAGAUGGAUCGAUUGGACUCACUUGAUUUUGAAUCACUUGAGAUAUGCAAAUCAUACCACAUGGGCAAGAUGACUGAAAAGCCUCGGUUUCAGUAAGAUGGAACAAGGUAGCAACCUGUUGGAAGUAACACAUUUUGAUGUGUGCAGUCCAAUGAGUGCUGAGGCAUGCAGUGAAUAUCGUUAUGUUCUGACUUCACAGAUGAUUCGAGUAGAUGUUGAGUAUAUUUACUUGAUGAAAUACAAAGUCUGAAUUAUUGAAUGGUUCAAGUAAUUUCAGAGUGAAGUUAAAGAUCAUUGUGACAAGAGGAUAAAAUGUCUAUGAUAUGAUCAUAGAGAUGAGUAUCUGAGUUACGAGCUUUGGCACGCAAUUAAGACACUGUGGAAAUUGUUUCACAAUUAAUACCGCCUGGAACACCAUAGUGUGAUGGUGUGUCCGAACAUCAUAGUUGCACCCUAUUGGAUAUGGUGCGUACCAUGAAGUCUCUUAUCGAAUUACCACUAUCGUUCAUGGGUUAGGCAUUAGAGACAACCGCACUCACUUAUAUAGGGCACCACGUAAUUCCGUUGAGACGACACCGUUUGAACUAUGGUUUGGAGAAACCUAAGUUGUCGUUUCUUAAAGGUUUGGGGCUAUGACGCUUAUGUGAAAAAGUUUCAGGUUGAUAAGCUUGAACCCAAAGCGGAUAAAAUGCAUCUUCAUAGGACACCCAAAACGGUUGGGUAUACCUCCUAAUUCAGAUCCGAAAGCAAUAGGGAUUGUUUCUAGAAAUGGGUCCUUUCUCGAGGAAAAGUUUCUCUCUAAAGAAUUGAGUGGGAGGAUGGUGGAGACUUGAUGAGGUUAUUGAACCAUCACUUCAACCAGUGUGUAGCAGGGCACAGGAAGUUCCUGUGGCACCUACAUCAAUUGAAGUAGAAGCUUAUGAUAGUGAUCAUGAAGCUUCAGAUCAAGUCACUACCGAACCUCGUAGGACGACAAGGAUGCGUACUGCUUCGGAGUGGUACGGUGAUCCUGUCUUGAAUGUCAUGUUGCUAGACAACAAUGAACCUACGAGCUAUGGAGAAGCAAUGGUGGGCCCAUAUUCCAACAAAUGGUUAGAAGCCAUGAAAUCCGAGAUAGGAUCCAUGUAUCAGAACAAAGCAUGGACUUUGGUGGACUUGCCCGUUGAUCGGCAAGCCAUUGAGAUAAAUGGAUCUUUAAGAAGAAGACGGACGUGGACGGUAAUGUCACCGUCUAUGAAGCUCGACUUGUGGCAAAGAGUUUUUCACAAGUUCAAGGAGUUGACUACGAUGAGAUUUUCUCAUCCGUAGCGAUGCUUAAGUCCGUCGGAAUCAUGUUAGCAUUAGCUGCAUUUAUGAAAUCAGGCAGAUGGAAGUCAAAACAAGUUUCCUUACCAGUUUUGUAAGGAAAGGUUGUAUGUGAUACAAUCAGAUAGUUUUUGUCGAUCUUAAGGAUGCUAAAAGGUAUGCUGGCUCCAACGAUCCUUCUAAGGAGUGGAGUAAGCAUCUCGGAGUUGGAAUAUACACAUUGAUGAAAUGAUCAAAGAUUUUUGGGUUUAUACAAAGUUUGUGAGAAACUUGUAUUUCCAAAGAAGUGAGUGGGAGCACUAUAGAAUUUCUGAUGAGUAUAUGUCGUUGACAUAUUGAUGAUCAGAAAUGAUGUAGAAUUUUCUGUAAAGCAUAUAGGGUUAUUUGAAAAGUGUUUUUCAAGUGAAAACCUGGAUUAAGCUACUUAAACAUUGAGCAUCAAGAUCUAUGAGCAUAGAUCAAAACCGCUUAAUGGUACUUUCAAAUGAGCAUAUACCUUGACAUGAUCUUGAAGGUGUUCAAGAUGGAUCAGUCAAAGAAGGAGUUCUUUCCUGAGAUGUAAGGUAUGAAGUUAAGACUUAAAGCUCGACCACGGCAGAAAAGAGAGAAAGGACGAAGGUCGUCCCCUAUGCUUUAGACGUAGGCUCUAUAGUAUGCUAUGCUGUGUACCGCACCGGAUGUGUGCCUUGCCAUGAGUCAGUCAAGGGGUACAAGAAUGAUCCAGGAAUGGGGAUCAUUGGACAGCGGUGAAUAAGGACAUGUUUCUUGAUUAUGGAGGUGAUAAAGAGUUCGGCGUAAAGGGUUACGUCGAUGCAAGCUUUAACACCUAUCCGAGUGACUCUGAGUAGCAAACUGGAUACGUAUAGUGGAGCAACCAUUUGGAAUAGCUUCAAGUGGAACGUGGAAGGAGCAUUUACAAUAUGACAUAGAGAAUUGCAAAGUACAUACGGAUCUGAAUACUGCAGACCCGUUGACUAAAACUUCUCUCACAAGGAAAACAUGAUCAAACCCUAGAACUCAUUGAGUCUUAAUCACAUGGUGAUGUGAACUAGUUUAGCGACACUAGUAAACUCUUUGGAUGUUGGUCACAUGGCGAUGUGACCUAUCAGUGUUAAUCACAUGGCGAUGUGAACUAGAUUAUUGACUCUAGUGCAAGUGGGAGACUGUUGGAAAUAUGCCCUAGAGGCAAUAAUAAAUUAGUUAUUAUUAUAUUUCCUUGUUCAUGAUAAUCGUUUAUUAUCCAUGCUAUAAUUGUAUUGAUAGGAAACUCAGAUACAUGUGUGGGUACAUAGACAACACCAUGUCCCUAGUAAGCCUCUAGUUAACUAGCUCGUUUAUCAAUAGAUGGUCAUGGUUUCCUGACCAUGGACAUUGGAUUUCGUUGAUAACGGGAUCACAUCAUUGGCAGAAUGAUGUGAUGGACAAGACCCAAUCCUAAGCCUAGCACAAAGAUCGUGUAGUUUGUAUGCUAAAGCUUUUCUAAUGUCAAGUAUCUUUUCCUUAGACCAUGAGAUUGUGCAACUCCCGGAUACCGUAGGAAUGCUUUGGGUGUACCAAACGUCACAACUUCUCUGGGUGGCUAUAAAGGUGCAUUACAGGUAUCUCCUAAAGUGUCUGUUGGGUUGGCACGAAUCGAGACUGGGAUUUGUCACUCCGUGUAAACGGAGAGGUAUCUCUGGGCCCACUCGGUAGGACAUCAUCAUAAUGUGCACAAUGUGACCAAGGGGUUGAUCACGGGAUGAUGUGUUACGGAACGAGUAAAGAGACUUGCCGGUAACGAGAUUGAACAAGGUAUCGGGAUACCGACGAUCGAAUCUCGGGCAAGUACAAUGCCGCUAGACAAAGGGAAUUGUAUACGGGAUCGAUUGAGUCCUUGAAAUCGUGGUUCAUCCGAUGAGAUCAUCGUGGAACAUGUGGGAGCCAACAUGGGUAUCCAGAUCCCGCUGUUGGUUACUGACCGGAGAACGUCUCGGUCAUGUCUACAUGUCUCCCGAACCCGUAGGGUCUACACACGUAAGGUUGGGUGACGCUAGGGUUGUAUGAAUAUGAGUAUGCAGCAAACUGAAUGUUGUCCAGAGUCCUGGAUGAGAUCCCGGACGUCACGAGGACUUCCGGAAUGGUCUGGAGGUAAAGAUUUAUAUAUAGGAAGUCUUAUUUUGGUCGCCGGAAAAGUUUCGUAGUUUAUCGAUAUUGUACCGGGAGUGCCGAAAGGGGUCCGGGGGUCCACCGGGGUGGUCCACCUGCCCCGGGGGGGCACAUGGGCUGUGUGGGGUGCGCCUUGGCCUAUAUGGGCCAAGGGCACCAGCCCCAAGAGGCCCAUGCGCCAAGGAGACUUGGGGAGGGGAGAGUCCUGAGAGGGGAAGGCACCUCCGAGGUGCCUUGGGGAGGAUGGACUCCUCCCCUCCUCUUGGCCGCACCCCUUCCUUGGAGGAAGGGGCAAGGCUGCGCCCUUCCCCCCUCUCUUGCACCUAUAUAAAGGGAGGGGAGGGAGUGGUGGCCGCACCCUGAAGCCCUUGGCGCCUCCCCUUCCUGCUACACCUCCUCCUCCUCCCGUAGUCGCUUAGCGAAGCCCUGCCGGAGUUCUGCUGCAUCCACCACCACGCCGUCGUGCUGCUGGAUCAUCAUCAACCUCUCCUUCCCCCUUGCUGGAUCAAGAAGGAGGAGACGUCAUCCGCUCCGUACGUGUGUUGAACGCGGAGGUGUUGUCCGUUCGGCACUAGGUCAUCGGUGAUCUGAAUCACGGCGAGUACGACUCCAUCAUCCCCGUUCUAUUGAACGCUUCCGCACGUGAUCUACAAGUUGUAUGUAGAUGCAAUCACUCUCCCAUGACUCGUUGCUAGAUGAACUCAUAGAUGGAUCUUGGUGAAACCGUAGGAAAAAAAAUUAAUUUUCUGCAAUGUUCCCCAACACGCUGCAGUCCAAGUCGUGCCACAGAGGCAGGGCGACCUUCCAGGAUGCAACUCAUCUCAACCGGCUCCAAUUUUGCACAAAUGGGGUGGUGCUGCUAGCUCCAGCAAGCUCCUUCGUCCCUGGCCUGUCUCUGAAUGCGGAUGCAGCACCGCAGGUUCCUACCACCGUGCCUCCUCUCUGCUUCUUCACUCUCCACUUCUCUAGUUUUUUGUGUGUGCAUGCAAAAUGUUGGCUAAAAUGUCUCAGUGCACCAGUACUAGUUUUGAGUGUUCGUUUUACAUUCUAGCUUAGUCCUGGCCUGCUGAUUGAUAUGGCUUGGAUUACUUAUAGUGUUUUUCAUGUGUGUUAUGCACUUCAGGUUCAAGUUCACCCUGUAUCCCUGACGUAGCGCUGCUCCGGCUCCUCCCCCGCUUGCUUCAGGUCUGUCGCUCCUUUCUCCCUUGCUCACUGUCCUAUGCGGAGGUGGACGCGCCUACCUGAUGGAGCGAAGCCAACCUCCCAACACUAGUAGUUUCAAAAAAAAUAACAAUAGCAAGUUCAGAAUAAAAAAAUAGAAGUUCAAGAAGAACAAAAGGUGAUGCGUUCACUCAAGUACUUGCAAAUUGGUAGGUUGUACCUCGUAUUUUAUUUGCAGCUAUCUUCAAUUUCUUCAGUACCUCUUACACAUUUUGCCAAAAUAUAGUUGGCCAGCAGGGACAACCAUGUUGAUAGUGAUUUAAAAAGGAUUAUGAAGUAAUAUUGUUGAGACUGAAGGCCAAGUUUGAUGCACGAUGUCAGAGGAUGCCAAGUCUUUUCCUGAGGCGGUCGAUGGCUUUCGAGAUAUGCGUUCAUAUCUCACAAGUUUCCAGGGGUUCAAGUUCAUCUAUAUAAGAAGGAACACCAAUUUUGUUGCCCAUCCGUGUGUUAAAGAGGCACUGAAACUUGAUGUACUUGCUAUUUCUUUUGUUGUAACGCCUACCUAUUUGAUUGAGACUAUUCAAUCACAGCUAUUUUUUAAAUGCCAUGGCACGGGACCUCCUCCAUCUCAGUGCCGCCAUCACAACCCAACCUCCAUUUGCUAGUCGCUGCUAGCUGUUGUUGCUGUGGCCUGCCUCGCCCUCUAGCUAAUGUUGGUGCGCUACUGUUGAAGUUCAACUCGAAUGCUAGAGAGAGAUUUCUGCGAGAGUUUAGCUACUAUAGUCCUUGGUUUUGUGUUCGAACUUGUUGUUGUCCAUGGUUAAAGAUUAUGAUGUUGCUUUUCUACAGAUGGUCUUCUUGUAGAUAUAUCAUUCUCCAUCCUCUUGGAAGAUACAGAUCUGAAUGAUCAGAACAAAAAUAAUAUAAUGUUAGUGUGCUGCUACUUUUGUAUGUUUGUACUAAGCUUGCUGAUGUGUUGGUCGUGCAUGUAACACAUGGUCAUUUAAAAAUAUACAUACGCGUCAAUGUGUUAUAUACACAUCAGCAUCAGUGUGUUGCUGCCUAUAAUUCUUCUAUGUGUGCACGUAUGUUGUGCAGAUGAGCAUUAGUACGAGGAAAAUGGAGACCGGUCAGUGCCAUAAGUUCAAAAAAAUUGAGCAAGAAGUUCAAAUUAAAAAGUACUUCAAAAACCAUUAUAAAAAUGGAUUUUUAUCGUUUGUAAAAAAAUGGAGAAGUCCAAAUUAAAAAGAGGAACAUUUCGAAAAGAAUUUCUGAAAAAAAUCCCUGUUAUAAAAAACUAGAAGUUCAAAUUAGAAUAAAAGGAACAAGUAAAAAAGUUUUAAAAAAACUCGUUUCUUAAAAAACUAGAAGUUCAAAUUUAAAUAACGCAACAGAAAAGUUGUGUUUUCAACAACUUAUUCAUGUGCAGUAGAAGUUCAAGUCAAACUAACGGGGCGAUUUAGCACUUAUUCUUGAAAAAGUGGAGAAAAUUAUACAUGCUCUGUAGGUCAAAAGUUUGGCUUUAAUUUAUGUUUUGCGAAGGUCAAAAUGUUGUGUUCGAGAAGAUCAAGUGUGUUAUCCAGCAAGUUCAAAAUAAAUUUAAACAUGCAAGAAAACAAAAAGGGAGAAGUUCAAUUUCUAAAGAUGACGCGGUUCAACGUGUAAACCAAUGUUGAAAGAAAACGAAAAGAAAAUGAGAAGUUCAAUUUCUAAAGAUGAAGUGGUUCAACAUGCAACCCAAUGUUGAAAGAAAACAAAAAGAAAGGAGAAGUUCAAUUUCUAAAGAUGACGUGGUUCGACGUGCUAAACAAUGUUGAAAGAAAAUAAAAAGAUAAGGAGAAGUUCAAUUUCUAAAGAUGACGCGGUUUGAUGUGCAAACCAAUGCAACACCAAAAUGUUGUUUUGGUGUCUUAAAAUAUUUUUAUUCAUAAAAAUGAUUAAGAAAUAAAACCAAGAAGACCAUAUUAAAAAGUUGGAGAAGUUCGAUUAUUAUAGAAAACUCAGAUUUUCCUCAUUAUUAAAGAUACGUCAGAGUGAAAACUGCAAGAAGUUCAACAUGAAAACGGCAAGAAGUUCAAUUACUACACUGAAUGAAUUUCAGAUGAAAAACUUGAAAACCAUCGUGAGUAUGAAAAAAUAAUCAACACGGGAAAGUUGCGUGUUUACAGCAGCUUUCCAUUGGUAUAUCACUUGCUCAAUUUCAGUGAGUGGGGGAGAGCUUCAAGUGCUCGGCGAGGGAAAGAUCAAAAAUUCUUGUGAGAGAGGUUCACCAUGUAUUUAGAUGUCCAAAAUACAUAAAAAAAUAUGUUGUUUUUUGUGUUUUAAAAUAAUUCUCUCAAACCAGAGAGAAGUUCAAAGUGAUAACAACCGGAAGUUCACGUACUACAUGGUGUGUAUUUCAUAUAAAAAAUACAAUAAAGUGAAACAAAGUGAAGUUCAAAUAGACAUGCCCAAGAAGUUCAACUACUUCACGCAGUGCAAAAAACAGUACGUCAAAAAACAGCACGUCGAAAAUUAGAGUGAAGUUCAAACAGACAUGACCAAAAAGUUGAACUACUUCACGCAAUGCAUUUCCAUUCACGAUGAAGGCAUAAAUCAUGAUCUCAUCGUUUUCUAAUUUACUUCAAAAUGGCAGGAAUAUAAUUUGUGUAAAUUCAAGUCCUCGGUCGGAGAAAGUUAAAAAAAAUUGUGAGAGAGGUUUGUACAAAAAGAAUAUCAUUUGUGUAACACUGAUGAAAAUGGAUGGGAAAAUUACAAACAAAAAUAUGUCACAGAAGCCCAACGUGAAAAACAACAGGAAGUUCAACUACUACACUCAAUGAAUUUCACAAGAAAAACUUUUAAAAUCGUCGCGAGUAUGAAAAAAAUGAUCAACACGGAAAAGUUGCAUGUUUACAGUAGCUUUCCAUCGGUAUAUCACUUGCUUAAUUCCGGUGAGUGAAUAAAGAGCUACGAGUAAAAAAAGCACGUGAAAAACAGAGUGAACUUCAAGCAGAACUGCCACAGAAGUUCAAGUACUUCACGCGAUGCAUUUUCGACGAAUCUAUUUUGCGAUAAAGGUAGAACGAGUGAUCUCGCCAUUUACGAAAUUACUUGAAAAUGGCCGGGAUUCAGAGAAAACCAUCAACAUGAAAAAGUUUCGCAUUUUUCGUAGUUUUUCAACAGUAUAUUAUUUUCUCCGUUCCGAUGAAGUUUGUAGAAAUUACGGCGAAAAUACGUUUUUAGCCAUUUUCAAAAUCAACAUAAAACCGUAAUGAAUUUGGAGAAACAGUAUAUACCAAAAAGUUUCGCAUUUGUUCAGGCUUUCCAACGCCAUAUCAUUUGCUACAUUCGGAUGUAUGAUUACAAAAAAUAGAUCGAAAAUACAAACUUGGUAGAACUUGUACCAUUUUCUAAAUUACUCUUAAACCAUUCAAAUUAGAAAAAACUUUCAACAUGAGAAAAAAGCGAUUUUCAUAAGCUUUCCAACGCCAUAUAUUUGUCUCAAUUGGAUUAGGCAUUUAGAAAUGGCAUCGAAAAUACGAACUCGGUUGUUCAGUUUGCGAAAUUUUAUGAUUUUCCACAUUACUCUUUAACCAUAGGGAAUUAGAAAAAACUUUCAGCAUGUGGAAUGAGCGGUUUUACAGAAGAUUUCCAACGCCAUAUUAUUUGCCUCAUUCCGAUAAACGGUUUACAAAUGCGAUCGAAAAUACGAUUCACAUUUUUUGUAUGAAGAAAAAACGGUUUUCAAAACUGCUCUUAAACCACUUACAUUUUGCCAAAAUUUUAAGUUGGGUCAUGAUACUGGUGUCCAUAGCUUUCCAACGGUAUGUCGCAAGACCCAUUUGGGCAAUGUUGAUGGAAGUUCAACCUAGCACUAGGGGAAGUUCAGUUCGAACAACUCAGGUAGUAAAAUUGCAAAAAAUGCAAUUUCAUCACGACCCGAGAGCAAAAUCCACCAACGAGCGAGAUUUCUAUUUAAAACCAGUAUUUAGGUGCUAAAAACGUUUCUAGAUUACAACAUCAUAUAGAACACUACUAACCAGAAUAAUUCGCGGGGGAAGCCACGGUUGUAAAGAUAGCCCGAAGGUCGGGUUUGUACAAAGAGAAGUUCAGACGCGUGUACAAACAAAAAUACGUCAUAGAAGUUCAACGUGAAAACAACAUGAAGUUCAACUACUACGCUGAAUGAAUUUCAGAUGAAAAACUUUUAAAAUCGUCGCGAGUAUGAAAAAAUGAUCAACACGGGAAAGUUGCGUGUUUACAGCAGCUUUCCAUCGGUAUAUCACUUGCUCAAUUCCGGUGAGUGGAUGGAGAGCUAGGAGCAGUGGAUAGAGAUAUAUGAGCAUAAAAAACACGUAAAAAUAGAGUGAAGUUCAACUACACGUGCCGAGAAGUUCCGGUUCUUCACGCGGUGCAUUUUCGAAGAAUCAGUUUUGCGAUAAAGGCAGAACGAAUGAUCUCGCCAUUUUCGCAAUUACUUGAAAACGACUAGGAACCAGAGAAAACCAUCAACAUGAAAAAGUUUCGCAUUUUCCGCAGCUAUUCAGCGGUAUAUUAUUUGCCCCAUUCCGAUAAAGUAUGUAGAAAUUAUGCCAAAAUAUGUUUUUAGCCAUUUUUCCAAUUUGACUUCAAACUGUAAGGAAUUAGGAGAAACAAUAUAUACAAAAAAGUUUUGCAUUUCCGCAAUUUUUCCAACGCCGUAUGAUUUGUUGCAUUCGGAUGUACGGUUAAAAAAUUAGCUUGAAAAUACAAACUCGAUGGAACUUGUACCGUUUUCUGAAUUACUUUUAAACCGUACCAAAUUAGGAAAAACUUUUAACAUGAAAAAGUAGCACAUUUUCACAAGCUUUCCAAUAUCAUAUCAUUUGCCUCAAAUGGAGUAGCUGUUUAGAAAUUACAAUGAAAAUACGAACUCAGUUGUUCGGUUUGCAAAAUUUUAUGAUUUUCAAAAUUACUCUUUAUCCAUAGGGAAUUAGAGAAAACUUUCAACAUGUCGGAGGAGCGGUUUUGCAGCAACUUUCCAACGCUAUAUUAUUUACGUCAUUCGAUAAACGGUUUAGAAAUGCGAUCGAAAAUACGAUUCACGUUUUUUAUAUGAAGAAAAAAUGGUUUUCAAAACUACUCUUAAACCGCUUACAUUUUGCCAAAAAUUUAACUUGGGUUAUGAUAUUGGUGUCCAUAGCUUUCCAACGGUAUAUCGCAAGCCCCAUUUGGACACAUUUUAGCUGAAGUUCAACCUAGAACUCGGGGAAGGUCAGGCGCGUUACUCGGGAAGUUCAUGUUGUGAUCAGAAUAUUAUUCUGAUCCCGUGAUNNNNNNNNNNNNNNNNNNNNNNNNNNNNNNNNNNNNNNNNNNNNNNNNNNNNNNNNNNNNNNNNNNNNNNNNNNNNNNNNNNNNNNNNNNNNNNNNNNNNNNNNNNNNNNNNNNNNNNNNNNNNNNNNNNNNNNNNNNNNNNNNNNNNNNNNNNNNNNNNNNNNNNNNNNNNNNNNNNNNNNNNNNNNNNNNNNNNNNNNNNNNNNNNNNNNNNNNNNNNNNNNNNNNNNNNNNNNNNNNNNNNNNNNNNNNNNNNNNNNNNNNNNNNNNNNNNNNNNNNNNNNNNNNNNNNNNNNNNNNNNNNNNNNNNNNNNNNNNNNNNNNNNNNNNNNNNNNNNNNNNNNNNNNNNNNNNNNNNNNNNNNNNNNNNNNNNNNNNNNNNNNNNNNNNNNNNNNNNNNNNNNNNNNNNNNNNNNNNNNNNNNNNNNNNNNNNNNNNNNNNNNNNNNNNNNNNNNNNNNNNNNNNNNNNNNNNNNNNNNNNNNNNNNNNNNNNNNNNNNNNNNNNNNNNNNNNNNNNNNNNNNNNNNNNNNNNNNNNAAGCAAACGAAAAACAAUUAAACGGAAAACAGAAAAAUAAAGGAAAAAUAAAUAAUAAAACCAAAACCCCCCAAAAAAUUUAGUACCGGUUGGUGUUACCAACCGGUACUAAAGGUCUCCCCACACCCGGCCCUGGCUCGUGCCAUGUGGUGGCCCUUUAGUGGCGGUUCAUGCAGAACCGGUACUAAAGGGGGGGGGCUUUAGUCCCCACCCUACAGAACCGGCACUAAAGGCCCUUACGAACCGGAGCUAUAGCCCGGUUCUGCACUAGUGUUGGUUGGAUGAUAUAUAUGGAUUGAUUUUAUUGUUUCCAAUUUUCUUAGAUGCAUAAGCUCAUAAAUGUUCAUUAUUUGUACAAGACGACAUUUAUGCUUGGAAAUGAUGAUGAAGGAGAAGAGGCUAUGGUUUUUGAUACAAGUCCAAGCUUUGAUGAUGUUGUAGUUAAAGUGAGAAGCUUCUUACAUUGGAGUGACCCAAAUGCCGAGGUUAAGCUUAUUGGGAGGUAUGACGUUGGAUUGGGAGUAAAGUCUCGAUUAAAGAGUAUGCCCAUCACCUCCCAAUUGCAUUGGAAUGUGUACAAGGAAAAAGUAGAUGCAUCAUAAGACAAGUCUCUUGAGAUAUUUGCCACAAAGGUUGAUCCUCCCUUGCAAAUUGAUUUGAACCGCAAUGCAUCCUCCCCAAUACAUGAUGAUAGUGCCUAGCUGUAUAUUCCAAUUGUUCUAGCCAACCACCAAGUAGCCAACCCAAUGAAGAACAUAUCAAUGCUAGCGCCAUAGUACUCCGAGUUGAUGCUAUUCCUCGUAUUCAAGAAGAUGAUAGUGGUCAUGUUGAUGAUGAUGCUAUUGUUGCUCAAGAGGAUGCUUACAUGGAGAAUGAAGAGAUUCAUUACAAUCCCAUUGGUAACUUGGAUUUCAUUGUGCGGAAACAAGACAUGGACCGUGCCCUCCCUUAUAACCGUAUGUGUGGGUAUAACUCGGAUGACGAGGGUCCGGAGGAAGAAUUGGAUGAGGAUGGGUUGACUGCGCAAAAAAAUCAAAUCUACAAGAAGGUGACCGGCAAGGAAAGAGGGCUACCGUUGUUUAGGGAUGUGAGUCUUGUGGACAAUGCCGUUGUUGACGUUGGGCUGAAAUUUGAGUUGUUUGAGCCAACAUCGUGCCCCAAAUUCAGUGAUCCUCGGCCAGAAAAUGAGGAUGAGAAUGCUCAUUUGAAGAAAGGCAUCAAGUUUGGUUCUUUGGUAGAGUUCGAGAUAUGGUUGUGUGACUACACCAUUAGGAACCAUAGGCCGUUUGUUGUUGGUCAUUCAAAUCAAAAAGUUUGGUACACAGUCAUAUGUGACCAAGAAGGUUGCAAAUGGAAGGUCCGCGGUAGAAAAAUCAAAGAAACCGGGCAAUGGGUGUUGAAGAGUUGUGUUGGCACUCACACGUGCAUACCCCCCUACAAGGCCGACCAAAGAAAAGGAUACCGUCAACUCACAUCUGAGUAUCUAGGAUACAAAUUUUUGAAUCAAAUAGCACAUGAUCCAACCAUGAAGGUCAAGUUUCUCAUGACUUCAAUUGAGGAACUAUUCGGAUACCCAGUAAAGUAUGGGAAGGCAUGGAUGGCCAAGGCAAACUCUAUUAGGAUGUUGCAUGGAGAUUAUGAGGCCGCAUAUAACAUUCUUCCCAAGAUGUUGGCAGCCAUUGCUCAUCGAAAUCCGGGCAUGCGCCAUCGAAUGGAGUCAAUUGACUGAGUGUUUCGUCGUGCCUUCUAGAGCUUUGGACAAUGCAUCGAGGCAUUCACGUAUUGUCGGCCGGUCUUAUCUAUAGAUGGUACAUUCUUGACCGGCAAAUACAAGGGCACAUUGAUGGUGGCGAUGGCCCACUCUUCAAAUGAUAAUGUGUUGCCGGUGGCAUUUGCCUUGGUGCCUUCGGAGCACGAUGAUAAUUGGGAGUGGUUCAUGGGGCAUGUGAGAACCAAGGUGAUAGGCAAGCGAGAGGUAUAUAUUAUAUUGGAUCACCAUCAUGGGAUUCUCAAAGCAAUAGACGUUUAUAUUCCCGGUCUUCCAAAGCUUCAACACCGUUGGUGCAUGAGACACUUUGUUGCAAACUUUUACCGGGCAUGCUAGAGCAAGGAGUUUUGCAAAGACCUUACCCUUGUUUCUGUUGCAUUCAACACCGACACAUUCAAAAGCUGAUAUGAUAAACUCCUCAAGGCUUUGGAGAAGAACAAAGGGGGGAAAGAAUUAUUGCUUAGGCACGAGCCGAAAAAAGAAAAGUGGUCACGUGCUUACGAUGAAGGAGGUAUGCAAUAUGGGGACAUGACAAGCAACAUGAUGGAAUGCUUCAACAAUGUGUUGAAGGGUGUCCGUUCCUUGCCGGUGACCGCAAUACUCAAGUGCACUUUCAUCAAGCUCAACGAGUACUUCCUAAAGCAUUUUGAAAGCACGACCAAGUGGAUUGGCGAAAAGAUGGACUAUCCAUUCAAGGUUCAGGAUUGGUUGUUGCAUCAAGCGCGCAAGUCUUCCAAACAACAAGUGAUCAAAUAUACUGAAAAAGAAAUGAUCUAUCAAAUCGAUGAGCCGGGUGGGACAACAAGGUAUGGUAGGUCUUAUGGUGGAGUUGCUUAGGAGGUGCACAUCAAAAACCGUUGGUGCCAGUGUGAGAGGCCACGCAAGUAUCAUUGGCCUUGCUCGCAUUUGAUGACCGCAACACGGGCGAGAAACUUGCCCGUAUCCGAUGGCACAACGUUGCGGUUGCACGAGUUCACAUUGGAACGAACAAGGUUGACAUGGGCGCCUCGGUUUAAUCCUUUCCUUGAUGCCUCACAGUGGCCUGAGUAUCACGGCCCAGACAUUGUGCCAGAUCCCGCACUCAUCAUGGUGCCUAUGAGGGGAAGAAGAAGAAAGAAGAGGUUCAAGAGUGACAUGGAUGAUCUAGCUGGAUACACCGGAAUCAAGCAAUUUGGUAGUGGUCAUUUCAUGGAGGCACCGGACACCAACAAUUGUGGAGAAUGCAAUGAAACAAGACACAACGUUAGGAGAUGCACGAAGAAACCUAGAACCAACACGGGCACUAGUUAAACACAUGUAGGGAGGACUAGCCUUGGAGGGGGUCGUGGCCGUGGAGGAAGGACUAGCCUUGGAGUGGUCCUAGGAGGGGGUCGUGGCCGUGGAGGAAGAACAAUACUUAGAGGGGGCCGUGGAUCCGGUGGUUCUAGGACACGUCGGGUUGAUAGGGGAAGGCCUAUCGACGUGUUGCUCAAUCCGGAUGGUUGAAAUAAUGUGAAUGGCACUACUUUUAAUAUGUUCAUGUGUUGAUAUAUUUGCCUCUUUACAUGUCAAUGUGUUCAUAUUUUGACUUAACAUCUUUAAUUGUUGAAGGCAUGGCUUCAUCCAGUUCCAUGAUGAUGCCACCGUGUGCUAACCAAGAAGACAUGCCGCACAAGUGGGAGAAUGCAUCCUUGGACAAGGUGAAGGAGAAAGAUGUGAAGAUUCCUCCAUGUUGGUGUGGAGAUGUUUGCGAGGUGAAGGUGUCCACCGACCGAAAGAAGUCAUGGACGGAAGGAGGGAGAUAUUUUGUAUGCCCCAACUAUGCUUAUGAUCGUGCACUUCCAACUCACGCCUAUGACUAACCACCGGUAUGCUAGAGAAGUAACAUGUUACUCUAAAAUGUGUGUCAACACUAACAUCCAUUUUGUAUGCAUUCACCACCUCCUCUAUGCAAGUACUUCACAUGGAUAGAUCACGAAGUGCCAGAAGAUGUCCAAAAGGACCAAUAUGAAGAUUGUCUUAGGCGCCAGCGGCUGUUCAAAGAAAGGUUUCGAAGAGGCUUGGAGGAAGAGCAUCGUCAGAAGGAGAGGAUGGAGCGGAAGCAACGCGAGGAGGAGAGGGCAUGCCAAGCGAAGCUUGCUCGUGAGGAGGAGAGGGCAAGAAAGCUUGCAGAGGCUUGCAAGGCACAAGAGGAGGAUGAGGCACGUGACAAGAAGGGGAAAUGGCCCCGUAUGACUCAGUAAAGCCUUCACUUCGGUGGAUUCGCCAUGUAACCGGAUGAAGCCAUACCACAUUUAUCAUUUAUCAUGAACUAUGUACUACUAAGGCAAGAAGACAUGUGUCGUGAACUUAUCGUGAAUGAAUUUGUAUUGAAUUUGUCGUCUGAACUAAAGUUUGUCAGCAAUUUCUGUGAUUAUAAACUGUUGUGCUUAGAUGAGGGGCAGAACAGAGGAGGUCCUCUAUUUUCAACUCUACCGCCACACCCCCUGGCGGUAGGUUGCUGAACCCUACCGCCAAGGCCCAUGGCGGUAGGGGGCGCCAUAGGGGGUGGAUUCAGUAUUGUAACGAGAAAAAUCCCCCCUUGGCGGUAGGGUCACACCCUACCGUCACAGGCUCUGGCGGUAGGCUUACCUACCGCCAAGGGAUGGUUUUUCCUCUUUACAGUACCGAAUCCACUCCUGUGCCACCCCCUACCGCCAUGGGCCCUGGCGGUAGGUUUCAGCAGCCUACCACCAGGGGGUGUGGCAGUAGGGUUAAAAACAGAGGACCUCCUCUGUUCUGCCCCUCAUCUAAGGCCAAAUCUUAACUCAACUCAACUCAAGCACAUACAUAACUCAACAUAGUUCAUUACUCUCAUACUUCAUAACAUAGUUCAUUAACUCAAAACAGUUCAUAACUCAACAUAGUUCAUCUAAGGCCAAAUCUUAGAAUGAUCAACUAGCAAGCACAUGCAUAACUCAACUCAACAUAGUUCAUUACAUCCACGAAUAACACAUGUUCAAACUAAUUAAAAUAUGACCCGGUUCGAAUGACAUCGGUUGAAACUAAUAACUCAAGCUCGACGACACAUUUUCUAAACAAGUAACAUAACUCUCAUACUUAUCAGACGUUCAAUUUGAUCGUCACGCGCUUGAUUACGCUUCAGUUGAAAGUCGGUGGAUCCUGCCCAAUGACCCAACACACCAUUCGUUUCGCGGAACCAGGCCCAUGCAGCACGGCGGGCCGGAUUCUCUGACACGCCUUGUUUGAUUGCCCAUCCUAUGACCUGGCCGGGUUUCCUCAAGUCCAUCUCACGGAAUUCUUCUUUGCUGGCAGUGAAUGCAAUCUCAAUUGCCAAAGCGUGUCUGCAAGCAUAUUCCCGGUCUUGCAGCUCAUCAAGCAUCCUUCUUUUUUCGUUCGCAAGCUUUCAGAAAGCUUUUUUCUCCUUAGCAUCAGAAGGUUCCUCGAUAAAGUGAUACUUUUUGAAAUCCUUCAUGGCUGCAUUUGCCUCAUCACAACUCUUCAACCAUGCUUCACAUUCCCUCUUCAAGCAAUGGUGUCGCUCCGACAUGAGCUUCUCACACGCUAGUUCAUAGUCAUGGAUCGAAUGUCCAUCCUACAUGAAUAUACGGGUUUAAGAUGCCAUACAACAGAACACAAAAUAAAUUCAAUGGAGUACAACACUUGGUUACUUGAUAUGACAUACAACACCAAGUUCUCAAUGAGUUCAAAUGUUAAGGGUACAAGUCAUGGUAGUUCAAAUGACGACCAAGCAAAGGGUACAUGUCAUUGUAGUCCAAAUGACAAAGAUUACAUAGCCUCCUUCAAUUCUAUUUGGCGUACGGUCCCGGGUUGCAACAAAUAACAUCAUUUCUUUCUUUGAACCAUGCCCAACGAGAAGCCCGCUUCUGGUCCAAUGAGAAUGGUUGCCUCACUAACCAAUCAAUGACCUGGCCAUGAUUUCCCAUGUCUAUCUCAGCAGAUUAUUCCCUUGUCGCACACAAUGCAAUUUGCAUUGCAAGAUCACACCUACAAUUUUUUUCGCCGUCUUGAGCUUGGUCAUCUUUCUCCCCUUUUUUGAUUAAAUUUUUGGAACAAUCAUUAGUAAAUAAUAAUGUGAAAAGGCCCUACACGUCGCAUUCAACGCAUUAAUGGCUUCCAUCCAGAAGUUCAUCUUUUCCUCAAUCACUUAGCGUUCAUGCUUCGCCGCGGCCUCGGCAGAAAAUUCAACGUAAACGAACGGUGCCAUCCUACAUUUCGACAAGUUGCUAUUAAAGUGAACUUAGGUUUAAUUGCUUUGUUAAGCCUAACCCAACCCCAAUUAUGUACACUAAUACUAGCACUAGAUCUAAGUACACAAACAAUUCUACAAACAAUUCUAGGCAGAUUAUACAUAAGAAAAUCACAAACAUAACCCUAAAUGGAUCAUAGUAAUUGAUUUGACCACACCAAAAUGAUGAACUAGGGUUUGCAACCAAACGAGAAAAAUGCAAACUAAACAAAGACAUCAACCAAUCAAAAUGAGGGGACAUGAGAGAGGUACCUUGGGUGAUGAAAAUGGUAAGAAUCCAACAGAGAAAUCUCUAACAAAUGAGAGAGAUUUGAGAGGCUCUUGUGCUGGAAAGAGAGAGGGGGGAGACUUGAGCUCGGGGCAGAGGUGAGGAGUGGGUGGGCUGAAUGAGUGGAUGAGGAGUGGGGGAGGAAAUAUCCAGCCCUUCCCACCCUUAUCCACCUCCCAGGACCCUACCGUCAGCAUCCCUGGCGGUAGGCUUCAGUACCCUACCGCCAGGGCCCGUGGCGGUAGGCCCUUUUCCAUGCCAGCACGAGCCAAUGCCCGUCAGUCAUCGUCCAGGGACCUACCGCCAGAGCCCAUGGCGGUAGGGCAUGCAAGCCUACCGCCACAGCCCCUGGCGGUAGGCAAAAGGGUUAGAUCCCGAAAAAAAAUUUGAGCGGGGUCAGAUCCUGAAUUUGUUAGCCAAAAGGGUCAAAACACGAAAUUUUUCCUCCAGCAUUGUAUCUGAACUUUACGGCCAUUGCUUGGAAACUUCGCUGAGAAAAAUGACCACCGACAAAAGGUUUCGGCGGAUGUUACUAAAUAUACCUGACCGGUAUCCAAAAAAUACAGGUUUUUACUGCCCUGUGAGUCCAGAAAUUUCAAUGAUAUUUAACCAAAAUUUCAAUUUGAAGCAAACAUUGUGCGAUGGACUUUGUUUCAGUAUAACAAUUUGCCAAGAGGAAUCACUAAAGUCGGUUAUAAAAGUAAUGGCUUGGGACUGUGGCAGAUCUAGGAAUUUACCCGCCUGUAGACAUUCUUUACGCACACAACUUAAUUGAUUUGAAAUCCCAAAUUAAUCACGUAAGUUUAAAUUUGAGAAAAAAUAUAAAUAGUUUGACAUGGCUCAUACAAUUACCGAUCCAUAUUAAUUGUCGCUGUUGUACUAAAUCAACGACAAUGAAUAUGGAUUUGGGGAGUAAUAAAUUUGAACAACUAUAUUAAAACAUAUUGAAAACAAUUAUAGCGUUCGGGGCGGAUGGUUGUUUAGUAUUUUUCGACACUAGAGCAGGUAGACUAAGCAUAAAAAUUAAAUAAUUUAAAACUUAGCUACAAUAUAAUCCAAAACAAAUAUUAUAUGCUAAAAACAGUUUUUGCAUGUUUAGGGGGCUGCCGCCAAUGGGUGCACUAUUUCACAGUUUCUUUCGGUGUUUUAGUAGAAUAUUUCUUUGUUGUCCAUUGCCAUCUAACUUUUAUAAAGCUGCAAUUCAUGAGUUAAUGUUUCACAAACUCUUUGUUUAUCGCAAAUUUGUUUCAUCGUUGCUUCAAACAAAACGCCUUGAGAUCUUUGGCAGAAAAUAUGACAUUACUGGAAAUAGCUUUUUGCUUCGCUUUAUAGUUAAACCACACAGUCGAACGAUACAGGCAAUAGAAAUAUCUUUUGCAAAGAAGAUAAAAAACCAACAUCAAAGAAUGUCGGAAACAACACACAUGGGAUACACUACUGAUGCCAUGAUCUCAUUGUCGAGUAUGAUCGCCAUACUGUUAUUUGGAGAGAGGUAUUCUUCCGAGUGUAUUCUGUCAAAACCAAGCCAUUUAAGUCCAAUUGGUAUUUUGCAGCAUCCUUUUCCUAUGCACAAAAAAUAUUCUUGGUGGACUCAAAGAUAAAAGUGAAGUACUGCACAUUCUCUUGGAAGUAAUCACUUCUAUUUUAUGUUGGGACAAACUGUGCGAUAUUGGGAUAUAUAUGCAUACAUGUUGCAUUAAUGUGUUUGUGGAAAGCAGAUACCAAACUCAUAGUGAGGAGUAUCAUGCAUAUGAUACUAGAAUACGAUACUAUUUGCACGGUGCAUUGUUAGUAUUUUAGAUGAUCUCAUUUAUUGUCAUGCAUGACAUAUAGUCGCACGUCACUUAUUAUGACACCGUAUUUUUCUUUUACUAGAUAUGAUACCUAAUUCUCUCUUGUUUAAUUAAUUAUAUGCAUGAUAUUGCUCAAGGUACCUUUGAGGUGGUUAUAUGACAUGAUACCUAAUUCCCUUUUUUAUUCAAUUAUAAGCCCUCUCAGCAAAAUUGCUUAGUUGUCAUACAUGAUACUCACUAGAGAGGUUACGAAAAAGUGUUUUUUUUUUACUUCGGACAUUUGGGUGAGAAAUGGAUACCAGUGAUGACAUUUAUUUAAGGAGCAUAGUAUAUUACUCCCUCCGUUUCAAAAUAGAUGACCCAACUUUGUACUAAAGUUAGUAUAAAGUUGGGUCUUCUAUUUUGGAUCGGAGGGAGUAUUUAACAAGCAGUUGGUUCAUGUUAGUAAGUACCAAAAUUACUAGUACCAAUCGGGAUGGCUAUUGCUAAUUGCCUACUAUAUUUGUUUCUUCCUUAUUUAUGUGAAAGAAAAGCAUGUCUGGAACCUUUAAUAUGCUUAUCUACCGUGCAGCGGCAACAUCCACUUUUCGAAAACAAAAUUCAAAGACAGGCUUUUCCAUUUUUGAGGGUACAUGGUAUAAUGACUUGUUAAGAAUCUGCCGGUGCACAACAGGAUUCCCCUUACCUUUAGAGGCACACAUGCAAAGCACAUCGAGAAGAAAGGUUCCGGCCAUUGUUUAGCUCGUGCUAAAAGGCACCUAAGUUGACAUCAUUCAGCGUGAGGAUCACUGAACCUGCUGCGCUGAAGGGGCUUGGUGACUAGGCUUCGUCAAUUUGCUUUGUGUGGGACAAAUUAAGACGGCUAGCUAUCAUCCCAUGCUAAGUAAAAUAAUGUUGGUAUGACGCAUGCACUUACUACCUUGGAAAGUUAACUUGGCUAGUUGGACAUCUACAAAGUGCUCGAAUGUGGCCUGCUCAUGCCAGAAUGUGGCGUAGCACUAGCCGUCUAGGGUUGUAGAGUUGUUCUGACGGGCGCUGGUGCUGAGCUCCUCCAAAUAAGUGCUGCUGCAUCUGCAUGCGUUGAUGCGUGGAGCCGUGGAGGAUUGACCUUUGCAAAUCCGAAAGGUGACAGCGUAAUCUAUUCUCCGGUUGAUGGCCAUCACCUUUGCUGGUUCACCGAUCCAACAUUGUAUCUGAAAUCUCACUGCCGUUGUCGGCCAACUUCUCCCACCAGAAUGCCCAGGGAUGAUCGGGGUUUAGGCUUUACCGGAAUGGGUAUUUUUGCCGAGGGGCCCCGAAGGACUUGUAAUCAAAAAAUACCAUUUUUUUAGCAAAGGACAAUAUAUUAAUAUCAAGAUGAUAUUAAAUCAUCUGGGCUUUAAAGCAGCACAAUAUCAAAAACUUAGUUGAGACAUUGAGCAUGCUUACAUUCAAAAAGGUAAAAGGAAGAAGUAAAAACAAAGAGGGAUACGACCAACGCAACAAACAAGCAGCAACACCAUCAUUGUCCUCCACAAUGGUGGCGUCACAUUUGAAGUUAAAACCAUGGCCUUGUUUUGCCGCGUUUCAACCGUGUGUUAAGAACAACGCGAGGAAGGGAAGGUUAAUCAAUUGCAAAAGCAAAAGCUGGGGCCGUGCUUUUCUCUGAAAGCGAGAGCAUUUUGACGUCACACUAGUGCAGAACCGGGCAAUAGCACCGGUUCGUAAGGCCCUUUAGUGCCGAUUUCAUAACCGACACUAAAGUGUGGGCACUAACCCCCCCCCCUUUAGUACCAGUUCAGCACGAAUCGGUGCUAAAGGGCAACCACGUGGCACGAGUCAGCUUCGGGGGCCUGGAGCCCACCAACCGGUACUAAAGGUUUGGGAGGUUUUUAGUUUUAUGAUUUCUUUUUCAUUUAAUUUUGUGUUUCCAUUUUAAUUCUUUUUCGUUUGCUGGUAUUUUACGAUACUACACAUUGUACACGUUAUGCAUAUAUAUAUAUAUAUCAUCAAUGUCUCACAAACACCAUAUUAAUUAAUUCACACAUACGCACAUGUAUAGCUAUAUACAAUUUCUCCUACAUAUGCAUGUUGCCUUCGGAGCCAGUGGCAUUAGCCUAAUUGGUGCCUUCAGAGCACGAUGACAAUUGGAAGUGGUUUUCAUGGGGCGGUAGCGGGUAAUAGUAUUCUCCCUUCGGAUUUAUGACCUGGUCGAGCAAAAAAUCCCGCUAUUUCCUCUUGAAGUGCUUCUACGCGCUCCUUUCUAGGAGCUUCUCCCGCACCUCUCUGAACUGUUAAGAAGGAGAUCAAUAUACAUGUGUAUUAGUUGUGUGACUAGAUAUCGAUAAUGGUGUAAAAAUUAUGAAUAGUGUUCUGACAAGCGUACUCAUUCCUGUCUUUGAGAUCUGCUCCUUUCGGACGCCAUCAUGCGAAUGUUCUCGCAAACACAGAAUGCACACAGAUCAGUCCCCUGCGCCUGCUUCAGGGCCUUUACGAGAAUGGAAUUUGAUCAGAUAAUAAUUAAUCAAGCAUGAUAAUUAAAAAGAUGGCAGCUAGCUAGUACUACUUAAUUACUUACCUUGGGUCGAAACCAUUUAAGCUUUUUUUUCCAUUCGCCUUCCGUGACGUUGAUGAACCUUGCCCAAGCCCUGCCCGCCGACAAAGAAAAUGAAUAAAUGGGUUAUUAAAUAGUUCAUAUCAUGAAAUGACGAACUAAAUAGGCCGAGAUAUAUAGUUAAUAAUGAUUGAAAUUACCUGUUGACUAUCCCAAACAAGAUGUUAUAGUCAGUAUUUUCUUUGAGUAGUGAGUCCAGUAUUUCAACUGUUCCGGCGUCAACUUUAAUGAUACACAAGAUCCAGUGAAAUCUGCAUGCACACACGUUUGCAUGUCUUAAUUAAGCGGGCAUAUGUAAGCAAAAACAUGUAGUUAGCUAGUAGGCAAAAACAGAGAAUUUGUAGUACAAGACAGUGUGACUCACUGGAAGUUGUAAGGAAGUAGUAUAUCUUCAUUGUAUUUGAGGCACUUCAAGAAUUCUAGCAUGUUGUCCUCUACGGCCUUUUCAUGAUGUGGAUUUAUUAGCCAUGUGUAUUCAUUAACGGUGUUUGGGUCAAUGAACCCAAUUGCGACCAUUCUUACAGCCAGCACAUGGACAAGGCAUAAAACCAUCCGCCCGCUUGUUUGCCUCAGCCGCAAGCAGAAAAGUAUGCACGCCCUCAACGAACUGGGGAGAGCAUCGGUCAUCGUACAUUCAUUGCCGGCUCAUCUUCAUUACACAACACCGAAUAGACCAAAUUAAUACAAGUUCAUACAUAAAGUUCAUACAACACUUAAAUGCAACAAACAAAUAACUCUCUAGCUAAAGCAUUUAAAUGCAACAACAAAUACGAUCAAGAUCGCAACUAAGGUAACAAUUGAUCCAACAGCAUAAUGAUACCAAGUCUCACUAUCGAUGGCAUAUUUUCUAAUCUUUCUAAUCUUCAAGCGCAUUUUCUCCAUCUUGAUCUUGUGAUCAUCGACGACAUUGGCAACAUGCAACUCCAUUCCAUCUUCUCCCCCUCAAUUCUUUUCAAUUUUUCUUUCAAGUACUCGUUUUCUCUUUCAACUAAAUUUAACCUCUCGACAAUAGGGUCGGUUGGAAUUUCUGGUUCACAUACCUCCUAGAUAAAAAUAUCUAUAUCAACUUGAUGGGCAUAAUUUGUCAUAAACACGAAAUGCAACAAAUAGUUUUAAAAGAGAAUAUACCACAUCCGAAUCAUAACCAGGACGAGGGCCGACGGGGACGGAUAUCAAAACCAUGUCACUAUGUAUAACAAACAACGUACGGGUAAGAUAAUUAUAUGAGUAACUAUAUAUCCAAAUCACACAAACAACAAUUUUUUAUAUAAAAUUUCAUGAACAAGAGGCUCACCACAAGGUGGUGCCGGCGACGGGACGGUGCGGGCGAUCGACGGUGGUUACGACAGAGAUUUAGAAGGCACUAAGUAAAACACACCUACAUAUGCAAACUAAGUGUUAUUUUGACCUCAAAUUGCAUAUAAAUCAAAUACUACCACAUAUAAUUCCUCCAAAAUUACUAAAACCCACAAUUAAUCACUAUAUAAACCAAUGCAAGAGCUAAUCUAGCAAUGAGAGAUGAAAGGACAAAGUUGCUAACCUUGGUGAUCAUUUGAAUGGAUGGGGGCCUGCAAAUCUUGACAAAUUUGAGGCAAAUUUUGUGAUGAACUCGAGAGGAAGAAGGGAAGAACAGAGGAGAGGGAGAGGGGAAAGGGGGAAGAAUAGAGUGCGGGUGGACGAAGGGUUUAUAGGACGACCUUUAGUACCGGUUCGUGCCAUGAACCGGUACUAAAGGUGCUGGAAGGGCCCCACUCUGACAACAUCAUGCCACCACUUUCUUUAAUACCGGUUCGUGGCACAAACCGGUGCUAAAGGUUCGCCACGAACCGGUACUAAAGAGCUCCUCCCGCCUAGCCGUUGAAACCGGCACUAAUGGACACAUUAGUGUCGGUUCUGUUACAAACCGGGACUAAUGUGUCUCACAUUUGACCAUUUUUCUACUAGUGUCAUCUGAUCUCUCGUGGAGGCUGGAGCAAUACUGGCCAACCGUUGAUGCAACCCCAAGGGCCAGCCUAGAGCACUCUUUCUACAAACAAGGCAAAAGGAAGAGCACUUGUUUAGAGAUGGAACAUAACACUCUUUCCCUUAACAAGAGAAAAGUAGGCGUAUUGGUCUACAGCCAUGCAUAUAGAUCGGUACCACGUAACCAACCCUAGAUUGAUACUCUUGAACAAAUAUGCAAAAGUUUGAAUCUAAUGCAUCAUACCUUGACCUGAGCCGUCCAAAUAAUGUUGGUAGUCAUCAUAAUGUAUGAGCUACGUCAGGGAAAUAUAUGCCCCGAGUACAUUACUGAUUUGACUAAACUCUUGAAUCUCUGGGUUUAUGAAAUAGCUCCUCCUCCCUCAAAAAAAAAAGCUCCUCCAACCUGGAUUCUUUCGGAAAAGUAAAAUGCAGCCGGCAAAUGUCAUUGUUCUCCAACCUGACCGACCCCUUUCCAUUUAUUACAUAACAAAAAUACAACAUAGUACACUCAGAAUUAUGUUGAGUACGCUCACAAAAAUAACCUCGAAAUUAUGAGAGUAGGCUCACAAAAAUAACGUUCGCUAUCUGCACAAAGUGAAAAAUCACGAAUACUUUGAGGUGGUUAUUUUUGUAGUGUGCAUCUUCGAGGCAAAGGCUGGUGAAGUUUUUGCUCUCUCUGACCUUGAAAUUAUGUUUCUUUAGGUCGUAAUUGAGCGAAUUAAUCAACAUACAAUGAGUGAAGCUGAUUGCAGUUUAUCGUACGGUAGUAUGCACCGUAUCCGUAUUCCCACAAAAAAAAGUAUGCACCGUAUCCACGUAGCAGUAACAGGUGCUGGCCACGUUUCACAGUCGUUUUCCUUCCUAUCCGACUCCAUAUGUUUCCUUCUUAUCCAACUCCGAGAACAUACCACGAAUCGGCAGAAAUUGACCGGUACAGAAAGUUCCUCCUUCACAAAGCGGGGCACCAACCAACCAUUGCGUGUAUACGCGAAACAAUAUGUGGUUGGAUGGUUAGAGGGAUAUCCCCAGCCUAUCCAGAUUUAAAUCCCGUUGUUCGCAUUUAUUUUUGAAUUUAUUUCGGGAUUUUCGGCGAUGUGCAUUCUGUGGGAAGAGACGUUUCCUUGAUUUCAUAAACUUCAAGAUGAUAUGCCGGCUCAGUCUUUCGAAGAUGCUUAUAGGUAUAGGGUGUGCAUGUGUGCGUUGACAGGGAUGGGUGUAUGCGCGUGUAUAUAAGCGCUUGUGUCUGUAUUGAUGUUAAAAGAAAAACCAUUGCGUGUAUACAUCACCAUCAAGCUGGUAAAACGGAUAUCACAUGCAAGUUAUUGCUCGACAAUUUUGGAGUGCAAUUGCUGGCCACGAGGAUAAAGCGUAACGGCACUAAUAAUUUUUUUGAAACACCAGGCAACUUUGCACAUUUCAUCAAGUAAUAAGGAGAUUGUUGCCCAAAUAAUUACAAAAUAUCAGACGAAAAUCGAUACAAACAAGACCAAGCCUACUCGACCAAUGACAUCACAAGGCCACACACGCUCUUGUCGACAGCUUGGCGAACAUCACUACAGCACGUCAACCAAACUCACAUAAAUCAACAACUACCGAGCAUCCCACCACAUCACCGGAGAGAAGAAGUUACUAUAGGAGGAGGAGCCUCUGGACGCCUCCCACAGCGGUGAAGAUGCCUACACUCUACAAGACACGUGCCAAACGCGACACUUGGUACACCAACGACCAACGUCAAGAGCAAGCUUGCCGUACACACGACUCGAGAUCAACACACUCAAAGUUAUAGAACUCUAUGGGUUGUUGCCCCAAUUUUCAUUCGCUCUGUGUAGGGGAAGGUGCUGCACAACAACAACAAAACUACCACGCACGAACAAGACCAGGAUUAUAGGUACCGUUAAUGAUGGUCAUACCAACAACAUCAAAAGUAGAGAAGAUUGUCGGUGAAGCCUUCUAAUUCACGCAACUAGUUUAUACCCCCGACUAUGAGAAUGUUCGCCCGAUCUAGUGUCGAAGUAGAUGACAACUCCAAAGUAUCCACACACUGUUCUAGCAGCACCGUCACACCUUUUUUUUGCGAAAAUGAUUCGAAUAUAUUAUCAAAGUUCAAUACAAGUACAGAACCAACACGAAGAACAACAUGAAGAACUCAAGUAGACUAGUGGCGUAUGCUAACUAGAUAAGAUCUAGCCGGAGAGAAGUGGGUGGCGGCUAGAAAGGGAGGGGUUGGUCAAGGGGCAUGGUGUGCCCCCACCUGGAGGGGCAAGGGGGGGACCAACCUCCACGGAGAGUCCUUCUCUGCCUGCGUAGAGAGUCCUCCUAGGACUCCUACUAGCUUGCCUUGCCCCCAAAGAAACAAGGGGACUGCCAAUUUGGGAUCUUUGGACCGCAUUGUCGCCCCACCCCAAGCAAAAGGGGAGGGUCCCCAUUAGGAACCUUCUGGAUCCUUUCGAAAGUUUUCAUCACGUUCCUUAACAUUUCAGUACCUUCCGGAACACUUUCGGACAUCACAGGAACACUACGGAAUCUCCCGAAACACAUUUGAGAUCAUCAAAAACACUUUUGCAACCCUUAUCUCAUUCUCCAUCAUCUCAUAGUACUUCUGAAUUUCACUAGUCAUUAAGCGUGUGAUCCUACAGGUUCGAGCAUAUGUGGACAUGUCCAUAACACUUUAGGCCUAUAACUACCAACAAGAUCUGGACACCCAUAAAAGUUCCCACGUAUCAUCAAAGAUCUUUAUCGAGCGAACCUUGUAUUAUCGUAUACAAUUCCCUUCGACUCACAGUAUGUUAGACAAAUAGAGGUGAGACUUUGAUGGUAUUCCUGUGAUUAACUCCUUGAUCACUAUACCUAGUUAUUCUCAUUACUGGUUUGCACUCUUUUUUCAUUUUGUUAUUCCAGUAUCCUCAUGACUAACUUCUUCGUCACAAUACCUGGCCAGGCAAUGUUGGACACCAUAAUACUAAGUGGGUCCAGAGUGUAUCUCUCUGUCGCCGAAGGGGCAAAUCCCAGUUUUGACAUAUCGAACACCAUGACAUACUUUUCUGGCGUACCUGAAAGCCACCUUUAUUAUUGCCUACUUGCAGAGUAAUAUUUGUCAACCCCAAAGUACAACCAAUACCCGAUUUUACGAUAUUCUCAUGGUCUAAGGAUGCAAGUAAACUUGAACACUUUAUAUGAAAAUACCGACAAUGUACUACCGACCUGAUGAGGACAAUUAUCAAGUAGAGAACAGUACCUUGUAUAGGCUUUAACUAAGCUUGCACUUGCUUUUGUAUACAAUUACUUAUCAUGAGCCUCGCUCCAUAAGAUUUCUUUUUCGGAUAAAAUCGAGUAAACAACACAUUAGACAAUUUCUUCCCGGUGUCAAACGUACCUGCAGGGUAGACAUGAAACCAUGUAUUCACGUUGGCAGUUAGAGUACGACCAAAAAGGAUUUAAUUUCAUUUCAUCAUAGUGAAAGCUUUUAAUUCAAAAGUUCCACAUAUCUCGUCAAAUUGUUACACAUGCUGAUAUGGGUCCCCCGUACCAUCCCGUGUAAAUUGCUUAGUCUUCAAUAUGUUGAGUAAAACACAGGUUGAUUUUCUAAGUUUCACCAUUGGGUCUCGUUCCUACAGCUAUGAAAGUAUAUUUGAUAGGCAGUCCCGAUAUCCUAAUUGUGACAAGUUGACACAGACGUUCACACUCUACCAUGGUUGCUUAGAACCUACAAAAUAACUUACUACACAAUAUAAACCAAAACCUAAAAAAAGACCCAAAAGCACUUAGCUCUCCAACAACGGCAUCAGAAAAAAGUUUGAUAAUCUGCAAGUGCACAAUGUAUAGUUGUAAGUCUUUUGAAGUAAAAGUAUUGAUCCCACGGGAAGCACAUGAAAUGCCUCUUAUAGAGGUUUAUGGAGUUGUGCAUCCAAGUUAGUCACGGUCCAAAGCAAGGCAGACAUGGAAGUUUUGAAAUAUUGCGAGUGGUUGGCGAUUGAAAACAAGGUACAAAAGUAAAAUAAAACAACGUGAGAGAAUAAAUGGAAGUAAUGAAAUCAUUAGGGCUAAGGUGUUGUCAGGGAGUCUGGAGUCUGGAUUCCCCACUAGUAUGUGUAAUGUAAGAUAUGCACAAAGCAUAACUCUGGGUUCAGAUAACUAAGCUACCUUGCAUAUUUUUAUAAGUGGGUGAAGCAUGGUACAAUAUACGUUCCACUUGCCUAGAUCCAUGUCACACAUGCCACCAUUAUUCCUCCACACAGCAGGUUAUGACAUCGAAGAUUAAGGGUUACCUCGUGUACAUGACCAAUGGUCGAUUCUCCAUUAUUUCCCUAUGAAUUGCUCAAGAAAGGAAGGGAGGAUAUUGCUAUCACCUCUUUACCUUCGUGAUACGUCUUUGUCGUAUCUAUAAUUUUUGGUUGUUUCAUGUCAAUAUUUUACUACUUCCAUAUAUUUUUCGCAACAAUUUAUAUGAUUUUAUUAGACUAACAUAUUGAUCUAGUGUCAAGUUCCGGUUUAUUGCAUAUUUUGUGUUUCACAUAAAAUGCAUAUCAAACGAAGUUCAAACGCGAUAAAAUUUUACGGGGAUUGUUUUGGAAUAUAUGUGAUUUUUGGAAAAAAGGAUCAAUGCAAGAUAAUGCUCAAGGGGCCCAGAACCUCACACGGCGCGCCAAGAAAGCUUAUGGCCACCCCACAAGUCGGUUCGGGCCUUUCUUUCGCAGCAAGAAACAUAAUUUCUGGAUAUAGAUCUUCUUAAAAUUUUGGCCCAAUCGUAGUUACGGAUCUCCGGAAAUAUAAGAAACAGUGAAUGGCGAGAAAACAGGAACACACACGAGAGAUAGAGAGAGAGGGGGGGAGAGAGAGAGAGAGAUCCAUUCUCGGGGGGGGGGGGCUCCUGCCCUCUGGGAGCCAUGGCAGCCAAGGACCAGAGGGGAAGCCCUCCUCCCAUCUCGGGGGGAGGCCAAGAAGACAAAGAAGGAGGGGGGUUCUUUCCCCACCUCUCCCUGUGGCACCGGAGUGCCCGCCAGGGGAACCAUUGUGGCGGGGGUCUACGCCAACAAAGUCAUUGUCUUCCUCAACACCUUCAUCACCUUCCUCCAUCUAUUAUCAGUGGUCCACUCUUUCGCAACCCGAUGUACCCCCUACUUGAACAUGGUGUUUUAUGCGUCAUAUUAUUAUCCAAUGAUGUGUUGUCAUCCUAUGAUGUUUGAGUAGAUUUUUGGUGUCCUAUGGGUAAUUGUUGAAUUGCUAUGAUUGGUUUAAAUUGUUGUGAUUAUGUUGUUGUCUUUUGGUGCCCAUCAUAUAAGAUCACGCCAUAGGGCUAGUUGUAUGUUGAUAGGACUAUGCAUUGGAGGGCAAGAGUGACAGAAGUUUUUCUUACCAUAGAAAUUGAUUCAUAUGGGAUUGAAGGGGGGCCCAUAUAUCUUAAUGCUAUGAUUGGGUUUUAUCUUACUGAACUUUAAUAGUUGUGAAUGCUUGCUAAUAGUUCCAAUUAUAAGUGCAUAGAAUUCCAAGUAAGGGAAGACAUGCUAGCAGUGGUCUCUCCCACAUAAAAAAUUUCCAUUGGCCUAGUUGUCGUGGUUCUAAGUCUGAUAGUAGUGUAGGGGGUACUAAUAGAGAGGCAAGAUAUUAGCUAUGGAGCAGUUGUAUACGCAAGAGAUUUACGAGUUUAGGCCCUUCUCGGAGUAAGUAACAGCCCUACGUCUCGGAGCCCGGAGGCGGUCGACUGGAUUAUAUGCGUAUGAGUUACAAGGGUGUUAACCCUUUACACUGAGGAGGGGGUGGCUUAUAUAGAGUCCGCCAGACCCCUCCGGCCCUCAGUUAUGCAGGAUUUAAGAUACAUUAAGGUAUGGCGUUACUGGUAAUGCCAUACAUAAAGUGUUGUGAUGACCAUAAAAGCUACUUAAUGACCGACCGUUAGCGUGUAGAGUGACUUUAGAUCUCCUGGCCGUCGAGUGGUUGGCUUCAUGGUCGAGUGACUAGCUUCAUGGUCGAGUGUUCUCGAGUCUGUCGAGUGAAACACCUCUAGGUCGACUGACAGGCGGGUUCUUCUAGAGAUGUCCUUGGGUAGGGUAGUUUGGACAGGUCCAUGGCCCUACCCUAGGUACAUAGCUUCAUCAAUAGCCCCCAAAUGGAUCAAGGUUUGAGUGGGGAAGGAGUUGAGAAUUCUUCCGACCCAUUUCUCAUGCUAUGAGUAUGUCUUGUCUUGGAUCAAUGAACUUUAGGUGACGGCAUCAACUUCUUUUUCAGGCGCCUUGAUCCAUUCUUUGUAUCUGUCGAGUGAAGUUUUCACUUGGAGAGCUCCGAGUGACAGAGUGGAGGAGAUCUUCCGCCUGACGAGCUGUUCUGCAAGCCGCGGAUUUUGCGGGAUUCAAAUUUUGGGAAGCGCGCGGGACGGGGCGUAGCCGCAGCAAUCGGACGGGAUAAGGCGGGGACGCCUCGAUCUCCGCGCCACCUUUUUUGCCACGUAUCGCGCACGCGACUGUUACGGGAUUUGACAGGAUCGUCCGGGCCUACAUGUCAGCCACUCGGAAGCAGCCUUAUAUAAAGCGCCGAACGGGGGUUUUUCAACAGUGCGCCCUCAUUCCCCCCUCUCUUCUCUAGAUUUCUCCGCCGCGUUUGCUUCUGCCUCAGUGCCGCUGCUCCGUGCGUGCUUCGCUGGCGACGAUGGUGAAGGAGAAGAUGGCGGCCCUGGAGCGAGCGAAGAAAGCGACAUCGAAGGUGAAGGGGAGGGGAACCAGUCGGAGUGGCUCUUCAUCAAGGACUGGCCUGCCGUCGGGCUGGAUCCAGGGCGACUGGAUCCGCUCGACAAUUAGUCAGGCGGAUCUCGACGACCUGGCUGACGGAGGGCUGAUCCCCCAUGGAUUGGCGCGGCUCCCGGGGAGGGAGUCAGAGCCGCAGCCUCAGGAGGGUGAGUGCGUUCUUCUGGCCACCCACGUCGACCGUGGGUUUUCUUUGCCGCCCCACCCUUUCUUCCGGGGGUUUCUGAAUUUUUUUGGGGCACAACUCCACCACUUCACUCCCAACACCAUAGUGUACCUCGCCGCCUAUGUGUCUUUGUGCGAGUGCUUCUUGGGUUGCCGGCCUCACUGGGAUCUCUUUAAGCACAUCUUCACCUGUCGCUCCCAAACGGUGAAGAAGGCAAAUCCGAGUGAUGAGAGGACACAUGUGAUUCAGAUGUGUGGGGGCCUUGGGAUCCAGUUGAGAGGGAAAAAUUCUUUCCCGAACAUGGUUUUGCCAGACUCCAUCCGUGGUUGGCAGUCGACUUGGUUUUACUGCAAGGAUCAGCCGACGCCAGGGCAGUCGACUGGGCUCCCUUCCUUUUCCAUGGAACGAGUGAGGAAGCCCUCCUCUUUGAAGGUGGUCCCGGAGGAGAAGGCGCAGGUGAGGGUGCUGGUCGAGCGUGUCGUGCAGCUCAUCCGCGACGGGGUGACUGGUAUGGACCUCCUGGAGGUCUUCCUCCGGCAGCGCAUCCAACCGCUCCAAUUUCGAGAUCAUCCUAUGUGGAUGUAUUAUGGAACUGAGGACACCGCUCGGAUCCACCCGGAGGAGAUCGACGACGCCACGCUGGAGCGAUGGAUGGGAAGCAUUACGGGGAACAAGGACAACCCCCAAGGAGCUAGGAGGGUCGUUCCACUCGACCAAUCAUAUGAAGUUGACAAGGUCCAAUUCUUCACUUUCGAUUGUGAUUCUGCUUUUUCCAUUAUGUCUGCUUAAAAUCAACCGACUGACUUUUGCCUUGUUUAUUGUCUUCUAGGCCACGACUAAGAUGUACUCGAUGCCCAACGGGGCGCAGGAACAAGACGAGGAGGGAGAGGCAAGUGGAGGUGAAAGUGAGGAGGAGGAGUGGAAAUCUGAUGGUGAGGGGGAGGAGGACGACGGCGGCUCCAGCGAGGAGGAGGAGGAGGCGGAAGCCAACCCUCCUCGCACGGAAAGGCGAUCUAAGCUCGCCCACGAUCCCGCGAGGGAGCGCGGUAAAGCGGUUGCGCCCGUUGUGCCGUCGACAAAGCGCCCUCGGACGGCUUCCCCGGCGCCGACUGAAAAGGCGCCGAAGCAACCGCGGGCGGAGUCGUCAAAGCCGCCGAAGGCCUUGCCUAAGAUGAGAAUGGUCAUUCCCACUAUCUCCGGGUAACAGCAGGAUUUGUAUUUCCUUGUUCAGCUCGAACGAACUUCCGGUCGACUCAUUGACUAACCUACUGAUUUUCUGAACUUUGCAGUGCUGCUACCUCUGAGACCUCUGCCAAGGACGGCGACCAAGAAAUGGAAGACACUGUCACCUCCAACCCUGGUACGUUCUCUUGUAGUUUUCCUUUUGGUCAAUUGGAUCUUUGUUCCCAACCCUGGAUUUAUCUUGCAACUCCUCAUCAUGUCAUUGAUCUCCCUGAUGACGAUGACGAGGUGCCGCUGAGGGCGACGAAGAAUAGAAAGGCUUCGGCAGGCAAAGCCACUUGGACUGCGUCAGCACCUGAGGUACUGGUUCAAGAAGGUGGCGACAUCACUCGGCAUUCUGUGACCUUCGCUGAUCCGCUGAUGAGUGCCCGUCCUUCGUCUCAACUGCUGAACCGCCCUCCCUUUUUGCCACACACCACGUCCUAGAGGACCAAGCGGGCGCUGCUAAGGAGGCUAUACGCCAGGCGGGGAUUAUGAUGGAGCAGGUGAAGGCGAUUCGGGAAGCCAGCCAAGCGGCGUACGAUGCAAGCUCAGCCCUUCAAAGCAAUGUCCAGGUUAGUUGGUAACUGCCUAUUCUGUUAGGAUAUGUUAUUUGAAGUCUUUCUUUUCGAAAAUCUUCGUGUCUGUACACCCAUUGGGUGUGUCGAUUGAAUUUGUAGACUGGUGGGGGCACGCUGAGUGCACCCACUAGGUGUAGUCCCCGAGACUAUGGUGGACUGCUGGCAGUCGACUGUAGUCUUUCUAGUUGAAAUUUCUUCACUCGGUCUGGUCGGACCAUGUCGAGUGGAACAUUAGAACCGGUUGGGGCACGCUGAGUGCACCCACUGGGUGUAGUCCCCGAGACUAUGGUGGACUGCUGGCAGUCGACUGUAGUCUGAAGAAUUCUCUCUCUCUCUCUCUCUCUCUCUCUCUCUCUCUCUUUUGAUGAGACCAUAAUCUCUUUGUUCUUUUUGGUCGACUAAUCGGAUCAAGUCGGUAGAACUUAGUGGGGGCACGCUGAGUGCACCCACUGGGUGUAGUCCCCGAGACUACUGUUGAAUAUUGUGAUUCGACUGUAGUCUUAGAAACGUUACUGUUUUUCUCUUAGUCACUCGGAAGCAACCUCUCUUUGAUAUUUGUCGAUUGACUCUUUGCAGAAAUCUUGCGAGCUCGUGGCUCGUUAUACUAAGUUGGAAAGGAAACAUAUCCAGCUCGACCUUGACUUGAAGCUCGUUCAGGAGAACUUUCAGAAGGCGAAGGACGAGGCAACAGGUAUGAUUGGUGAGAAUUUGACGACUGGUUUCGUCCUUCUACCCAUUAUUGACUCUGACUUCCUUGUCAUUUUGCAGAAAAAACGAAGGUGGCUCUGAACAAGAAGGACCAGGAACUUGCUGAGGCGCAGAAGGCUGCUUUGGAUAAAACGAAGCUUGCGGAGGAGAAGCUUGCUUCAGUCAGCAAACUUGAAGAAGAGAACGCCAGUCUGAAAGCUGCCCUCGACGUGGCCAACAGGGAAGCCAGCCGACUGAAGAAUGACAAGCUGGCUCUGAGUGACAAGGCUAGCGAGCUGGUGGGGAAGAAGAAUGAUCUGGAGGCUUAUCUAGGAGGGCUCGCCAAGAAGUUGUACAUCAUGCUUGAGGGUAAUCUCUCCUGCCCGACUGACUUGUAAUCACUGCCUUAUCAUAGAACUACUGGCUUAUCUUUGGGUUGUGUUUACAGAAUUCUGCCAAAACUUUGAAGAAGAGACCAGUCGAGUGGAGACAGGCCUGGAUCCCAUCAACUCUCCUGUGAAGGAUGAAACUGCCAUGAAUGUGCUUCGACUGGAGUCUCGCGUCGCUGGUGUGGUUGACUAUCUUUCCCGACUGAAGGUUGCGGCGUCGCGGAUUGACACGACACUCUGGCCAAGGGAGACACUUUAGAAUGACCUCGAGUCUCUGAUGACUCAACUGAAUGAAGUCCCGGGUCGAGUGCAGGAAUGGAAGAAGUCUUCUGCCAGGUGCGGUGCUGAUGUUGCUCUGUCCUUGGUCCGUGUUCAUUGCAAGGAUGCGCGAGAGGAAAAGCUGGCGUCCCUCAAGGUGGCCAAUACCAAGAAGCAUGACUUCCAAUCUUUCAUGGAGACCUUCAUCGCCGCUGCCACUCAGAUCGCAGAUGGAAUCGACCUGGACCAGUUUGUCGCACCUUCCAGUCCUCCUCCGGAGGAGUAAAAAACUUUUAUGCUUGAUGCUUUAAAUUUGCCUCGGAAUGCCGAGUGGUUAUGUAAUCGAUAAAAUUUAACAGGCUUGAUUCCUGAGCACUUUUGGACCCGUAGGAUGCUAUCUGAACUUGGCUUUGCCAUUGAAUACGUUUGCAUUUGCCUUCGAGCGACCAUUGUUCUUCACUCGGAAUAUAUUUCAGUACUUGCGAUGCACUCUUGCAGGUAGGGAUGGAGCACAUAUGGCAAUCGACCUGCGUCCUUGCGGCUCGGGAUGGAGCGCACAUUGUAUUUGUGUCGUAGCUCCGAAGGAGAAGGUAACAAUCGACCUGCACCUCGUCGUCCUUGCAGAGUGCACAUUGUAUUUGUGUCAUAGCUCCGAAGGAGAAGGUAACAGUCGACCUGCACCUCAUCGUCCUUGCGGAUUGAAAUGGAUUUCAUACUUAGGCGAGCACUGAGCUGCGGCCAAGCCCUUGAGUGGGAGGUUUGCUCUCCAUUCGGGAGGGUUUUAAACACUCAGGCGAGUACUAGACUGCAGCUAGGCCCCCGAGUGAGAGGGUCGCUCUCCACUCGGUAGGAUUAUUAAUACUUAGGCGAGUACUGGACUGCAGCUAAGCCCCCGAGUGGGAGGUUCGCUCUCCACUCGGUAGGAUUUUGAAUACUUAGGCAAGUACUGGACUGCAGCUAAGCCCCCGAGUGGGAGGUUCGCUCUCCACUCGGUAGGAUUUUGAAUACUUAGGUGAGUACUGGACUGCAGCUAAGCCCCCGAGUGGGAGGUUCGCUCUCCACUCGGUAGGAUUUUGAAUACUUAGGCGAGUACUGGACUGCAGCUAAGCCCCCGAGUGGGAGGUUCGCUCUCCACUCGGUAGGAUUUUGAAUACUUAGGCGAGUACUGGACCGCAGCUAAGCCCCCGAGUGAGAGGUUCGCUCUCUACUCAGUAGGAUUUUAAACAGCGCACAUGGUAUUUGUGUCGUAGCUCCGAAGGAGAAGGUAGCAGUCGACCUGCUCCUCGUCAUCCUUGCGGAUCGGGAUGAAUUUUACACUUAGGCGAGUACUGGACUGCAGCUAAGCCCCCGAGUGGGAGGCAGGCUCUCCACUCGGUAGGAUUUCUCAAACUUAGGCGAGCACUGGGCUGCAGCUAAGCCUCCGAGUGGGAGGCAGACUCUCCACUCAGUAGGAUUUCUCAAACUUAGGCGAGCACUGGGCUGCAGCUAAGCCUCCGAGUGAGAGGCAGACUCUCCACUCGGUAGGAUUUUUCAAACUUAGGCGAGCACUGGGCUGCAGCUAAGCCUCCGAGUGGGAGGCAGACUCUCCACUCGAUAGGAUUUCAAAUACUUAGGCGAAACGGGUUCGCGGCUAAACCUCCGAGUGAAAGGCUUGCUUGUCACUCGGUAGGAUUUCAAACACUUAGGCGAAACGGGUUCGCGGCUAAGCCUCCGAGUGAAAGGCUUGCUUGUCACUCGGUAGGGAAUUUUUUUUUACAAACUUAGGCGAAACGGAUUUGCAACUAAGCCACCCACUGGGGGAUUUCUUACAUAAACAAAAGCAACAACAAUUAAUGGGAAAAUUAUAACACUUUUGUCUUUGAUAAACAAACUACAGGAGUACUUUUAUUACAUCUCAUCCGAGUGAGUACUUAAGAGUAAAAGGGGCGGAGUAGAUGCGCAUUCCAAGCUCGUGGCUCAUCAAUCUGGCGACCGAUAUUGUACAGACGGUAUGCUCCAUUGUGGAGAACUUUGGUGACGAUGAAGGGGCCUUCCCAAGUAGGGGCAAGUUUGUGUGGCUUCUGUUGAUCCACUCGGAGGACCAAAUCUCCUUCUUGGAAGGCUCAAAUCUUCACGUUUCUGGCAUGGAAUCGACGCAAGUCCUGCUGAUAGAUGGUCAAUCGGAUCAAGGCCAUCUCUCUUUCUUCUUCUAGAAGGUCGACUGUGUCUUGCCGUGCUUGUUCUGCUUCAUCUUCAGAGUAGAGCUCGACUCGGGGUGCAUUGUGAAGCAGGUCACUCGGCAGAACGGCUUCUGCUCCAUAGACCAGAAAGAAUGGAGUUCUCCCAGUCGACCGAUUGGGAGUAGUCCUCAGUCCCCAAAGAACUGAUGGAAGUUCGUCGACCCAUGCGCCUGCUGCGUGUUUGAGAUCGCGCAUCAACCGGGGUUUCAGUCCUUUGAGAAUUAGGCCAUUUGCUCUAUCUGCUUGUCCAUUCGUCUGGGGGUGAGCGACGGAAGCGUAGUCGACUCGUGUGCCUUGAGAAGCACAAAAGGCUUUGAAUUGGUCGGAAUCGAAGUUUGACCCAUUAUCAGUGAUGAUGCUAUGCGGAACUCCAUAUCUGGAUAUCAAUUCUCUGAUGAAGCUGAUCGCAGUGCCGGCAUCGAGACUCUUGAUGGGUUUUGCUUCGAUCCACUUAGUGAACUUGUCGACUGCCACCAGUACCUGGGUGAAGCCGCUCCUACCAGUUCUCAGUGGUCCAACCAUAUCUAAUCCCCAGACAGCGAAGGGCCAAACGAGUGGAAUGGUCUUCAAGGCUGAGGCGGGCUUGUGCGACAGAUUGGAGUAGAACUGGCAUCCUUCACACUUAUCGACUAUCUCUUUCGCCAUUUCAUUUGCUCUAGGCCAGUAAAAACCCGCUCGGUAUGCUUUAGCCACGAUGGUCCGGGAGGACGCAUGGUGGCCACAGGUCCUCGAGUGGAUAUCGUCAAGAAUUAUCCGACCCUCUUCUGGCGUUACGCAUUUCUGGCUGGAUCUAGUCGCGCUUUCUCUGUACAACUGUCCCUUCAUCACAGUAAAGGCCUUGGAUCGACAAACGAUCUGUCGAGCCUCUUCUUCAUUCUCUGGGAGCUCUUUCCUUAGGAUAUACGCAAUGUACGGCACUGUCCAGUCGGGAGUGAUAACCAAGACUUCCAUGACCAGGUCGACCACGGCUGGGAUUUCGACUCCAGUCGGAUACGUGGAACUUUUUGGCUGCGGGGCUUCCUCGGUGAAAGGAUCCUCUUGAACUGACGGUGCGUGGAUAUGUUCCAAAAACACACCACUGGGAAUGGCUUCUCUCUUGAACCUAUCUUUGCCAAGUCAUCGGUUGCUUGAUUUUUCAAUCGGGGUAUAUGAUGAAGCUCUAACCCCUCGAAUUUCUUCUCCAGCUUUCUUACUGUAUUGCAGUAACCAGUCAUGGCCGGGCUUCUGAUGUCCCACUCCUUCAUCACUUGGUUUACUACCAAAUCCGAGUCACCGUAUACCAUGAGGCGACGGACGCCGAGUGAAAUGGCCAUACGCAGCCCAUACAAAAAUGCUUCAUAUUCUGCUUCGUUGUUGGAGGAAUCAAAGUGAAUCUGGAGUACAUAUCUGAGAUUAUCUCCUCGGGGAGAAACGAACAUACUCCAGCACCAGAACCAUUCAGCAUCUUAGAGCCAUCAAAGAACAUGGUCUAGUGCUCCGAGUGAAUUUGAGUCGGCAGUUGCUGUUCGGUCCACUCGGCGAGGAAAUCCGCUAUUUCUUGGGACUUGAUAGCUUUCUUUGCCUCAAAUCUGAUAUCUAGGGGAAGGAGUUCAAUCGCCCAUUUUGCCACUCGACCUGUUGCAUCUCUGUUGUGUAGAAUCUCUGACAAUGGGGCGUCGCUGACGACUGUAAUGGUAUGGUCAGAGAAGUAAUGAGCAACUUUCUUCGUGUCAUAUAAAUCCCAUAUACAAGCUUCUGAUAGUGAGGGUAUCUUUGCUUUGAUGGGGUCAGAACUUCAGAGAUAUAAUAUACUAGGCACUGAACUUUUAAGGCUUUUCCUUCUUCUUCCCGCUCGACCGUAAGUAAUGUACUGACAACAUGUCCUGUGGCUGCAAUGUAAAGCAGCAAAGGCUCUUUGCUGACAGGGGCAGCAAGCACCGGCUGGGUGGAAAGCAGGGCUUUUAGCUCUGCAAACGCUGCAUCAGCUUCAGGAGUCCACUCGAACUUGUCUGACUUCUUCAUCAGUCGGUAAAGAGGCAAUGCCUUCUCACCGAGAUGAGAGAUGAAUUGACUUAAAGCGGCCAAGCAACCAGUAAGCUUCUGAACAUCGUGCACACGCACAGGUCGCUUCAUUCGGAGUAUAGUGCCCACUUACUCUGGAUUUGCGUUGAUCCCUCGUUCGGAAACAAGAAAACCGAGUAAUUUUCCGCCAGGAACUCCGAAUGUGCACUUUGAUGGAUUAAGCUUGAUAUCAUACCUUCUGAGGUUGGCAAAUGUUUCAGCGAGGUCAGUCAGUAGGUCGGAACCUUUCCGUGACUUGACCACAAUGUCAUCCAUAUAUGCUUCCACAUUCCGACUGAGUUGAGUGAGCAAACACUUCUGAAUCAUCCUCAUGAAUGUGGCUCCGAUAUUCUUGAGGCCGAAUGGCAUGGUGACAUAACAGAAGCACCCGAAUGGGGUGAUGAAAGUUAUUUUGAUCUCAUCGGGUCCAUAUAGACGGAUCUGAUGGUACCCGGAAUAGGCGUCUAAGAAAGACAGUCACUCACAUCCCGCAGUCGAGUCGACUAUUUGGUCGAUGCGGGGGAGAGGAAAAUGAUCUUUCGGGCAGGCCCGAUCGAUAUGUUUAAAGUCAAUGCACAUGCGAAGUGACUUGUCCUUCUUGGGGACCAUGACAACAUUAGCGAGCCACUCGGAGUGGUAAAUUUCUCGGAUGAACUCUGCUGCUAAGAGCCGAGCCACCUUUUUGCCAAUGGCCUUCCUUUUCUGGACGGCGGACCGUCGCAGAUGUUCUUUGACAGGUUUUGCUUUUGAGUCGACCCGUAGACGGUGCUCAGCCAGUCCCCUGGGAACACCCGGCAUGUCAGAAGGUUUCCAUGCGAAGAUGUCCCAGUUCUCACGGAGGAACUGGAUGAGCACUUCUUCCUCUUUGGGGUCGAGCGUUGUGGAGAUAUUAAUCAGAGCAGCAUUGGGAUCGGUCGGGUGGAUGUGAACCGGUUUCAUCUCACCAGACGACUAAAACGCUGACUCCGUAGCAGGCUUCUUAGCUCGCAACAGAUCACUCGGGUCUGCAUUUUUCUGAUGUUCCUGCCACUCUUCUGCUACCAUCUGAGCAUCGGCGAUCUUCGAGCCCUUCUGAAAGCACUCUUCCACCUUCUUCCGAUUUCCAGUUACCGUGAUCACACCUUUGGGGCCGGGCAUCUUCAAUUUAAGGUACACGUAACACGGUCGAGCCAUAAAACGUGCGUAAGCUAGCUUGCCCAAAAUAGCAUGAUAGGCACUCUGGAAAUCCACGACUUCAAAUGUCAACUUUUCUUUGCGGAAAUUUUUGGAGUCACCAAAAACCACGUCGAGAGAAAUCUGGCCGAGUGACGCGGCCUUCUUGCCAGGAAUGACUCCAUAGAAACUCAUGUUGCUGGUACUGAGCCUGGACAUCGGAAUGCCCAUCCCUUUCAAUGUCUCUGCAUACAGUAUAUUCAAACUACUGCCACCAUCCAUCAACACUUUAGUCAGUCGAGUGCCUUCGACGACUGGGUCGACCACCAGAGCUUGCCUCCCAGGGGUGGCUAUGUGCGUCGGGUGAUUAGACUGGUCGAAUGUGAUGGCUGUCUGAGACCACUUCAGAUAAUUGGGUGUCGCCGGAGCAACCAUAUUCACCUCUCGGUUUAUAACUUUCAGUCGACUUUUGCUUUCAACGUUAGCAAAAAUCAUUAGGGUGGAAUUGACCAGGGGAUAUCCAUCAUCACUAUCCUCUUUGUCAUCAACUUUGUCCGACUCCUUUUCCUUGUCCUUGGGCUGCUUCCCUUGGAACUGCUGGAUCAAGAACCGACAUUGUCGAGUGGUAUGUUUCGGGUAAAUGAAAUUACCCUCCUCAUCUUUCUUCGUGUGGAUGUGACACGGCAAAUCCAUCACGUCAUUUCCUUCUUUAUCCUUUACUUUCUUGGGGUUCCAAGGCCCCUUGGGAUUCCCUUUAAACUUUGCCUGAGUCACGGCUAAGGCUUCUCCAGGAGCAGCUAGCUCGGCUUUCCGUUUCUGCUUCCGACUGGAGUUCCCUCCUCCGGUUUCGUGGGCGACUGACUUGUGCUUGCCACUCCGGAGCCGAUCCUCUUCUUCGCCAUUGGUAUAUUUGGUGGCUAUUUCCAUCAUUCGACUUAGAGACAUGUCUCUGGUUCGAUCGAACUUCAGGUUCAGCUCUCUAUACUUAACGCCUUCCUUGAAGGCACACACUGCCUGGUGAUCAGACACAUUCUCUACCGUGUGAUGCAACGUGAUCCAUCUUUGGAUGUAAUCUCUCAAAGUCUCAUUCGGCUUCUGUAUGCAAGUUUGUAGCUUUGUCAGUCCUGCUGGUCGCUUGCAAGUUCCUUCAAACGUUCUGACAAACACUCGGGAAAGGUCUUCCCAAGUGUAAAUGCUGUUGGGUGCUAACUGGUUCAGCCAUGCUCAGCCCUCCAACAUAAGAGGCAGAUGCUUCAUGGCCACCUCAUCAUUGCCGCCGCCGAUCUGAACAGCCACUCGGUAGUCCUCAAGCCAAGUAUCAGGCUUGGACUCACCAGUGAACUUACUGACUCCAGUCGCCAACCUGAAGUUGGGAGGAAUCACCGCGGCCCUGAUGGCUCUACUGAAACACUCUGGUCCUGAGACAUGCACUCUGCUGCUGGUGGGCACAUCCCUGUCGUGACACUCGCGGUGAGCUCUGUUCCUGUCGACCAGACCUUGAACGAUGAUGGAUCUCGCAUCGAAGCCUGGUUCCCUAUGGUCGACUGGAAUCCUUCGCCCAACAUUGUGCUGGCGUCUAUCAUCCUGCUGCCGAGGCACGUACGAUCCACCCCUAGGGGAGGGGUGGGCACUCGACGUCGAUCAUCCCGAUCGAUUCGGUGAUCAUACUGCUCACGAUUCUUGUACUGAUCAUGCCGGUCUCCACGUCCCUCACGCCUCGGGGGCGAUCUGGGGCUGUGAGCCGACUGGACUGUAUUCACAGCCACGGAUCUGCUCUGAAUCCUGUUCCGCUACUGUGAUACAGCUGAAUUUUGAUCUCCUGCUUCUCGGAGCAAAUCUCUGAUCUGCAUUAAGCCUCUGCCAGCCUCUGACUGGGAAGGCUGAAUUGACUCUGCUAUAUGGGCUGCAGCUGCUAAAUUCUGAAUCAGAGUUCGGUAUACCUGAGUCGGUGGUGGAAAGAGUUGACGUCGACAGGAAUCUGGAAUCCAUUGUCGCGCACGCUCGUCGAGUGCUCGCUGAAGGUUCUCCAGUCGAGUGCGCUCGGCCAAGUUAGCCAAGCGUGCGUCUUCCAGGGCACGAGCCUCGGGAGUUUCUCCAACGAUAGGAGUAUGCAGCGCAUCCAUGUUCCGACGGCGAAGUUCUUCCCUUUGCAGAGAAUCGAGGGGCUCGGGGAGAUAUUCCUCAUGGGCGUGCGAUGGAUCGCCUCCGCCGUCACCUCCCUCGGCACCGGGAAAGCCGGGGGGGCCGUGUGGUCCAUUGACCAUCAGGACCUCCGUUGCUGGAUCACUGCUGUCGCACUCGGAUGCAGUCUCUGCGGAGCCAGUCGACAGGUCGAACAGGCCAUAGAGAGAUUCGUCGGGCUCGAUUGCCGUGACUUGGGCGGUGGUCGACUGGCGAGCCACCGCGUGCCUCACCCAUCGCUGAAGCCUCGACCGACCGGAGCGCUUGCACCGGCGGGAAGUAGGAAGGGAGGAUGACACAAAAACCGGUCGAUACUGGGUCGACGGUUGCCGCAGGAGGACGCCGCGGACGCACGCGCGAAAGUGCGUCGCUCCGCAGACUGGGAGCGCGUCGACGUCGAGCGGAGCCUCCUGAAGCCAGGCAAAGUCGUCGACGACGAACGUGAGCGCGCCGAGACGGAUCUUGCGGCCCUCAACCAAAACUCCGCCUGAAACCAUGAUCAAGGAGAUCGGAAAAAAUUGCAACUUCUCCAAUAAGUCACUAAGACACCUGCCCCACGGUGGGCGCCAACUGUCGUGGUUCUAAGUCUGACAGUAGUGUAGGGGGGUACUAAUGGAGAGGCAAGAUCCUAGCUAUGGAGCAGUUGUAUACGCAAGAGAUUUACGAGUUCAGGCCCUUCUCGGAGGAAGUAACAGUCCUACGUCUAGGAGCCCGGAGGCGGUCGACUGGAUUAUAUGCGUAUGAGUUACAAGGGUGCGAACCCUUUAUACUGAGGAGGGGGGUGGCUUAUAUAGAGUCCGCCAGACCCCUCUGGCCCUUAGUUAUGCAGGGUUUAAGAUACAUUAAGGUAUGUCGUUACUGGUAACGCCAUACAUAAAGUGUUGUGAUGACCAUAAAAGCUACUUAAUGACCGAUCGUUAGCGUGCAGAGUGACUUUAGAUCUCCUGGCCGUCGAGUGGUUGGCUUCAUGGUCGAGUGACUAGCUUCAUGGUCGAGUGUUCUCAAGUCUGUCGAGUGAAACACCUCUACGUCGACUGACAGGCGGUUUCUUCUAGAGAUGUCCUUGGGUAGGGUAGUUUGGACAGGUCCAUGACCCUACCCUAGGUACAUAGCUUCAUCACUAGUAACUUAGCUAAUUGCCUAGGGACAAUCUCACAAGUCGUACCACCACUUCUCCACACUCGCUAUACUAACUUCAUUGUUCUUUUAUUAAAAUGACACCUAACCUUUAUUUUCACGUUCUUUAUUACCUUUCAAACUUAUCCUACUACACAUACAAAGUACUUUUAGUUUUAUUACUUGUUUCUAGGUAAAGCAAACAUUGGUGUGCAUAGAGUUGUAUUGGUGGUCAAUAGAACUUGAAGAGAAUAUUAAUUCUACCUUUAGCUCCUUGUUGGGUUCCACACUUUUACUAAUCGAAAAAAUGCUACAAAAAAUCACCUAUACUUGUGGGUUAUCACUCUGCAUCCCACCAUUGCAAUGAAAAUAAUAUUCUUCAUGGCUAUAAAGGCUAAAUGUCAAGUGUGGACCUUACAUAUCAUUCAGGAAGAAAAUUAACUUAAACAUGCCAAGGAGGAUUUUAUAUCCUAUCGGCGUUCAACACCUGAAUAUACUAGGGUUCCUCAUAUCCCCGAGAACUAGGGGUAUUACUCGGACAUAGAGAUAGCAAGCAUCACAAGGAUGAUCAUGGAUAAAUGGUCAAAGUAAUACAUAUAAGUUUCCUCCUAGGGUUUGGUAUUACAAAGAGAUGAGUAGGGGAUGGUGAUGACAACAGUUGAUGUCGGAGUUUCCUUGGCCGGGAUGGUGGCAUGGCAGAGCCCUUCUAUAGAUUUCCCCUCUGGAUCCCCUUCGGGAGGCUAGGGUUCUUGAUUCUGGUGAAGUUUUUGGGAUCUCCAAACCUUUGAUCCACGAUCCGAAGAUGAUGGGAGUGAAAUAGUCGACCAGAGGGAAGCAAUGCCACCUAGUACAAGUGCUGGUACGAGCAUGCGCACCAUCUUCUCUCCUUGAGACGGUUGCAUCUAGAAUUUGCUCUAUUUGAUCGCAUGUUUUGAUGGUAGUUUGCCAUCACAUUAAUUAACGUGAUUUUCACCUAUAUACUUGUCUUUUCCGGUUUAAUGCCCCAGAUUUCUCCUCAAUCGAGAUCUUGGUGAAAUCAAAAGAAAGAGUGCACGCGGUAAAAUUCCAAUAAUCUUACAACUAUUGCAUAAAAACAAGAGGUCAAAAGUGAUGCAAAUUAGACUCAUUCGUCAUCGUCGCAGCCGUCUAGGCGGUCGCUCUCGUCAAGGUUGUCACUAGACCUAUGCUGGAGCUCGCCGGGGUUGCCACCAGGCCUGCUUCGGCCUCCGGCGUUUCCUGCUCGUCCAUCUUAGACAAUAGCGUGCACCUCCACGUAGUGCGGCGAACAUUGUCAUAGUUGUUUGUGUGUCUGCCUGCUCCUUAGUCUCCCUCGCCCGUUGCCUCUCCCAUCACGCACUCCAUGGAUCCCGACAUGGCGCUCGAUGUUGAUCCCUAGGCAUGUUCCUAAGGGCCUCGACAAAUGUGAUGGAUUUCUCAAACCUAGUCCUCAGUUGGCACUCGUCCUUGUGACACAUGUACGCGUUGUAGCUUUAUUCCUUGAGGGAUAGGGUGAUGGCGGAUAACCCAGAAGUGUAGGGGAUCAAUUGUAGCUUUUUUGAUAAAUAAAAGUGUCAAACUCAAUGCGAAGUUAAAGGUAGAAUUAAUAUUCUCUCAAGUUCUAUCAACCACCAAUACAAUUCUAUGCACAUUUAAUGUUUUAUUUACCUAGAAUACAAAAUAAACUACUUUUCAAGUGCAAUAAGAUAGGUUUGCAAGGUAUAAUAAAGGACGUGUUAAUAAAAGUUAGGUGUUGUUUAAGUAAAGAACAAUAAAAUAAAUAUAGCAAGUGUGGAAAAGUGGUGGUAGGAUGUGUGAAAUUGUCCCUAUGCAAUUAGCUAAAUUACUAGAGUGAUGGCAAGUUUUUAUGUGGGAGAGGUCUCUCCUAGCAUGUCAUCCCUUACUUGGAGUUCUAUGCACUUACAUUUGAAACUAUUAGCAAUCAUACACAAAUACUAACAAGUUUCAUUAAGGUAAAACCCAACAAUGGCAUUAAGAUGUAUUGGGCCCUAAUCCCACAUGUAUCAAUUUCUAUGGUAAGAAGAAUUUUCUCUUGAUCUUGCCACCUAAUGCAUAGUCCUAUCAACAUUCAGAUAAUCCUAUUGUGUGAUCCACACACACGCUCAUGUGAUGGGCACCAAAAGGAAAGUAACAUAGCCACAGAAAUUUAAACCAAUCAUAUCAAUUCGCCAAUUAACUCGUAGGGCAAAAGUGAUCUACUCAAACAUAAUAGCGUUGACAUAAAUCAUUGGAUAAUAAUUCAUAACACCAAAAACCAUGUCCGGGUAGGGGAUUAUAGCAGGUUGCGGGAGAGUGGGUUGCUGAUCAUAGAAAGAGGAAGGUGAUCGAGGUGUUGAUGAAGACGACAGUUGAUACGUGUAUCUAUAAUUUUUUAUUGUUCCAUGCUGUUAUAUUAUCCUUCUUGGAUGUUUUACAGUCAAUUUAUAGCAACUUUAUAUCAUUUUUUGGGACUAACCUAUUGACAUAGUGCCAAGUGCCAGUUGCUGUUUUCUGCUUGUUUUUUACAUCGCAGGAAAUCAAUAUCAAACGGAGUCCAAAUGCAGCGAAACUUUUUGUGGAUAUUUUUUGGACCAGGAGACAUCCAGUGGGCCAAAGAAGUACCAAAGAGGGGGACCACGGUGAGCACAAGACACCAGGGCACGCCUGGAGGCCCAGGCGCGGCCUGAUGGGUUGUGCCCACCUCGGUGACCUCCCGCACCGCCUCUUUGCUCUAUAAAUACCCCAAUAUUACAGAAACCCUAGGGGAGUCAACGAAAAUCAAUUCCAGCCACCGCAAGUUCCAAAACCACCAGGUCCAAUCUAAAUACCAUCACGGAGGGGUUCAUCAUCCUCAUUGGUGCCUCGAUAAUGCGUGAGUAGUUCAUUGUAGACCUACGGGUCCAUAGUUAGUAGCUAGAUGGCUUCCACUCUCUCUCUCUUGAUUCUCAAUACAAUGGUCUCUUGGAGAUCUAUUUGAUGUAACUCUUUUUGCGGUGUGUUUGUUGGGAUCCGAUGAACUUUGAGUUUAUGAUCAGAUCUAUGUUUUUAUCCAUGAAAGUUUUUUGAUUCUUUUGAUCUCUUAUAUGCAUGAUUACUUAUAGUCUCGUAUUUCUUUUUCGAAUCUUUGGUUUAGUUAGGCCAACUAGAUCAAUUUUUCUUGUCAUGGGAAGAGGUGCUUUGUGAUGGGUUCGAUCUUACGGUGCUUGAUCCUAGUGACAGGAGGAGAACCGACACGUAUGUAUUGUUGCUAUUAAGGAUAACAAGAUGGGGUCUUUUUCUACAUAAAUAGAUCUUGUAUACAUCAUGUCAUCGUUCUUAUUGCAUUACUCCGUUUCUCCAUGAACUUAAUACACUAGAUGCAUGCUGGAUAGCGGUCGAUGUGUGGAGUAAUAGUAGUACAUGCAGGAAGGAGUCGAUCUACUAAUCUUGGAUGUGAUGCCUAUAUAAUGAUCAUUAUCUGGAUAUCGUCAUGAUUAUUUGAAGUUCUAUCAAUUGCCCAAUAGUAAUUUGUUUACCCACCGUAUGCUAUUUUUCUCGAGAGAAGCCACUAGUGAAACCUAUGGCCCCGGGGUCUCUUCUUUAUCAUAUUUGCCUUUGAGAUCUAUUUUUAUUUGCUUUUAUUUUCAGAUCUAUUAAUCCAAAAACACAAAAAAUACAUUGCUGCAAUAUUUAUUUAUUUAUUUCAUCUCGCGUUCCCGCGAGAUCUGUUUAUCCAAACUACUACAAUUUUACCCAUCUUUUUACUCGUGAGGGAUUGACAACCCCUCUCUUACGUCGGGUUGCAAGCAUUUGUUAGCAACAGCUGUUUACGUUGUGUUGUGUGGUUCUCCUGCUGGUUUGAUAACCUUGGUCUCAUCACUGAGGGAAAUACCUAUCGUUGUUGUGCUGCAUCAUCCCUUCCUCUUCGGGGAAAUACCGACGUAGUUCAAGCCAACAUCAGCGGUGUUGAUGGAGACGGUUGCGGUGACGAUGGUUCCCCCGGUGAUGCUCCGGCACCACAGGGAGAGAGUGGGACAGAGGCCCCCUCCUCCUUAUUCUUACUUGGCCUCUCUCCUAGAUGGGGAGAGAAUUCCCCCUCUGGUUCUUGUCCUUCAUGGCUCUCGGAGGGCGGGCGCCCCUCCGAGAUUGGACCCCCUCUCUUUUUCUCUAGGUUUUCCUCUCUAUUUCGGUACCGUUUCUAUGACCGAGCACCGUUUCUUAAAUAGCUGAACAUCUGUAACUCCGAUUGGGAUGAAAUUGUAACACGAUUUUCCCCAAAGGAGAGCUCAAACCGAGUUACGGUUUGCCCACAUGGAUGCAUGGCACAGGUAGGGUCAUAGGGCCUAUCCAUGUGGGGCCCAAAAACGUCGCCUUCCGUUGAUUCUUCUGCCAAAAAUUUAGAUAUAUUCUAGAAAAAAUCCACACAAAAAUUCAGGUCAUUCCGGCUCUGUGAAUUUUUCACCUAAAAACCCAAAAGCAAUAAAAACAGGAAGUGGCCUUUGACACUGGGUUAAUACGUUAGUUCAAAUAAUAAUAAUAUAAAUUAUUACCAAAAAUAUGUAAAAGUGAUAUGAUAAUAGCAUGAAAUGAUAAAAAAAAUAUAGACACAUCGGAGACGUAUCAAUGACCCUCUGCAUCCUCCAGGAAUUUGGUUUUGUCAUCGUCGGGAACGGUGGGUGCGCGUAGUUGACUGCCAUGGCUACCAGCAUGCCGAAAGCUUCCAUUGCGACCUUGCCCACCUCCAUCCCGACGUGUUUGACCUUCCUCCCGCACGAUAGUUGUUCCCCACCUCGACUCUGCUGGAGGAAGAAGAGAGGGGCCUGAGAUCGACAAGGUUGCCUCGGUGCGAUGGUGCUUGUUCAUCCCACCGAUGCUAGCAGUCUUCCCCAAAGUUGCACGAUGAUGACAUUGAGGGUAUUUGUGGUGUGGAAAAGUGGGUGUGAUUUUUUGUGAAUUGAGGGUUUCACUAUACACGGGACAUUGGCGCUUGCGAAGGGAGCUUUGGCGAGUAUGCGGGAGCAUAGGCGCCUUGUGGAAUGGUGGUGAGCCGAGGAGGACGUAACGCAUGUGCGUCGAGUAGGCGAGACUGCAAUGGCGCGGGUGAGGACAACGAAGCGACAAGUGUGCACACGGUUACGCUCAUCCAUUCUCGUGUGACACUGCGAAUCUCACACACAUCAAACCAUGUGUCGUACUUCAUAGAGUACAUAUUUCCCACCACACACUCGUGUGCAUUGUCACGGUUUAUCGCACAACGGCUAUUUUGCAAAAUCUUUGUGCAAUUAACACCCGUAGUUAAAAUAAAUAUUCCUUUACACCCACCUACUCUGCAAUUGUGUGCCCCUUUUUCCUUCUUGCCGCCUCCAAAUCCACCUCCCCGCCAGCCUCCACUAUUCUUCAAACGAACUGUGGCCUCCGAAAGUCAAAUCGUGCCCGCACACGUGGAUGAGGCCGUUGUCGCGGCUGAAUGCGAUGCAGAUGCCCUUAUGACAUGCAUGGAUGAUGUUGCAACCAAUGUGCAUGCACCAAUGAGGUCGCGGUUGCGGCGGCAUGAGCGAAAGAGGACGCAGUUGUUGCGGCCACGCGCGGAUGAUGUUGUUUCAGCAGCGCCACAUGUGGAAGAGCCACGGCUGCUGCCGCACAUGCCGAUGGCGCCGUGGAUGCCGCCAUCGUCACGCUUGGUACCACCAUGCAGCAGGAGGAGUCCAAUCAAAGGGCUUACGAAAAUAUCAAAGAUAUGGUGUUUGCCGAAAAGAAAGCCGAUCCCACCUUCCAAGAGGUUAUCUUGAAGUGGUUAGGAGUUAUUUCAACGCAAAGGCCAUCGAGCUUGAGGAAGCACCGACAAUGAAAAUCUCUGAUUACCAGUAUUUCAACAAGUGCUCCUCCGGCGACGAGGAUGAGUAUCUCAAUAUCCAUAGUUUAAUGUCCCCUACUUUAAAUGAUUAUGCAACGAGAUAUGCAAUAUGAUGUUUAGUUACUUAUGUAAUGGAUGUUUAGUUCGGUUAUACGACGAGUUGUGCAAUAAUGUUUUAAGUAUGUUGUUGUUCUGCAAAUAAAGCAAUGUUGUUGUUCUGCACACAGAGCAAGUCACAUCUCAUAUGAUCCACAUGACGAAACCGUGUGCGAUGGUUCACAAUAUCUUUAAUCGUCGUGCCUAGCAAAACACACAAUUCUCACCACACACUCGUAUGCGCUGUCACGAGUUAUCUCACACGAGUUGCCUUUAGGAAACCGUGUGCGGAACUUCUCACGCGUCAAUAUAUUAUGUAACAUGUGUCAUGCUCUCCAUCAUCGCACAUAAUUCAUUUAUUUCAAACAUUGCCACGCAACGCACACGAUUCAAACAGUAGAAUUGUGUUCAUUAUCACGACUUGUCGCACAAGCAUCUGUUGAUCAAGUUGUGUGCCCUUUAUCACACGUUGUUCCCUUUUCAUAAUCAUGCCCAAUGGAUCAGCCAUCGCACAUGUCUCAUUUUCUGGCACACAAUUUUUUUUUUGAACAUGUGUAAUUCCUGCAUCCCACGUAGUUCAACAUCAGGGAGAUGGGGUUGUGAUUGGCGUGUCUUAAUAGCAUCAUUCUGCACCAGUGACCGGAUGAGGGGAAACAUAGUUUUUAUAGGGCGUCUCAACGCGACUGCUCACUCAACUUCGACUACAUCCUCGAUGUCUAUCGGCCUGCUUUGGCUACUACGCUCUAUGUCGGACACCACCAAGCUGAAGAUGUUUGUUGCGCUGGAGUUUUUGGUGCCCUCGUCUGUCAUGAGAGCAAGUACAUUAACAGGCUUAUAACCUGCUUACAUGGCAAUUUAGCCUGUGAAGAAGAGGGACAUGAAAAAUUAAAUGAAUGGACUCUCAUGCUGUCAUGCAAGAGUCUAGCUAUAUGCAGAUUCCUAGGUCGAUACAACAAAUAUGAAAAAAGAGAUAUAGAAAAGGUGAGAAAAAGUAGUACUCUUGUAGUCAAUCUUAUAGCUAACCUUGUUGUAUGUGGCUAUAAGUGGUGGUUAUAUCUGACAUAGCAAUAUUAUAUAGCCAGCAGUUGGCUAUACUAUUAACCAUGCUCUGAACUCUCUCUUCUGACAUAUGUCAUUGGUCCACAUACGCGUGUGCUAGAUGCUCCUGAUCUGUCGUAUGUGAUUUGCCAUGUCCGUAAUCUUGUGAUGAUGCUAAUUUGGAUGAAGUUUAUGCAUGCCCCUUAACCACACAGACAAAGCAUCGAUCGUCAGCCUAAUUACAAAGCACGGUGAGAGGGACCUGCCCUUACAGGCCAGAGUGGCACGCAGCAGCAGCCACUACUCCACUCCACUCCAUCCCUGGGAAUGCUCUUUCCUUCUUUUGUUUUCUUCCAUGUAUUGCGAUGAGAAUGGAAUCGGAGUCGGAGAGCCAUGUAUAUGCCCAUUACCAUCAGUAGAAUAUGUUCCAACCGACAACUGCCAUCUUCCCCGGCCUAUGCGCCUAUAUAAACCAGUGGCACCCGGCUCUGUUCUUCCCCACGACACACACAGACAGCACCUGCAGCUGCGUCCCACCGCAAAUCCUCCAACUCCACUUCCUUCUCGUGGCGUGUCUUUCCGGCCGGCAUCCCCUAGCCCAGCCUACCUCGCUCCAAUUACAUCAGCCGUGUCUCCAUUUGACCAUGGCUAACUCGCUGCUCGACUCGCCGCCGCAGUUCCCUGCCGCUGGCCCUUGGGGCUCUCUGUUCGCCGUCCAGGAACCCGGGAAGCCUCGGCGUGUGUCGGUGGCGCUACCGUUCGCUCCCAAGAAGAUGCCAGCGUACCGGUACGGCAUGAAGCGGAACCUGGAGAUGUGCACCGAGGCGCUCGGGUGCGAGACCGGUGGCGUCGACCCAGCCGCUGACGACGCCGACGAGGGCGUGGAGCGGAAGAGGAAAUACAGAGAGGAGGAGGAGGAGAUCAAGGUGGAGCGAACGGAGCGGAGGGCGCGCGUGCUGCCGCCGCCGCUGACGACGCUCGCUGCUGGCGCGACCCGCAUGCGCAUGGUCCACGAGCGACGCGGCGGGCGGCUGGAGGUGUACGCGGUACGGGCCUCCGGAAUGGAGGCCGAGCGGAGCGGCGGGCGUCUUCGGCUCCGCCUCCUGCCCUGCGCCGGCUGCAAUGCCGCCGCAGCGUGCAGCAGCCAACAAGAACCGCAAGAAGCAGAGGAAGAUGAGACAGAGGAGGUUGAUCAGCAGCGGCAGGAGGAGUGCGUGGUCCCCAAGUACGUGCGCCGCGAGCGGUGCCUGAAGGUAGAGAGUGGCGCCACGGCGGCGAGGUGCAGCAUCAAAUGGGAGCAGGAGCAGACUGCCGCCUUCUGGGUGGCCACCACCUGAACUACAACGGAUUUUUUGACACGUCUCAUGGCUGAAUCAACUAAGCCUUCUUCUUCCAUCUUCAGAUCUGCACUUAGAACGGAUAGUAGGACUGGGAGAUGCUAGUGAUGAUCUCGAAUACUUUCGGUCUUCGAUUUCUUUCGGUUACCUCUCAUCUUUAGUUUCCUUCCUGCCUACUAUCUUCGACCAAGCCCGCCUGAUCAAACUGUUCUUAUUAUGUCGCUGCUGAUUGCAGUGGCACACUUUGUACAUAUAGAAG